rnacentral:lncRNA from 1 species
CCGCCGCCACCUCCACGAGUGGGAGGCGCGCCUCCUUUUUGAGGCCGACUACCCGGCUCCUCCGGACAUGAGGGUGCCGGGCGCGUAGCGCUUGAGCGCCGGCGGCGUGCUGGUGCCACCCGCUCCCACCGGGGCGGACAGGCGGGCAGAGAUCGCCCGCGUUAGGUCGUCGCUGACGGAGGAGCAGCGGCGAACGCCGUCGUACUCCCCCGACAACGACGCAUUAUGGACGAUCUACUUCGACCGUCGCCGUGACGGCCUGAUCGCCUCCACCAACGGCGUCGUGCCUCGCGGCCGCCACAACGCCGGAGGGCGGCGCGAGUGGUGGGGGGUGCCCAGCCGCACCCUCGAGAACGUUGUCAGGACCCCGAUUCUAAGCCACAUCGAUCUAGCCGGUAACACCUCAUAUCACUUUGCGGCCUCACGCACGGUAUCCCACGGGUGUCGCCUUACCAUGGCCCGGGACCGUUUGCGCCUUUUGGCUCACGUAUAUGACAAUGUCGCUAGCAUCCAUAUGACCGAGAACCCGGGCCGACAUGGCUAGUCGUGAACCCAAAGCGGCACAGACCUAUGGAGACAGGCAUACAUGAAUCACAACGAACAUGUCGGUCAUCAACGAGUGAUUCCGGGCUGUAGCACUGGGCUAGCAGGACUCCGGGGAAUCCCGGGCUGUAGCAGGCUAGACAGGACUCCGGAGAUCACCGCGUGACAUUUCCCCGAAGGGACAGACAUAGGGACGAAGUGAAACACAUGCCGGCCAGUCAAGUGUCCUGAACAGUAGUGCUGGGCUAGCAGGACUCCGGUGAACCGGGCUGUAGCGGACUACUAUGGCUCGAGGAGCACUAGACUACAUUUCCCCAUAAGAAAGGCUGCGAAGGGCAAACAACUAGAUUGUCGGAUCCCACUCAUACCAAGCAUUUCAAACAUACAUACAAUAUGCUCGAUAUGGGUACAUACAACAUGGUAUCACAACAAAACUCUACAACUCAAGUACUUUAUUUAAAGGCUCCAGGGAGCCAUACAUAACAUAUCCAUACAGGUAGGGGUCACAUGACCCGACACUCAAGUCAUACAGUCAUACAAGCACAUGCGGAAGCAACUAGUCUGAGUACAGACUCUAGAAAGAAAGAAGGCUUCUCGAAGCCUGUCUAUCUACAUAGGGCCCUCCAUGGCCUGGAUCACCACCUGGGUGUCUAGUCACUCGUCGACGUCAAGAUCUACGUAAAACCCAUCGGAGGGGGGCAGUGUUGUCGUCUGAAAACAAUAAAUAAGCAAACAUGAGUACAAAGGUACUCAGCAAGUCUUACAUCAGAACCUACUGUACAUGCUCAUUCUCAAGAAGGUGGUGGGGUUUAUGCAGCAAGCCAGCUUUGACUCUUGGCUAAGCUAUCCUACGGAAUCUUUUAGCAAAAUAGUUUUCGCACACGAGUCCACUACUCACCAUCACAAUACUCCACCGAGGAUCCUCCCUCGUAUCCUGUGAAGGGGGCCAUCCCCGGUACUCACACUUAUCUUGAGUCUUUUAGUAGUAUCCAUUAACUUGUCUAUGAACUGUAUAUGCAAUCAAGUAGUCCUUUACCGCGGACGCGGCUAUUCGAAUAGUUUUAUACCCUGCAGGGGUGUACUUCGUCAUACACGCUUUCACCGCUUACCGUCGUCUACAUGACAUGUACUCGGCUACCUUCAAGCGGAAGCCCAGCGAGGGUGUCGGCCAUGGCCUACCUAAUCACCUAAGCCCCUAGUCCAGGUUAUCGCCUAUCCAGGUUCCAUCCGCAGGGAGUCCGGCCGAGGUUUCCACAUACGGCCCCGAACGAUGUGAACAGGGUUCCCGAGACACCAAACGGGUGACUCGGUACACCGUGCCACGGUGUAUCUACCGCAACAUAGCCCACCCCUAGGGUCAGCGCUACGCACGGCCGCCAACACAUAUCCUACAAGCACGAGAAACUAUUUGCAACUCCUGGACAGAGUACUAGGGUAGCUAAGAAGCCGAGAGGGUCCAUUUGUUUCGGGCCCAAUGUACGGUAGUAACUGCAUCUUAAAUCACACAUUCAGAUCUCGGUUCUUAUGGACGGCCUCAAUGAAACAACCCACCAUGUACUCCUACAUGGCCUCUCAUCGAUACCUUUACCAAAACAUGUUCAACACAUCCCUCAUAUUACUGGCACAAGCAUUUCACUCUAGCCCAUCACCCAGAUGAACCAGACCUGACACAACUCUAGGCAUAGCAGGCAUAGCAAGGUAGGAAUCACAAAACAUGGCUCAAUCAACUCCUACACAUGCUAGUGGGUUUCAUCUAGUUACUGUGGCAAUGACAGGUCAUGCAGAGGAUAAGGGUUCAACUACCGUAGCACACAGCAGUUUGAAACGUGUUGACUUAAUGCAGUAAACAAGAGCAGGAGCGAGAACAUGGGUUGUAUCGGAAUGAUCAAUGGUUGCUUGCCUGAUGGAGUGGUGACGGGAUACUGCCCUUCAGUUGGAUACUCGUGAAUAUCCUCGGAGGCAGAACCUACCACGAAGAACACAACCGAGCACAAUCAACACAUGACGAUAUGCAACAAUAUGAUGCAUGCUAUGACAUGGCAAUAUGGAUCUGUCUUGAGCUAAUGCAACUAGCUAUAAUUUAAAUGGAGUUGGUUUGAGUGCAAGAUUCAAAUUCCAACCCCAUAUAUGAUUAUUUAAAUGCCCUUUAUUUGUUUUGUCCAAAACAGGGGACAAACAUUGUUCAAACAUGCAUGAAAAUGGUACAGAUGAAUUCCUUGAAUUUUUCUGAUAAUUUUACAUAUAUAAUUUGUCUCAUUUGGAGUUAUGGUUGAAUUUCUAUGAAUUUUUGAAGUUUGAACUAUUUUCUGGAAUUUCCUGAAUAAAAAUAAUUCUAGUAAAUCAAUUACUGCGUCAGCAAUGCGUCAGGGUGACGUCAGGGUCAACGGGGACGUCCAGGUCAAACCUGACUGGUGGGUCCCGCGUGUCAGUAGUUAAUUAAACUAACUAAUUUUAGUUAGGAACUAAUCUGGAUAAUUAGCAGAGGGGGGCCCACUUGUCAUUGACUCAGGGGAGUCAACUGGGCCCACCCAGUCCACGUCAGUGGUCAAACUCGCCGGCGUUUAGCCGCCGGCGAGGCCAGACGCGGCGGCGUGCUGCGGGAUUUGCCCACAGGGCUCCGUUUGCCACACGGAGAGCAGCUACGGGCAGCUGGUGCUCGCCCGCAUCCAGCCGUGGUGAUGGCUUGGCCGGGGAGUGGCCGGAGCAUCGCCGGCGAUGAGGUUAGGCGGAGGCCGAAGCUCGGGCCAGCUCGUGCGCGUGGCUGCAGUGGCCUAGGCGAUGUGGCGCUAGCACCUACAGCCUCUACGCGGCGCGAGGAGUGUGACGGACACAAGCCCGUGACCAGAUGGUCACCGGAGCAACGCCGGCGACGUGGUCAGGCGGCGGCGCGUUCGGGCACAAGAGAUGCGGCGUCUACGGUGUUCCAGGGGUGAAACAGAAAGCACGGGGAGGUUCAACAGCUCACAGAGAAGCCGCAGGGAGGGUCAGCGUGCUCGGGGAAGGCUCGGUGCGGUCGGAACGGCGACGGUGAUCUGGGCGGCCCGAGGUUGAAGACGAGCUCGGUGGAGUCGUUUGCGGGCCUCCGGCGGGGCGUGGCUUGGUGGAGCGAUCGAGGAGGAAGUGGCGGAGCUUCAGGACACGGUGGAGCAGCGCGGGGACGGCGGUGGACACGACUACGCUGGCGGAACGACGACGGCUGCGUCGGCCAUGGCUAAGGGGAGCGAGGGAGUGAGGCAGGGGGCGAGUGAGCAUGUCCAGGGGGUCGAGGCGGCGACGUGGAGCCUGUCUAGGCCAGCAGGGCGGCGAGGGGAGGAAGCAGGGCGGCAGCCAGCUGCGUGGCGCGCGCGGGUGCCGCCGUCGAGCACCUGCCUGCCUGCCUGGCCGAGCCAAGCUGCUCGCUGGCGCGGUGGCUGGGCUGGGCCGGCAGGUGGGCCUGGUGGGCGGCGCCAGGUAAGGCCCAGGUGGGCUUCUCCCUCUCCUCUUUUUUCUGUUUUCUAUUUUCUGUAACUGUUGGGCUUUAUUAAAAAUACUAAAAUAUUUCCAAAAUUCAUGAAAAUAAAUGUGAGCUCUGUUUAGAAUAUUUCCAACAGAAAACAUUUAUUCCCAAAAUUAUUUGAGCAUUUAAAUUAUUUUAUAGCAUUUAAAUGCCCAAAUUCAAAUACUUAUGAAUUAAAUCAAUGCCCCUUUUGAUGACCUAAAAUUAUAUUCACCAUUUUUCCCAAGGGUUCUAACCCAAGGCAAAGAGGGUGAACAUUUCUGAAGGGCAUUUCAGGUUCAUUGAAUUUAUUUUUAGUAAACCCUAGUUGAUUUCAGGGGGGGUGCUGGGGGUUCUGCUUUCCCCAUUUCCAUUUCUGAUGAAAGUAGACAUGAUGCACACUCUAAUGCAUAACCUAGUUAGGAUGUGACAACUCACCCCCACUCAAUAGAAUCUCGUCCCGAGAUUUAGGAUCAUCUGGGAAGAAGGCGGGGUACUCGAGUCGAAGACGAUCCUCCCUUUCCCAAGUGGCUUCUUCCUCGGAAUGGUGUGACCAUUGAACCUUGAGAAACUUGAUAUUAUGACGUCGAGUGGUACGCUCGGCUUGAUCAAGGAUACGAACGGGGUAUUCCCGAUAAGAAAGGUUAUCUUGUAAAUCAAGCGUUUCGUGGUCCACUCCACGGAUAGGAUCCGCGAAGCAACGCCUGAGUUGCGAAACGUGGAAGACGUCGUGAACUCUGGAAAGAUGCGGAGGUAGUUCCAAUUGGUAGGCAACUUCUCCUCGUUUGGCAAUAAUGCGAAAGGGUCCAAUGUAACGAGGAGCCAAUUUGCCUUUGAUAUCGAAGCGAUGGGUUCCUUUUAACGGGGUAACCCGAAGGUAAGCUUUCUCGUCAAUUUCAAAUGUCAUAGGCUUAUGCUUACGAUCAUAUUGACUCUUUUGGCGAGAUUGGGCCGUUUUCAAUUUCUCACGAAUAACGCGAACCUGCUCUUCUGCUUCUUGAAUCAUAUCCGGGCCAAAGAGUUGUCUUUCCCCGGUUUCUGACCAGUUAAGAGGCGUUCGACAUUUUCGUCCAUAGAGAACUUCGAAGGGAGCCUUGCCCAAACUAGCUUGAUAGCUAUUGUUAUAGGCAAACUCCGCGAAUGGAAGGCAUUUCUCCCAACUUAUUCCGAACGAGAUAACAGAAGCUCGGAGCAUAUCUUCCAGAAUUUGAUUUACUCGCUCUACUUGACCACUUGAUUGAGGAUGGAAGGCGGUGCUAAAGGAGAGAUGAGUUCCCAUAGCAUUUUGGAAACUUUCCCAAAAUCGAGAGGUGAAGAGACUUCCACGGUCUGAGUUAAUUUCCAACGGGACGCCAUGAAGAGACACUAUUCGGGAGAUGUAUAAGUCAGCCAGCUGGCUAGCGGUGAUACUCUCUCGAACAGGUAGAAAAUGGGCUACUUUGGAAAGACGGUCGAUCACGACGAAGAUGGCAUUAUUUCCCCUCUUGGUCCUGGGAAAUCCAGUGAUGAAAUCCAUACUGAUUUUGUCCCACUUCCAUUCAGGAAUAGCCAAAGGUUGAAGGGUGCCAGCAGGCCGUUGAUGCUCUGCUUUAACACGACGACAAACGUCGCAAUUAGCAAUGUAUUGAGCAAUUUCCCUCUUCAUCCUAGUCCACCAAAACCUCUGGCGUAGGUCUUGAUACAUUUUGGUACUACCGGGAUGAAUGGUGAGAGGGGAUUCAUGAGCUUCCUUAAGGAUCAGUCGCCUCAGGUUUCGCGCCUUCGGAACCACUAGGCGAUCCCCAAAGUAUACAACACCUUGGUCAUCAAUGGAGAAACAAUUCACGACUCCUUUUAUAACGUUUCUCUUGAUACGGGAAAUUCCCGGAUCUAUCUUCUGCGCCUUGAUGACCUGAUCCGUAAGGGUAGGUUUCGCCACCAGGGUAGACAGGAAUCCACGAGGAACAAUGUGAAGAUUAAGCUUACGAAAUUCCUCAUGGAGAAGUGGUUGACUUUGUUGUAACAUCAGGUUGUUACAGUAGGACUUACGACUUAGUGCAUCAGCCAUGACAUUGGCUUUGCCAGGGGUGUAAGUUAUUCCUAAGUCGUAAUCCGAGAUCAACUCGACCCAACGUCUUUGCCUGAGAUUCAAAUCUGGUUGGGUGAAGAUAUAUUUCAAGCUUUGGUGAUCGGUGAAGAUCUCGCAACGAUUACCGAGAAGGUAAUGUCGCCAGGUUUUGAGUGCAUGGACUACAGCUGCAAGCUCUAGAUCAUGUGUGGGAUAAUUUUCCUCAUGUGGGUGUAAUUGCCGUGAGGCAUAGGCAAUUACCUGACGAUCCUGCAUGAGUAUGCAACCUAGUCCUUGUCGCGAGGCGUCGCAAUAGAUAAUAAAGUCCUUGGAGAAAUCUGGUGGUACCAGUACGGGAGCAGAUGUCAGGCGUCUUUUCAGUUCCUGAAAACUGAACUCGCACUGUGGAGUCCACUCGAACUUUUUAUCUUUCUUGAGGAGUUCAGUUAGAGGUUUAGCAACCUUGGAGAAAUUCUCGACGAAGCGGCGGCAAUAGCUCGCUAGGCCAAGGAAACUCCGAACUUGCUUGACCGAAACAGGUGGAGUCCAAUCAAGGACGGCUUGAACUCGCUCGGGAUUGACAGCAAUACCCUUACCAGAGAUUACAUGGCCUAGAUAGGUCACUUCUGACAACCAAAAUUCACACUUGGAGAAUUUGGCAUAAAGGCGAUGCUCUCGAAGUUUCAUCAAUACCAGCCUUAGAUGUUCGGCAUGUUCCUCUUCAUUUUUGGAGUAGAUGAGUAUGUCAUCGAGGUAUACUACGACGAAUUUGUCCAAGUACUCCAUGAAAACCGAGUUCAUUAACCGGGAGAAAGUGGCCGGGGCAUUGGUUAAACCGAAGGACAUGACGGUGUACUCGUAUUGGCCAUAACGAGUGACAAAAGCCGUUUUGGGAAUGUCCCCGUUUCUGAUUUUGAUUUGAUGGUAGCCCAACCUCAAAUCCAUCUUGGAGAAGACUGAGGAUCCAGCGAGCUGAUCGUACAGGUCGUUGAUCCUGGGAAGCGGGUAUUUGUUCUUGAUGGUGACCAGAUUGACAGGUCGGUAAUCCACAACCAUUCGAUCCGUUCCAUCCUUCUUCUUGACGAAGAGGACGGGGCAAGCCCAAGGAGAGGAGCUAGGACGGAUGAACCCUUUGUUCAAGGACUCAUCGAGUUGGUUCUUAAGCUCGGCUAGUUCUAAGGGUGCCAUCUUGUAGGGUCUUCUAGCAAUUGGAACGGUUCCUGGAACAAGGUCUAUCACAAACUCGACAUCCCGGUCAGGUGGAACACCUGGCAGUUCUUCCGGAAACACAUCCGGGAAGUCUCGGACUACCGGAACGUCCUCAAGGUCUGGAAGGGGGUUGGCAUUGAGAGAGUAAAGUUGGCGCUUGGCCACUCGAGUUAAGACAUUAACUGUCUUGCCCGAGGGAUGAGUAAGUUGAACGGUUCUAGUGGCACAAUCGAUCUUGGCAUAGUGAGCCGACAUCCAGUCCAUACCCAAGAUGAUAUUUAUGUCGGAGGACUUGAGAGCUAUUAAAGAUGCAAGGAAGACAAGCCUAUCGACAAGAAUUUCGUUCCCAUGGCUUACCCUAGAAGUUUGCCAUUUGGAACCCGGAGUUUGAAUUACCAUGGAAGUGGGCAUGUCACAGAAUGUCGUGUUAUGCAACCGAGCAUAAUUCUCGGAUAUGAAUGAAUGAGAUGCUCCAGUAUCGAAAAGAACAGAUGCCGGAUGGCAGUUAACAAGGAGCGUACCAAGGACGACGUUGGGAUCCUCAUGAGCCUCUUCGGCUGAGAUGUAGUUGACAUGGCCACGUGCAGUAGUGGCCGGCUUGGCGUAGAAAGUCUUUCCCGCGGGCUUACCACGGCCAACGGACUUUCCCGCUUGAUUGGGGUUGUUCUGGGGACACUCUCGACUAUAGUGACCCGGUUCUCCACACUUGAAGCAUGUUACCACAGUGGGGCGUGGAGCAACAUUAGCAGCGGGGCCACCAUAGGGCUUGGAUGGUGCAAUUUGCUGGUUGGGACGAGGCGCCUCAAAGGAUGGCCUCGGGGUGAAUCUGGGUGGCAGUGCGGUGCUUGGAAUCCACACCCGGCGCUUCUGAGCUCCAGAGCCGGAUGAAGACCCAAAAUCACGAGAAUGCUUGCGUGAAGCGUCAUAAUCAGUCUGGCCUGUCUCAGCACUGAUAGCUUUAUUGACCAACUUCUGGAAGGAUGUGCACUCGUGCAGACGGAGAUCGCGGCGAAGCUCAGGGCUAAGUCCCUUACGGAACCUUGCCUGCUUCUUGGCGUCAGUAGAAACCUCUUCAGGAGCAUAGUGUGCCAGGUUCCCAAAUUCUCGGCUAUAUGCAUCCACAGUCAGCCUUCCUUGGGUGAAGUUGCAGAACUCCUCCCUCUUGCGAUCCAUGAGACCUUCCGGAAUGUGAUGCUCACGGAAAGCCUCGCUGAACUCAGCCCAGGUAGUGAUUUGACCGACCGGGCGCAUAGCUUCGUAGUUUUCCCACCAAUGGCUAGCGGGGCCCUCAAGAUGAUAAGCAGCAUAGGUAACCUUGUCGGCUUCAGCUACGUUGGCAGAACGUAGCUUGUGGGUGAUGCUGCGAAGCCAAUCAUCCGCGUCGAGGGGCUCGACGGAAUGGUUAAACUUUGGUGGGUACAGCUUGAUGAAGUCGUUGAUUGACACCAAGGCAUUUCGUGGGUGGCGUGCAGUGUUCUGCUCAAUCCGCUCCAGCAGGCGGUUGGUCUCACGCUUGUUCCUUUCCGCCUCCAGCAUCACUUCGGCCAGGGAAGGCGGGUGGGGCAAAUUUUCACCUCUAGCUGCAUUGGCUUCCCCCUGCUCCGGGGCAGCAGGGUUUCCGCGGGUGUUGACCAUCCUAGGAGGGAAAACAAAACAACGGUUUAGACGAGGAUGGCUCAAACUUAACAGGGAAGUGCAGAAUGUAAAGGAUAACGCGGAAUGCAGAGAUGCUCAUUCGUAUGCCAUGGUAAUAUAAAACUGCCAUAUAUACACCGACGGUCAUACUCGUCAUACAUAGUUUAGUACAAGCCCAUGCUACAGUACAACUAUGAAGGUAGACGUUACAUCUCAUCGGAGGCAUUCCGAGUCCCUAUACAUUAUUUGUCUACACCUCCGGAAUCGAUUACACACCAAGUCGUAUUCCACAAGUCACACAGGACAGUGGAGAUACAACUACUACAAUACUAGUGGUACUACUACUAACUCAGAUAGCUCCGUAGUAGUCCUCAUAGAAGUCACCUCCAUAGCCUGGAAGUUCAACGUGAUCAUCCGGAAACAGACGGUCCUGAGGAGCCUGUGGACCAUAGGGGCUAGGAUAAGGUCUUGGACCAACAAACGGUGGCCUGCGGGGACCAAGGGGUGGGGUGAUGCCUCCCACAUCACGCCAAUCCACCAUGUCUGGCAGAGCUGCUCUCACAGGAUACAGAUCCCUGGUAUCCAUACAUCCAGCUUGCACCGCGGGUGCAAACCGAGUCAAUGUGGCCCAAUGAUCAGCACGGGUAUUGAAGAGCUCCAGCCUCAAGGCCCGAUUCUCUCGGUCCUUAUCUUCGAGCAUCUCAGCGGUGGUACGAGUUAAUGAGUCCUCCUGAGUGGAGUCAGCAUAGAUAGCCUGAAGAUACCCCUGCGCUCCCGGAAGUGAAGCUGGCAUGUAACGGAAGCCAGUGUUCCGAAGCAGGCCAGUCCGGACUCGCAAGAUGGUCAUCAUGGAAUAGGCAGCAUCCUGCACAGCCAUCUCAAUGGUAACUCCGAGUCCAUAGGAACAGUGAAGGGGCUCGGUAGAUCCAGGAUAGGAAGGAAAUAUCCUGACGGUGCAUAAAUACUGGCUUUGAUUAAAGUCGCGGAACUGCUCUUCAACAGUGUAUUCGGGAUACCAACGGUAUCCUGUCUCGAUCAUUACCCGGACCAACAUAGCAGUAUGACCGGGCACGUCGAGGCACCUGGUCAGGCGAACCACUUGGUUUUGAGACUGGUUGUCCAUCUGAAAGCAUAGCCACAAGACAAAGACAUCAGAAUUCCUAGGGAAAAUUGGGCAGCAUAACGGCUGUAAAUGCUCAGAAAAAGAUUUGAGACAUCCACAACAGUUCACAAUACCGCUCAACAGCAUCAUAUCAAGGUUCUGAUUCAAAUAGCCACAUACUAAAAUAGUAGAAACUGGACUGAAACUCGUAGCAAAAAUCCUAUGAGCUACUACGGAUUAGUAACACGUGAACCUGAUAGAAGAAGAGAGCCUAGUCCUUAACCCACGUUGAAUGAGAAGAGAAUAACUCAGAUCAGAAGCAUAGGGUAAAGGAGUAAAAGAACCUUACGUUCCCUCCCACAAUCAAUUCCCUUACAUAUAACUAAAGCAUUUCUAGACUCGACAUCGACCAGUUUGGCUGAACGAACCUACAGGCAGUCCGGCUCUGAUGCCAACGCUGUCAGGACCCCGAUUCUAAGCCACAUCGAUCUAGCCGGUAACACCUCAUAUCACUUUGCGGCCUCACGCACGGUAUCCCACGGGUGUCGCCUUACCAUGGCCCGGGACCGUUUGCGCCUUUUGGCUCACGUAUAUGACAAUGUCGCUAGCAUCCAUAUGACCGAGAACCUGGGCCGACAUGGCUAGUCGUGAACCCAAAGCGGCACAGACCUAUGGAGACAGGCAUACAUGAAUCACAACGAACAUGUCGGUCAUCAACGAGUGAUUCCGGGCUGUAGCACUGGGCUAGCAGGACUCCGGGGAAUCCCGGGCUGUAGCAGGCUAGACAGGACUCCGGAGAUCACCGCGUGACAUUUCCCCGAAGGGACAGACAUAGGGACGAAGUGAAACACAUGCCGGCCAGUCAAGUGUCCUGAACAGUAGUGCUGGGCUAGCAGGACUCCGGUGAACCGGGCUGUAGCGGACUACUAUGGCUCGAGGAGCACUAGACUACAUUUCCCCAUAAGAAAGGCUGCGAAGGGCAAACAACUAGAUUGUCAGAUCCCACUCAUACCAAGCAUUUCAAACAUACAUACAAUAUGCUCGAUAUGGGUACAUACAACAUGGCAUCACAACAAAACUCUACAACUCAAGUACUUUAUUUAAAGGCUCCAGGGAGCCAUACAUAACAUAUCCAUACAGGUAGGGGUCACAUGACCCGACACUCAAGUCAUACAGUCAUACAAGCACAUGCGGAAGCAACUAGUCUGAGUACAGACUCUAGAAAGAAAGAAGGCUUCUCGAAGCCUGUCUAUCUACAUAGGGCCCUCCAUGGCCUGGAUCACCACCUGGGUGUCUAGUCACUCGUCGACGUCAAGAUCUACGUAAAACCCAUCGGAGGGGGGCAGUGUUGUCGUCUGAAAACAAUAAAUAAGCAAACAUGAGUACAAAGGUACUCAGCAAGUCUUACAUCAGAACCUACUGUACAUGCUCAUUCUCAAGAAGGUGGUGGGGUUUAUGCAGCAAGCCAGCUUUGACUCUUGGCUAAGCUAUCCUACGGAAUCUUUUAGCAAAAUAGUUUUCGCACACGAGUCCACUACUCACCAUCACAAUACUCCACCGAGGAUCCUCCCUCGUAUCCUGUGAAGGGGGCCAUCCCCGGUACUCACACUUAUCUUGAGUCUUUUAGUAGUAUCCAUUAACUUGUCUAUGAACUGUAUAUGCAAUCAAGUAGUCCUUUACCGCGGACGCGGCUAUUCGAAUAGUUUUAUACCCUGCAGGGGUGUACUUCGUCAUACACGCUUUCACCGCUUACCGCCGUCUACACGACAUGUACUCGGCUACCUUCAAGCGGAAGCCCAGCGAGGGUGUCGGCCACGGCCUACCUAAUCACCUAAGCCCCUAGUCCAGGUUAUCGCCUAUCCAGGUUCCAUCCGCAGGGAGUCCGGCCGAGGUUUCCACAUACGGCCCCGAACGAUGUGAACAGGGUUCCCGAGACACCAAACGGGUGACUCGGUACACCGUGCCACGGUGUAUCUACCGCAACAUAGCCCACCCCUAGGGUCAGCGCUACGCACGGCCGCCAACACAUAUCCUACAAGCACGAGAAACUAUUUGCAACUCCUGGACAGAGUACUAGGGUGGCUAAGAAGCCGAGAGGGUCCAUUUGUUUCGGGCCCAAUGUACGGUAGUAACUGCAUCUUAAAUCACACAUUCAGAUCUCAGUUCUUAUGGACGGCCUCAAUGAAACAACCCACCAUGUACUCCUACAUGGCCUCUCAUUGAUACCUUUACCAAAACAUGUUCAACACAUCCCUCAUAUUACUGGCACAAGCAUUUCACUCUAGCCCAUCACCCAGAUGAACCAGACCUGACACAACUCUAGGCAUAGCAGGCAUAGCAAGGUAGGAAUCACAAAACAUGGCUCAAUCAACUCCUACACAUGCUAGUGGGUUUCAUCUAGUUACUGUGGCAAUGACAGGUCAUGCAGAGGAUAAGGGUUCAACUACCGUAGCACACAGCAGUUUGAAACGUGUUGACUUAAUGCAGUAAACAAGAGCAGGAGCGAGAACAUGGGUUGUAUCGGAAUGAUCAAUGGUUGCUUGCCUGAUGGAGUGGUGACGGGAUACUGCCCUUCAGUUGGAUACUCGUGAAUAUCCUCGGAGGCAGAACCUACCACGAAGAACACAACCGAGCACAAUCAACACAUGACGAUAUGCAACAAUAUGAUGCAUGCUAUGACAUGGCAAUAUGGAUGUGUCUUGAGCUAAUGCAACUAGCUAUAAUUUAAAUGGAGUUGGUUUGAGUGCAAGAUUCAAAUUCCAACCCCAUAUAUGAUUAUUUAAAUGCCCUUUAUUUGUUUUGUCCAAAACAGGGGACAAACAUUGUUCAAACAUGCAUGAAAAUGGUACAGAUGAAUUCCUUGAAUUUUUCUGAUAAUUUUACAUAUAUAAUUUGUCUCAUUUGGAGUUAUGGUUGAAUUUCUAUGAAUUUUUGAAGUUUGAACUAUUUUCUGGAAUUUCCUGAAUAAAAAUAAUUCUAGUAAAUCAAUUACUGCGUCAGCAAUGCGUCAGGGUGACGUCAGGGUCAACGGGGACGUCCAGGUCAAACCUGACUGGUGGGUCCCGCGUGUCAGUAGUUAAUUAAACUAACUAAUUUUAGUUAGGAACUAUUCUGGAUAAUUAGCAGAGGGGGGCCCACUUGUCAUUGACUCAGGGGAGUCAACUGGGCCCACCCAGUCCACGUCAGUGGUCAAACUCGCCGGCGUUUAGCCGCCGGCGAGGCCAGACGCGGCGGCGUGCUGCGGGAUUUGCCCACAGGGCUCCGUUUGCCACACGGAGAGCAGCUACGGGCAGCUGGUGCUCGCCCGCAUCCAGCCGUGGUGAUGGCUUGGCCGGGGAGUGGCCGGAGCAUCGCCGGCGAUGAGGUUAGGCGGAGGCCGAAGCUCGGGCCAGCUCGUGCGUGUGGCUGCAGUGGCCUAGGCGAUGUGGCGCUAGCACCUACAGCCUCUACGCGGCGCGAGGAGUGUGACGGACACAAGCCCGUGACCAGAUGGUCACCGGAGCAACGCCGGCGACGUGGUCAGGCGGCGGCGCGUUCGGGCACAAGAGAUGCGGCGUCUACGGUGUUCCAGGGGUGAAACAGAAAGCACGGGGAGGUUCAACAGCUCACAGAGAAGCCGCAGGGAGGGUCAGCGUGCUCGGGGAAGGCUCGGUGCGGUCGGAACGGCGACGGUGAUCUGGGCGGCCCGAGGUUGAAGACGAGCUCGGUGGAGUUGUUUGCGGGCCUCCGGCGGGGCGUGGCUUGGUGGAGCGAUCGAGGAGGAAGUGGCGGAGCUUCAGGACACGGUGGAGCAGCGCGGGGACGGCGGUGGACACGACUACGCUGGCGGAACGACGACGGCUGCGUCGGCCAUGGCUAAGGGGAGCGAGGGAGUGAGGCAGGGGGCGAGUGAGCAUGUCCAGGGGGUCGAGGCGGCGACGUGGAGCCUGUCUAGGCCAGCAGGGCGGCGAGGGGAGGAAGCAGGGCGGCAGCCAGCUGCGUGGCGCGCGCGGGUGCCGCCGUCGAGCACCUGCCUGCCUGCCUGGCCGAGCCAAGCUGCUCGCUGGCGCGGUGGCUGGGCUGGGCCGGCAGGUGGGCCUGGUGGGCGGCGCCAGGUAAGGCCCAGGUGGGCUUCUCCCUCUCCUCUUUUUUCUGUUUUCUAUUUUCUGUAACUGUUGGGCUUUAUUAAAAAUACUAAAAUAUUUCCAAAAUUCAUGAAAAUAAAUGUGAGCUCUGUUUAGAAUAUUUCCAACAGAAAACAUUUAUUCCCAAAAUUAUUUGAGCAUUUAAAUUAUUUUAUAGCAUUUAAAUGCCCAAAUUCAAAUACUUAUGAAUUAAAUCAAUGCCCCUUUUGAUGACCUAAAAUUAUAUUCACCAUUUUUCCCAAGGGUUCUAACCCAAGGCAAAGAGGGUGAACAUUUCUGAAGGGCAUUUCAGGUUCAUUGAAUUUAUUUUUAGUAAACCCUAGUUGAUUUCAGGGGGGGGGUGCUGGGGGUUCUGCUUUCCCCAUUUCCAUUUCUGAUGAAAGUAGACAUGAUGCACACUCUAAUGCAUAACCUAGUUAGGAUGUGACAAACGUCCUCGACUACAUCGAGGCCGGCAACACGCCGCGCCUCGAGUACCCCGCCCCCGCUCCCUCGUCCUUCUCUCGCCGUCGUGGCAGCUCGCGGAUGCCGCGGCGGUUGUCAUACGCGACGACCUCCUCCUCCUCGGGUGGCUCGCCGGCGGCCUUCGCCGUCAAGCCCGAGCCGCAGGACACGGCGGGGGAGUCCCCGCUAGGGCGCCACACCCGCAGCGGUGCCCUGACCAUCCGCGAGGAAGGCCACGGCGGUCGCCUGCGCCUCGUCCGACCGAAAACCGAGCCGGAGCCUCCCCUGCUCCCGGUGAAGCCAGAGCACCUCGCGAUGGCCGCCGCCGACGAGACGGCCCAUGAAGUGGGUGAGGGAGGACUACGUCCGUGAGAAGGUGGCUCGCCAGCGCCGCGCCAUCGAGGAACUCAAGGCGUGCCACCACCGCCCCGUCCGCGAGGUGGACGGCGUCGUCUACCUCGACAGCGACGAGGAGGAGGCCGGGCCAUCCCGCGUCGGCGACCAUGGACAGGGCUGCAGCAGGGACGGCGGCGGGUCGCAGGGCGAGGACGACGAGGAAGACGACGACGAUGAUGACGAUGACGGAGACUACACCGACUUCUACAAGCACCUAGGCAUGUAGAAGCCGGACGGCGGCGAGGACGGCGUAGCUAGGCCGUGUUUAUUUUUUUUGUACAAAUUUGAAUGAAGGUCGCCGAGUUUGUGCCAAAAAACGCCGAAUAGAUUUAGCCCUGGGGCCGACCUGGGGCAACGAGUAGGAACGCAUUCGCCCCCACGCCGGAAAUCUCGCCGGCUCGCUCUUAGGACGCGUUUUUUUCGUCCGGCUGGGGCUGCACCGGCGCAAAUUUUAGGUUUGGGGGGAAAUUUUUUCCAGCCGUCUCCACCCCCAAGCAUCCCUGCACCUCGACGAGGAGGACGCGUGGCGCGCAGCGAGGAAGCGGCCGGGCCGGUGACGAUGUCGAGGAGGGCCCGGAGCAGAGGAGGAGGUCCAGGCCGCCGUCCUUGUGUCGGAGCGACGCCAUGAAGAAGAAGAGGAGCAAGAGGUCCGGGCUCUCCGCCACGCUGCGGGAGCUCAGGCUGGCGGCCAAGGCAAGGGACAAGGAAGGGCUCCUUCAGAUUUCUCGUCAUCGUACACCGCACCAGGGCAGCAGUCUUGGUGGCCGGCUGGCUGUAGAGCCCGACGCCGCCGUCCUCCAUGAUCUGGAAAGCGAGCGUGACGACGAGCUCCCCACCCUUGGCCUUGCCGGCGAGCAGGAACGCCAUCUGCCACUGCCGGACGCGCUCCCCUUGCUGGCUCUUCUCCGUGGACUCCUUCACGAGGGCGCCCAAGUCCACCGUGCUCUGGUCAAGGUCCAGCUCCGGCGCGUCCACGGCGACCACGGACAGCAGAAACGGGCGGGGCUCGAACUGGAGCGCCCUCGUGCGACUCCUUCUUGUGCAUGGCCACGGCGAGGCCCUGCGGAGAACGCGUGGUGUGCACGACUCCUUCUGGCCGAAGAGCACGCGUGGUGUGCUCGAACCGCCCUGGAUCCGUGGUUGCACCACCGUGUGGUGCUCUUCGACCUCGUCUGCACGACGGCACGACGACGAGUAGGCGGCGAGCGGGGAGGCAGGUGCUCCGCCCGGCCACGAGCUCGGCCCCGGCCACGCUCCGCCCGGCCGCGAGCUCGCCCGGCCACGCUCCGUCCGGCCGCGAACUCGCCGGCCAUGCUCCGCCCCGCCCGGCCUCGGAGUUGCUCGCCCCUUCCCGUCCACGCCCGGAGUCUAUCGCCCUCGCCUCGUCCACGCCCGGCCACGAGCUCCGCCCCGCUGGUGGAGAAGGACGACGGGAAGAGGCGUAGCUGGUGGAGAAGGAAGUCGUGGAGGAGGACGACAGGGAGAGGAUGGACGAGAUGGCGCUCCUCGCCGACGCCGCUGGCGUCUUGCUCGCGGAGGAAGGCUUGAGGGGGGCGGGCGGCAGCCAGGCAAGCGGACUUCUCCAUGGCCGAUCUCGGGAGAGGGGAGAGGAAAAGAGAGGACAGAGGGUGAGGCCACAGGAUGGGUCCCAGAUGAAAAGAGAUGAGAGAGGGAGGUGGGAGGCUGAGGGUGGGCCAGCAGCGAGGAAAAGAAGCCGCCGGCACGCCCAGCUGCCCCCCAGGGGGCUGGGUUCGGGGUGAGACUACCGGCGCUGUUUUUCUUCAAAUUCAGCGAAAAAUGACGCUUUGAAAGCGUGAGUGAGAGGAUUUUUUGUCGCGGACAUUAAAAAAAUGACCUGGGGGCGUUUCUGAAGACGUGGGUGGAGAUGCUCUAAGGAAUAGCACCUUGAGAGGAAGAUGCAAGGCGGCGAGGAAGCAAAUCCUGUGGUCGAGGGAGCGCGUGCCAGGAGGGCUCGCGCCAUCGCUUCUGCUGCGAUGCGGGGCUUGGCAGGUGGCACUGCAACGACUGCAGCGCUUGUGAGCACCCGCGGCAGGAUGCUCCCCGCUGACGUCGAGGCCGGCGUGCUCUCCUCGAUCCUGCACGUGCGUAGGGAUUUGGGCCGAUCAUGUCAGUCAAAUUCGAGUUCAUUUUGAGCCUGUUUGCUUUUUUUUUUUACUUUUCCAGUCCCCUGGCUGCAGGGCAUGGUACAUGUGACCUUCGGCGAGAUCGCCGGCGGACCGUCCGACGUGUCUUUCAAUUUUUUUUGAGCAUCAGUACAAACACAAACGCUCAUAUACACGCGCAUACACUCAUUCCUAUGAACGCACACACGCACACCCUACCCCUAUGAGCACCUCCGAGAGACUGAGCCGGCAUAUCAUUUUGAGAUUUACGAAGUCACUGUAGGCGCCUCGUCGUCGACGGGAACGUCUCCUUCCACUGAAAGCGCAUCGUCGAAAAUCCUGAAAUAAAUCCAGGAUUAAUGCGAGCACCAGAAUUUGAACCCUGGUGAGUUGGGAAUACCACUGUCCACCCAACCAACUCAAUCACAGGUUGAUUCGCACGUGUCUUUUAAUUUGGAGUGCUAACUUUAUUGCAUGGAAGAACCGUACUGUAAAAUAAGUUGAUCUGGAUUUUUUUUACGUAUAGAAGUUGAUCCGAGUUUGCAAUGGUGCAUUUCUGCUACUAAAUCCGACAUCUUCAUGAUGCUCUGGCCCUGCCUUAUGUAUCUAGGACGGUUGCAUCAAGGUGUGUAUCUUAACUGUUCUGGACAUGCUCUAAAUGUUGUAGAAGUAGCCUGCAAAAGUAGUGUAUACAUAGCUAAAAAGCUGUGGAAUUCUAGCUGAAUUUCGGGUCAGCCCUGGGGCACCCAAUGGGCCAGCGAGCCACAUGAUUUUGUCGGAAUGGGUCGACCCGUGACCCCUGAAAUUGGCCUUGAGACCAUUGGUCCAGGUCCAGGCCCACACAUUCCCAUCUUGACUCCAAACACUGGCCCCCAGCAGAAUCGGUCUAGCUCUAGCUCCGUCACUGCUUCUGCCAAUGCGAAAGCUUCUAUGCAGGGCCACAGCCUCGAGAGUCCAAGGGUCAGCACCAGUGGCGAAGCCAGAAAUUUAAUAUAGAGAGGGCCAAACUGUGUUAUAUGAUGUUAGACGAGACCAAAUCAUUUAAAUAUUGCUACUUUUGUUUGACAAAUAGAGGAUCAAGAGCACAUGUAGUUGUAUUUCUGAGAGUAUAGAGGGGGGCCUGCCAACACCCCUGCCUCCGCCACUGGUCAACACUAGUAGAAAACAGAGUUUUGGUCCAGGCCUGGCCAGCCCAUUAGUCCCGGUUCAAUCACGAACCGGGACCCAUGGGGGCAUACGUCCCGAUUUGUGAGCCCAGGGGGACGGCCGGGCCUCGUGGGGCAUUGGUCCCGGUUCGUCUGGACCCAUUAGUCCCGGUUCCAGCCACGAGCCGGGACCAAUGAGGUGGCUAUAUAUACCCCUAGCCCGCGAGCAGAGCACUCCACUGCUCUGUUUUUUUCUGGACAGCGAGGGAAGGACUUUGUGGUGCUCUAGCUCACCUCCUAUGCACAUGAGGUGUUCGAUGAAAUGCCUGAGCCACACUACUUAAGCUUUUUCCUCUCUAAACUCGACUUCCAAACUCCAUUUUCCUUAAGAUUUAUUUAGGUUUAGCGGUCUGUCCCGUCCCCGUCUUCACCGUCGUCGAUCGCCCGCGCCGAUCUCGUCGAGUCCUCUCUAUACGUAUAGUACGUAGCGUCGACCAAGCACGGAGGUAAGAGAGGACACUUCUUUCUAUUAGCUAGCUAACACAAUAUAUGAAACCCCUAAAUUAACCCUACAAACCCCCCAACCGCCCCAAAAAACCCAGCCCCUAAAAUGUUGACGUGUUGAUGCUUUUUGGUCCCGGUUGGUGCUACCAACCAGAAUAAAAGACAUAAUAUAUUUUGCAACAAAAUUCAUCACACCUUGCUGCCUUGAGCCGACACUGAGACCUUCAACCUGUUGUCAUCCUAACAUAAAAAGUUGCAAAUUGUUUUGUUUAGCAAGGAUUAAGAUUUAAGAGUUGCUCGACUAGUACUUGUCUUGCAACCAAACUAGUGUCACAGCAUGUCCACGAGUCAGUGCCCUGGGCACUUGUAGUCCUUGGUGUUUACCGAUGUAUAUAUCUGUUCUGAUUGUGUUUAAUGAGCAGCAGGGAUAACUAAUCGUGCUACCGUUACCAUGGCAUUAUAUACAAACAUUUUUCCUGUUGAAACAUGAUCACAAUCAUAUCGAUCUGAAAAAGAAGAGAAAAAUGAGAAAUAUUAUAUAUUCAGUAAAAGCAAAAUAUUAAUUCAUGAAUUAGUAAAGGUUGUACCUCGGUGAUGGAGUGUACAUCAGUGUGGUGACUCCAACUCGCUUGUCAGACAUUGAAUGUAGUGCGCCUCUGUUCUGUUGCUUCUGUAGAGCGUCAGCAGAUCUGGGCUGCUGUUCCUAUUUUUUGUUCUGCUCAGUGACUUGAACUGAGGUGAGUUAACUUGCUUUUCCUGAAUUUCAUGACCAAAACAGAGAAGAGCUUAAGGGAUAUAAAAGGGGGGGAAUGAAACACUAGGAGGGAUGUACAUGCUUGUGUUGACCAGUGCUUUAUAUUUAUGUGGGGACAAAUGCAUUGGAUAUUUUGUUCGAAUAGGAGGGAUAUAUCUAAGCAUAUUGCCACUAGGAAAAAGUCACUCUGCUCUUCAGAUUCAUAACUUCCGUAAGCGGGUUUUACUUGAUCAAAAUUGGAGGUUAAGAUAGCUUGAUUUUUUUCACUGGGAUUAGACUUAUGUGUUUACUCAGAAAUUCCAGCUAACUAUCUCUGAAAUAAAAGAAAAACGGACCUAAUUAGUCUGAUGUAAAUUUUCUGCUGGACAUGUGCACAGAACUUAUUCACCAUACUAUUUCUGAGGAGUAUCUCCAUACUAUUUAACCGUCACAACAACAAAUGCCAAUCUUUCAAGACUCCUCACAGGAAGAAAAAUUGGUAUAGCAAAUUAGGAAUAUUUAUGCAUGGAAGGUGACUGCACGUAGAUAGAGAGCAUUCCUUACUCUAUUUACACAUAUAUUACAUUCCUUCUGCAUGGUUGGCAUAUAUGGUUUGUGGGGUCAGUUCUGUCUGGUUGAGCAUGUUACUGUAUCAGGGGAAGACUGCAUUCUGAGAUCAAUCGACAUGUUAAUCUGGAACAAAAGAAAAUGGCACAAAGCUUCUCAAAAUGGAUAUGCUCGACAGCUAGGUAGUUAUAUAAAAUAUUCUUAUCUAUAUUUACUGAAGUUUAUGUAAAUAAUCUGAUGUGACAUGCAAGCACACCUUGAACAUAAAUUUAAGCAGCAACAAUACUAUUUCUUCAGACUCACACGGCACAACUCUUACUCUCUCCGUUCCUAAAUAUAAGUCUUUAGAGAUUCCACCACAAACUACAUACGGAUGUAUAUAGACAUGUUUUAGAAUGUAGCUUUAUUCAUUUUGCUCCGUAUAUAGUCCAUAGUGAAAUCUCUAAAAAGACUUAUAUUUAGAAACGGAGGGAGUACAUGAUAACAACAUCAUCUAAAACAAAUGAGGAACAGCUCCCGUACCCAAAGAUGGCGAAUGGUGAAUGCUUCUUGCCAAUACACGUAACUUACAAUUUAUAUAUCCAUAUAAUUAAGUGUACAUAAACAUAGAGAAAUGAAUCAUUAGAAAAAACGUUGCACCUCCACAAAAUUGGUGGCUUCGUGAUCCCAAAUUACAAGUGUAGUAGUACUACAAAGAAAAAUUACCUAGUGUAGUAUAAACACAAUAGAGGAAAAACUCACAUGUCUCAAUACUCUAUAGCAUCAACAGCAAACAUUCUGUUUGCCAUCCUAAAAAGAUGAUGGUUGCAUCUGUCGUGUUCCUUGACUCUACACCAUGGGUGCAUUGCCUCUAAUUUAUCGCUUCUUUUUUUGGCGAAAAGUAGCCUCUAAUUUAUCUCAAGAAGCUAAUCUGAAUCUAAUGCAUUCUGAAUUUCUGAACACUAGUUGGCAAGCUGUUCCUGGCUUCUUGCCGUAUGGUUGACAAGUCCACUCAGGAAAAAACUUGGAAUGUUCCGUCAGAAAAUAACAAGGCUCGCCAACUUCAGUCUUACUGAAAUGGCAGCAAAAGUAAAUAGGUUAAGAAAACUUACGCAGCACCAAAAGAGGGAAAGAAAUAACAACACAUAAACAACUGCAAAGUUCAUGAGUUUGCCUACAGAAUUUUGGAACUUCAAAUAGUGUAGUAUUCUACUCCCUCUGUUUCUAAAUAAUUGUCUUUCUAGACAUUUUAAAUGGCUACCACAUACGGAUGGAGUAGAUUUAAAUUUAGAGGUUUCUAUCUGUCAAGCUGGAACAUAAUUAAAUUAUAACAGUAGAUAAACUGGCAGGAAAUUAAGAUUAGAUAAACUAUCACAGUAGAAACUUGCUGACACAAACAAACGGCAGCAAGAAGAGUCUGAAGCGACACUAGCAGACAGGAACAUCGAUUCAAACAGCAACAUCACUAUUUCUUCAGAAACACAAGCAGCACAAUUCUUACAGAGAUUGUAACAUCGUACUACUGCCGACUACGUACACGACGCCUGCCGCCAUCAACUCAUGAAACAACAACGAAGCCAGCCUAGGAUGAGGUGAACUUGGUGACGGCCUUGGUGCCCUCGGAGACGGCGUGCUUGGCGAGCUCGCCGGGGAGGACGAGGCGGACGGAGGUCUGGAUCUCCCGGGACGUGAUGGUGGGCUUCUUGUUGUAGCGGGCCAGCUUGGCGGACUCGCCGGCGAGCUUCUCGAAGAUGUCGUUGAUGAAGGAGUUCAUGAUGGACAUGGCCUUGGAGGAGAUGCCGAUGUCCGGGUGCACCUGUUUGAGCACCUUGAAGAUGUAGAUCUUGUACGUCUCCACGCCCUUCUUGGCCUUGCUGCCCUUCUUCCUGCCCCUCGUCUUCCCCUCGCCGCCGGCCUCCUUGGUCGCCGGCGCCCGCUUCUCCGCCUUGGGCUUCUUCCCCGCGGUGGUCUUCUCGGCCGUGGCCACCGGCUUCUUCUCCGCUGCCUUGGGUGCCAUGGGUGCUGGUGGUGGUGGUGGUUCGAGCGUGGGGCUUGGUGUGGGAUGUGAGGGGGUUGCGGAUGCUGUGGUGUGCAGAGACGGAGGGGGCGGCGAGGUUAUGUAGGGAGCGGCGAGGAGGAGGAAGCAGGCGGGCUGCGGUUGGCGGAGAGGAUGGUGCCUCGGAUCGAUGGCGUGGAGUGGCUCCAGCCGUUCGGUGAUGCUUGGGACGGACGGACUGGAUGCGCUUUGCCGCGGAUCGAUGACGUGGCGAGAUGACUUCCCGCUGGAGCGGCGCGGAUCGAUGACGUCCGCCAAAGCACAGUAGAAAUCAAACUGAAGCCGCUGAAACUGUGGUCUCACCCAAUUGAACAAAAAAACAACUAAAAUCCAAAUGAAAUUCACGGCAAAUCUUAAAUGGCGCCUUAAACGCCUGUUUCUUCUGUUUCCAAAAUUAGCCCCUCCCCCCACGCUGGGCAGCCCGUUUUAGUUUUUUUUUCCUGUUAAACUGCAACAAGAAACACACUCGAGGUGAAUCUAACAUGUGACCUACUGUCUUUCAAUAAACUUCAGUAACCACCUGGGAUCCCAAAGUUGUUGUGUUUUCUUACUCCCUUUUUCUUCUUUAUUUUUUCUUUUUCUUUUUUAUUUCCUUAAAUUCAUGAAAUCUUUUUUCCAAAAUCUAUGAACUUUUUUCUCAGAAUCAAUGUUUUUUUUCAGCAUUCUGAACUUUUUUCAAAACUGAUGAUCUUUUUUCAAAUAUGUGAUUUUUUUCUUUCAAAUUUGAUGAACUUUUCCAAAAUUGAUGUUUUUUCCCAUUUGUGAAAUUUUAAAAAAUAGAUUUGUGGGAAACGAUGCGUAUAUUGGCAUCAAAUUCAGUUUAUACCCUUGUUAGUAUGUUGUGUUGUUUGCCAGGAAACAGAAAACCAAAGUAUAUGGCGUUGAAGGAAGUACCCUAAAGGUGAGGCAGUGACGCAGUGUGGCCAUAUAUGUGAGCCAUGGUCUAAUGCAAGUUAAGAUUCAUUGUGGUCGAGCGAACGACCGAAAACAAAAAAGGCUACACACUGUGAAUAAAGAUAGUGUUUGUUUCAUUUUAUCGUUGUAAACAAUAAAGUGUUUGGAUACCACCUGUAUGAGAACGAAAUGUUAUUUCUUACAGUGCUCGUAAUUAUAGUGCCAUUUUUUUGGUGAAAAUUUUGAAUGUUAUGUUCUCCGGUUUUGUUUUGACAUUUGGCAUUUCAGGUCACCCAAAGAAAACUUAAAAAAAUUGAGGCAAGUUGGCAUCCCAAGGGACUAACGAACCACUGAUACAGCAGCUCCUGGUCGUACCACAACAAACCAAGUUAUCAGAAGGAUAAACGAUUUGUCAUAUGAGCAUGUCUCCUCAUAACGGGCACCCCCAUAGCCUCCACCAAAUCGACAAAAUGUUACCCAAACACCGUGCAAAUGUGCCACUAGUACCGAUGGUCGACCACAAGCCAUAGAUUUAAACCGUCAGAACGCAUGAAAUAAACUAGAGAAGUGGAAGAAACUGAAAAGAAACAUGAUGGUCGGCCUAAAUGCGUCCACGGCUGCAACUAGAAGGACUGGAGGCCCAAUGCCAAGAGAGGAAAUAACACUAAUUGAAAAAGAAAACUCAUUCGUCGAUAAAAAAAAUCAUUAUGCAUUUAACCUGUUAUUGUACUAUUCAUCAAUUUACUGAAAAUCCUUGUUAUUUUUUCCACCAUGAAACAUCAACUGCUUAUUUUUCGUGGAAGCUUUCCGGUGACGAACAUUUUUCUACUGGAUCCUUUGAAGGCCCUGCCUGAUCCUAUUUUAAUUUCUCAAUAUCAGUUUCUGCUUUAGCUCAUUAUUACAAAAAUAGUGCCUCAUCUGGCUAGUAAUUUUAGUUUGCAUCUAGCAGCCAAAACGUUCCCUCAGGUCUGGUCUGUUACGUACAUCAAACUCCGAAGGAAAGAUCAUGGUUAAAUUGUCUGCAAAAUGUUUCAUCUUUCUUGUGAAGCAUCUUCCUUGUCCAAUAUAGCAUCAAUCUAUAAUUUGCACCACUUGGGAAUCAUCAAGUGCUAGUUCUCCAUAAAUUCAUUUUCCCACGGCUUGAGAUCUUCAUACGGAACUAAAGAUGAACCGCUGAAAUCACAGAUAAAUGGAAAAUAUCGGACGUUAGAAGAGAGAAUUUCGUAGUACAGCAAAUCUUCAAACGCAAAGGCAGGCAGCAAGCGUUCGCAAGAUCAAUUGCAGCCAUAAGUAGCAGACUAGAGUAGAACAAGAGAGUUAAGAUUGAAGUGAUUGCAUCUUUCGCCAUUGUCACAGAAAUCACAGGUACAAUGUCACCCAUGCUCGACGAAUCUGAUGGGCACAGAAGACUACAAGACACUACAUACAGGAUCUCAUCGUAGUCCAUGAGAAAUGGAUCUAAGCAACAAUGGCUAGGCUAUGGGGACGACGGCUACUCCUUGGUGGCGGCGGUCUUCUUCUUGGGGGACUUGGCGGCCGUCUUCUUCUUGGGCGACUUGGCCUCCUUCUCGGCGGCGGCGGGGGACUUCUUGGGGAGCAGCACGGAGUUGAUGUUGGGGAUCACGCCACCGUGGGCGAUGGUGACGCCGGCGAGCAGCCUGCGGAGCUCCUGGUCAUUGCGGACGGCGAGGAGCAGGUGGCGCGGGAUGAUGCGGGUCUUCUUGUUGUCCUUGGCAGCAUUGCCGGCGAGCUCCAGGACCUGCGCAUUCAAAAACGAAAUCUGUCAGUUAACUGUCCGAGCACGGGAAGAACAGAGCAGAACAGAUGUUCAAGGACGGGGAAGAUCGGCGCAUACCUCUGCGGCGAGGUACUCGAGGACGGCGGCGAGGUAGACGGGGGCGCCGGAGCCGACGCGCUGCGCGUAGCGGCCCUUCUUGAGGUAGCGCCCGAUGCGGCCGACGGGGAACUGGAGCCCGGCCUUGACGGACCUGGUCACCGCCUUCUUCCUGUCGCCGCCCUUCCUUCCGGCCAUCUUGCUUGCUGCUACUUCUCCGGCGACGAGGACUCUCGAGGUGUGGUGUUUGCGGCGGCGGUGCUAGAUCGGAAUGCUCUGAGCUUGUGUGUUGGAACGCUGGCGUGGGCGCGGGUUUUAUCGGGAGGCGGGAGCGUCGCUGGCGGGGGGAGCGAUCCGCGUGAUGCGGUGCGCCAGCCGUUGGAUCUGAGGGGAGCGUGACGGGCCGGGGGAGUGAUCCGUGGGAGCUCCAGAUCGACCAAUCAGAUAGCAGAGAUUUGCAAUACGUACGUGGAAUUGAAAUUGAGUUCAAAACCAAAAAUCAGCCUAUGUAUUGAAAUGGGCUUGAAUUCCUUUUUUUUUUGCUAUUAGAUGGGCUUCAAUUCUGAUUGUGUUUUUGGUCGUAUAUAAAAUUGCUAAUUGGGAUUAAGUGAUUGUCAAUAGCACCCCUAAAAAAAAGUGAUUGUCAAUAGCAGUUUUUUUUUUGAAAAAAACAUAUAUUAAUUAAUUAAACAGAAGUUUAUUACAAUCAGUCAUUACAACAUAUGCCACACAGGGUGGAACAGAGUUAACGAGCAACCCAUCAGACCUAUUAUUAAAACUAAACUUAGCACUCUCAAAUGCCACCUCAUUGGCAUGACGAUUUAUUUUCGAGAAACUCAAAUUUUGGAACAUCUUGACGAUACUCAGAACCUCUUUCUUUAGAUCAACGAGAGGGAAUUUAUCAAGCUUGUCAUUCGCAAGGAAAUAAUGUACGAAAGCACAGUCAAUCUUCAAAAUAAUAUAUUGGUGAAGGGUAAUACCGAUAUAAAGACAUGCUAGGCAUGCGCGGAGCUCAGCUUCACUGACACUAGUACACUUACCAGUAAAAUCCCACGAGGACAUUAUAAUUUCGCCAAUUCCUAGCGACAACCCCCACACUGGCAGCAUUAAUACUCUCCACAAAACUAGCAUCGACAUUGAUCUUGAUAUAAUCCACAAGAGGCAAUUUCCACACCUCAUGCUCUUUCACCGAUGCCAAAUCCACAAUAACCCCUCCCACCUUUUCCUUACCUUUGUUGCAAGAAUCCAACUGUGUAGCGUCGUUAUUGGCCGUAUAAGAGGACCAAUAUUUUUCCACAAAAUUUGUCGAGUUAGUAAUGGAUUCUUUUCCCUUUCCGAAAAUUAAAUCAUUUCUCAGAUGUCAAGCUCGCCAGAAAAGGAAUAAAAUUUGCUCUCCUUGCUGCAAGUUCAACUGAUCCAGCAAACUCAAAAGCCAGUCUGGUCCUGAGCAUUUGAAGAACUCUUCAUCCAGAAUAUUCCAAGAAUCUCUCAAGGCCAACCGCAGAGCACAAGAUUUAGAACACCUCACCAGAGCAUGGAAAGUGCUUUCAUCUUCCACAUCGCAAAUAGAGCACAUACCUGAGUUAGUCUAAUGGUGUUUAAAUCUAUUCAUCUGGACUGCCAAACUAUUCGUAGCAGCACGCCACACAAAAAUCCCAAAUCUUUUGAGCAAAUACCAGUUUUUAUUUAGAAUAGCUAAUUGUAUGUGCAUUGCAACACGGGCAUACAUAUGUUUGUGGUUCACAUUAACUAUGUCUAUCCUCCACCCACUACCUCCAUCUCCCCAAUCCAAUCUUUACCACCUAUGUUAAUGGCUCAUCUGGUCACAAUCCAUGCAAUUUGGAUUCUGGACACAUAAUUCUGCAGUUGAUAUUAAUCUAGUCUCUACAUGGCAGGAGGACGAAAAGAAAAUUUGAAGACAUGGGAACCUAACUGGGUAUAGCAAAAGAAAAUGCGGAGAAAACACCAGUUCACAAGUGAACUUUGUGAACUCUAAUAUAUGUUAUGAAUUAUAUCGAUGAGAAAGUGUGACUUUUUUGAAGAACUCAUGAUGAAUAACAAUAUUAAACAAAUAUAGUUAAAUACUCGGCUAACCAAUUUCCUUGAGUAUAUUUUAUCAAUGUUGACAUUUACAAUAUUUUCCUUGAACACUAGCCUUUGCACAGAACAUUCGCCUUCUCACAACAAUGAUGGGUCACUAGGGCUUGGCAGCACUAGUAAGAAAAUUUAGUACUAUGAGAGCAUCUACAACCGCAUAUGCCAAAUAUGACCCCUCAAACGCCCGCGGGCGUACCAAUAUGACCCCGAGCGUGUCUGCAGGCAGUGAUCGGUCAGUCCUCAAAUUUGCUCAACUGCAUCUGAACACCUCAUACUAAAAUUCUUAAAUCCAUACAAAAGCAUGCGGGAAAAAAAACCUACGUACUACGUAGAUCACUUAGCCUAGUCCUCAUCGGAGAUGUCGACUAUCUCCGUGCCCGACUCCGAGUACAUGGGCGACGGCUGCAGCUCCGGCCCCUCCGGCUACUCCGCUCCGGCCUUGUCCUCUAUCUACACAUCGAGUUCGGCGAAGAGCGCGUCAGCCGUCGCCCGCUCCUAUUGGAGGAACUGCCAGUUAACCUCCACAUAGGCCUCAUCUUGGAUGGACUCCAUGAUGGUCUGCUGCUCCGCCAUCUCUACGGCUUGGGCGACGGUGAACUCCGCCUCCGCGUCCCUUGAUAUGUCUCCGUCGUAUCUACCUUUUCAAACACUUUUGCUCUUGUUUUGGACUCUAAUUUGCAUGAUUUGAAUGAAACUAACUCGGACUGGCGUUAUUUUCAGCAGAACUACCAUGGUGUUGUUUUUUGUGCAAAAAUAAAAGUUCUCAAAAUUGGAUGAAACUUAUUGGAGAUUUUUUAUGGAAUAUAUAAAAAAUACUGGAGCGAAGAUCCACCAGAGGGGACCACUAGUUGCCCACAAGGCAAUAGGGCGCAACCACCCCCUAGGCGCGCCCUGAUGUCUUGUGGGACCCACGUGGCUCUGCUGACCCUAAUCUCAAGCCUAUAAAUUCCUUUUCCCCAAGAAAAAAAUAAAAGCAGAAGUUUCAUCGCGUUUUACGAUAUAGAGCCACCGCUACCUCCUAUUCUUCAUCGGGAGGCCAGAUCUAGAAUCCGUCCGGGGCUCUGGAGAGGGGGAUUCAUCGCCAUCAUCAUCACCAACCCUUCUUCAUCACCAAUUUCAUGAUGCUCACCACUAGGAGUGAGCAAUUCCUUUGUAGGCUUGCCGGACGGUGACGGGGUUAGAUGAGAUUUAUUAUGUAAUCAAGUCAAAUUGUUAGGAAUUGAUCCCUAGUAUCCACUAUGUUCUGAGAUUGAUAUUGCUAUGACUUUACUAUGCUUAAUGCUUGUCACUGGGGCCCGAGUGCCAUGAUUUUAGAUCUGAACCCUUUAUGUUUUCAUGAAUACAUUUGUGUUCUUGAUCCUAUCUUGCAAGUUAUAUGCCUCUAUUACGUGUUAUGAUUCGCAUACCCCGAAGUGACAAUAGUUGGAAUUUUUUCCGGUGAUGAGCGUAAUUUAAGGAGUUCAUGUGUUAAUGCUUUGUUCCAGUUAUCUAUUAAAAGGAGGAAUUAAUAUCCCUUAGUUUCCAUAUGGACCCCGCUGCCACGGGAGGGUGGGACAAAAGAUGUCACACAAGUUCUUAUUAUAAGCACAUAUGACUAUAUACGAAACACAUACCUACAUUACAUUGAUGAAUUGCGGCUAUUGUGUAUCGCUCUAGGUUGUGACCGUUAUAUGAUGAAUGUCAUCUAACACAAAUAUACAUCACUGAUCCAAAAUGUUGGUCAAGAUCUAAUUUGGAAUGUUUGACUGCAGGACUUCUGAAGCAUCUUUCUUAUCCAAUUUAAUUAGCACCAUCUUCAAUCGAUAAGCUGCCACGCAGGGAGAGGCGGAGGAUGAUUGGAAAUCCUAAGUGCUACUUCUUCAUAGAUUCAGUUUCCAGCAGCUUGAUAGGAAUAAGCUUGAAGUGAACUUCACAAGGAGGUAAAGAUAAAUGGCUGAAAAUGACAUAUCAAUGGAAAUUUUUGGAUGCUAGAAGAGAGAAUUUCGUAGUACAAGAUUGAAAUGAUUGCAUCUUUCGCAUUGUCAUAGAAAUCAAAGAUACAAUGCCAUCCUUGCUCGACGAAUCUGACGGGCACUAUAGAUUAGCAGGCAUUACAUACAGGAUCUCAUCUUAGUCCAUGAAAAAUGGAUCUAAGCAACACCGACUAGGCUAUGUGGGCGGCUACUCCUUGGUGGCGGUGACCUUCUUCUUGGGGGACUUGGUGGCGGUCUUCUUCUUGGGCGACUUGGCCUCCUUCUUGGCGGCGGCGGGGGACUUCUUGGGGAGUAGCACGGAGUUGAUGUUGGGGAUCACACCGGCGAGCAGCCUGCCAUGGGCGAUGGUGACGCCGGCGAGCAGCCUGCCGCGCUCCUGGUCGUUGCGGACGGCGAGCAACAGGUGGCGCGGGAUGAUGCGAGUCUUCUUGUUGUCCUUGGCCGCGUUGCCAGCAAGCUCCAGGACCUGAGAUUCAACCAAGAACCAGAUCAGUUAGUUAUCUGUCGAGCACGACGAGAACAGAGUAACAGAGGUUCAAGGAGGGGAGAGAUCGGCGCAUACCUCGGUGGCGAGGUACUUGGAAGUGCAACUAUCCCUGGAUGGUUUUGGUAAUUCCUAACAACAUAUACCUCAUCGAGCUAAUGCUACUUGAAGAUAAAUAUUUCAGGACAAGCUCAAUGUUUGGCAUGGCAUAGAUUAGAAAGUGGACCCCUCAAAAUGCUAAGGACAAAAGAUUGGCUCAAGAUCAAAGCACAAGACUCUACAUUUUACUUUUAGUGAUCCAAGAUCACAUUGAGUCCAUAGGAAAAGCCAAUACUAUUAAAAGGAGGUGAGGUGUUGCUUAAUGAGUUGCUUGCUCAAAAUGCUUAGUGAUAUGCUCCAAAAACCCUCAACUACUUUCUCAUAUCCACAUAUGUCCCAAACCAAAAGUCAAACUCGGCCCCACCGAAAUCUUCUAUCCGGCGCCACCGAGUUCACUUGACAUAGCUACUGCCAGAAACCCUAGUCACUUCGGUCUCACUGAUAAGGAUCUCGGUCUCACCAAGAUGGGAUUGCAAACUCUCUGUUCCCCUUUGUAACGUUUUGGUCCAACCGAGAUGAGCGAUCGGUCCCACCGAGAUUGCAAUGCAAACUCUGUGUUUCCCCUUCGUAACGUUUCGGUCUAACCGAGAUGAGUGAAUCGGUCCCACCGAGUUUGCCUGAACAACUCUCUGUUUGCCUAUUACCAAAAUCGGUCCCACCAAGUUUGUGUAAUCAGUCUCACCAAGAUUACGUUAUGCCCUAACCCUAAUGGAAUCGGUCCCAUCGAGUUGACAUAUCGGUCCCAUCGAAAAUCCUAACGUUCACAUUUUGAACUAAGUCGGUUUGACCGAGUUAUAUGAUUCGGUCUCACCGAGUUUGGUGAUUUGUGUGUAAUUGUUAUAUAUUUGUGUGGAGGCUAUAUAUACCCCCCCCCCACACACUCUUCAUUCGUGGAGAGAGCCAUCAUAAUAUGCCUACACUUCCAACAUACAUUUUCUGAGAGAGAACCACCUACACUUGUGUUGGGGUCAAGAUAUUCCAAUCCAACAACAUAAAUCUUGAUCUCUAGCCUUCCUCAAGUUGCUUUCCAGUCAAAUCAUCUUUCUACCAAAUCAAAUCCUAUGAGAGAGAGUUGAGUGUUGAGGAGACUAUCAUUUGAAGCACAAGAGCAAGGAGUUCAUCAUCAACACACCAUCCAUUACAUUUUGGAGAGUGGUGUCUCCUAGAUUGGCUAGGUGUCACUUGGGAGCCUCCGUCAAGAUUGUGGAGUUGAACCAAGGAGUUUGUAUGGGCAAGGAGAUCGCCUACUUCGUGAAGAUCUACCCUAGUGAGGCAAGUCCUUCGUGGGCGAUGGCAAUGGUGGGAUAGACAAGGUUGCUUCUUCGUGGACCCUUCGUGGGUGGAGCCCUCUGUGGACUCGCGCAACCCUUACCCUUCGUGGAUUGAAGCCUCCAUCAACGUGGAUGUACGAUAGCACCACCUAUCGGAACCACGCCAAAAAUCUCCGUGUCUACAUUGCAUUUGCUCCCUCCAAACUCCUCCCUUUACCUUCAUAUGCAAUUGAUUUACAUUCCGCUGCUAUACUCUUAGAAUUGCAUGUGUAGGUUGACUACUUGUUUGUGCUAAGUUGCUAAAAUCUGCCAAGACUUAAAGUUGGGAAAAGGCUAGAUUUUUAUUUGGUCAAGUAGUCUAAUCACCCCCCUCUAGACAUACUUUCGAUCCUACAGUACUCGAGGACAACGGAGAAGUAGAUGGGGGCGCCGGAGCCGACGCGCUGCGCGUAGAGGCCCUUCUUGAGGUAACGCCUGACGCGGCCGAUGAAGGAAAUAUGCCCUAGAGGCAAUAAUAAAGUUGUUAUUUAUAUUUCCUUAUAUCAUGAUAAAUAUUUAUUAUUCAUGAUAGAAUUGUAUUAACCGGAAACUUAGUACAUGUGUGAAUACAUAGACAAACAGAGUGUCCCUACUAUGCCUCUACUUGACUAGUUCGUUAAUCAAAGAUGGUUAAGUUUCCUAACCAUAGACAUGUGUUGUCAUUUGAUGAACGGGAUCACAUCAUUAGAGAAUGAUGUGAUGGACAGGACCCAUCCUUUAGCUUAGCAUAAUGAUCGUUUAGUUUUAUUGCUAUUGCUUUCUUCAUGACUUAUACAUGUUCCUCUGACUAUGAGAUUAUGCAACUCCCGAAUACCGGAGGAACACGUUGUGUGCUAUCAAACGUCACAACAUAACUGGGUAAUUAUAAAUAUGCUCUACUGGUGUCUCUGAUGGUGUUUGUUGAGUUGGCAUAGAUCGAGAUUAGGAUUUGUCACUCCGUCUAUCGGAGAGGUAUCUCUGGGCCCUCUCGGUAAUGCACAUCACAAAGAGUUAGUUACGGGAUGAUGCAUUACGGAACGAGUAAAGAGACUUGCCGGUAACGAGAUUGAACUAGGUAUGAUGAUACCGACGAUCAAAUCUCGGGCAAGUAACAUACCGAUGACAAAGGGAAUGACGUAUGUUGUUAUGUGGUUUGACCGAUAAAGAUCUUCGUAGAAUAUGUAGGAGCCAAUAUGUGCAUUCAGGUUCCGCUAUUGGUUAUUGACCGGAGAUGUGUCUUGGUCAUGUCUACAUAGUUCUCGAACCCGUAGGGUCCGCAUGCUUAACGUUUGAUGACGAUUUGUAUUAUGAGUUAUGUGAUUUGAUGACCGAAGUUUGUUCGGAGUCCCGGAUGAGAUCACGGACAUGACGAGGAGUCUCGAAAUGGUGGAGAGGUAAAGAUUCAUAUAUUGGAAGGUUGCAUUUGGACAUCAGAAUGGUUCCGAGUUGUUCGGGCAUUUUUUCGGAGUACCGGGAGGUUACGGGGCCCUCCCCCCCAGGAAGUUAAUGGUCCUUUGUAACGCCCUCGAUGCGGCUAUAUCUCCCACGUGUCGAAGCACGACUUAGAGGCAUAACCGCAUUGAAAGCAAUGUCGCAAGUGAGGUAAUCUUCACAACAACCCAUGUAAUACAAUAAGGGAAAAAGGUACAUAGUUGGCUUACAAUCGCCACUUCACACAAUACAUGAAUAAAAGCAUUACAUUCAUCCAGAUACACUCAAGGUCCGACUACGGAACCAAAAUAAAAGAAGACCACCCCAAAUGCUACACAGAUCCCCGAUCGACCCCAACUGGGCUCCACUACUGAACAACUGGAAACGAAACAACAUAACGAACGUGAAUCUCAUCGAGCUCCUCCUUGAGCUCAGUUGCGUCAUCUGCACAGUUUCAUCGGCACCUGCAAACUGGUUUUGGAAGUAUCUGUGAGUCACGGGGACUCAGCAAUCUCACACCCUCGCGAUCUAGACUAUUUAAGCUUAUAGGAAGGGUAAAAGGUAUGAGGUGGAGCUGCAGCAAACGACUAGCAUAUUUGGUGGCUAACAUAUGCAAAUGAGAGCGAGAAGAGAAGGCAAAAGCACGAUCGAUGAACUAUGAUCAAGAAGUGAUCCUAGAACAACCUACGUCAAGCAUAACUCCAACACCGUGUUCACUUCCCGGACUCCACCGAGAAGAGACCAUCAUGGCGACACACGCGGUUGAUGCAUUUUAAUUAAGAUAAACUUUAGGUUUUCUACAACCGGACAUUAACAAAUUCCCAUCUGCCCAUACCCGCGGGCAUGGCUUUCGAAAGUUCAAUCCCUGCAGGGGUGUCCCAACUUAGCCCAUCACAAGCUCUCACGGUCAAUGAAGGAUAUUCCUUCUCCCAAGACAAUCUGAUCAGACUCGGCAUCCCGGUUACAAGACAUCCUCGACAAUGGUAAAACAAGUCCAGCAAAACCACCCGCUAUGCCGACAAAUCCCGAUAGGAGCUGCACAUAUCUCGUUCUCAGGGAACACCGGAUAAGCUAAGCGUACGGGAGCCAACGUAACCCAAGUUGCCAAGGGACAGCCCCGCACGGUGCUUUGGGUUGGACCAACACUUAUACAAGCACUGGCCCGGGGGUUUAAAAUAAAGAUGACCCUCGGGAUGUGCGACUCCCAAGGGAAAAGGCUAGGUGGCGAAAUGGUAAAACCAAGGUUGGGCCUUGCUGGAGGAGUUUUAUUCAAAGCGAACUGUCAAAGGGUUCCCAUUAUAACCCAACUGUGUAAGGAACGCAAAAUCCGGGAACAUAACACCGAUAUGAUGGAAAACUAGGGCGGCAAGAGUGGAACAAAUCACUAGGCAUAAGGCCGAGCCUUCCACCCUUUACCAAGUAUAUAGAUGCAUUAAUUAAAUAAGAGAUAUUGUGAUAUCCCAACAAAAUAACCAUGUUCCAAACAUGGAACAAGCUCCAAUCUUCACCUGCAACUAACAACGCUAUAAGAGGGGCUAAGCAAAGCGGUAACAUAGCCAAACAACGGUUUGCUAGGACAAGGUGGGUUAGAGGCUUGGCUUAACAAUAUGGGAGGCAUGAUAAGCAAGUGGUAGGUAUCACAUCAUAGGCAUAGCAAAAGAGCGAGCAACUAGCAAGCAAAGAUAGAAGUGAUUUCGAGGGUAAGGUCAUCUUGCCUGAAAUCCCGCAAGGAAGAAGAACGAGUACAUGAAGAAGACAAACGGACGUAGUCGAACGGGUCCUCACAAAUGCAACGUUAUCGGAACCAACCCGAAGAAGCAACACCGGAAAGAAACACACAACAUAGUAAACAACCAACACAUGAACAUGGUAUGAUAUGGGGGAUGCGGUAUGCGGUGCAUAUGCAUGAUUUGGAAAGGAAUGAUUGAACCUGGCCUCAACUUGGAAAUCCAAGAGUGCCACUGGAAAGAGGAGUUGAUUUCGGUCGAAAUCGAUAUAAAGAUCACCGGAAUCGGAUGCACGGUUUGGAAAUGGCAAGCAAAACAAAUAUGGCACCGGUCUGCGAUUAACAACAAAUGGCCAUCUAAAUGCAUCAAGAACAACAUGCUACAGCACUCUAACAUAGCAACAAAAUACAUGGCAGGGAUCCACUCAUGAUGCUUGACAAAAGAUGAAGACUGAGCUACGGCUAAUUCACUCAAUAGCAAGCUCAAACAAGCAUGGCAAAAAUGCAAAAGAUAACAGGUUUCAGACUUAGUGAAAAUAACAACAUGUCAGGAAUUUAUCAUCAAGAAGCAAUGUUUAGAGCACGAUAACUAUAUGCUACAUGAACAUAUCAUGGCAAAGCAAGGCAUGGCAUGAAGCUACUCAAAGCAUACAACAAAAGACCCUUAGUGACCAUGAGCCAAAAGGGAUCAGAAAAUACAAUUGCAAGCAUGUGAACAUAGCAAAAACAUAAACAGAUUCAGACUUAGUGAAAAACUGGAGCAUGGCAAGAACAGAUAACGGGUAGGCAUGUUUACGAGCUCGAUGCACUCACUACGAGACAAGGCAUGGCAAACUAAGCAUACACCCAGCAAAUAGACAUGGCCUAGAAGCUAGACAUGGCAAGAACAACAACAUAGCAUGCAUGGAUCAACAACCACAAGCUCGACAAAAUUGCUAAACAUGUUAACAAUCUGCCAGGAACAUUUUAUAGUAAAAGUAGAGCUCGAUUGAGUCAAGCUAGGGUGCUCCAUAAUUGCAAACAAAGACAUGGAUGGAUAUAGAACCACAAUAUCUACAAAACAUCCUUACUGAUCAUGCUCAAAAGAGGCAUGGAUCACUAGGAAACAACAUGAACAUAUGGCAUAAAAAUAAUGACAGGGCAAGGACUUAGUGAAAUUCUAAGUCCCUGAAAUCAGCAUCAAUAAGUAAGCUACUUUGCAUGCUUGUGCUAGUCAUCACAAAGAUCACAAAAAUACAUGGCAUACACCCCUGUAAAGAUGGCAUGGCAUUCUUCAAAACACAUGUAGAGCUCAGGAUCAUAGCAUGCACACAUUAAUCAUGGCAAAAAUGACAAAAGGGCAUUUGCUGAAACAGAUCUGAAACUAUCCUCACAUAGCCCUCUUCCAACAGCAUUUCAGGCAUCAAGAUGAGCUCAAAUGAAAAUGAUGCAAUGGGAUGAAAUGAUGUACUCGUCGAUACGAACAUUUUGAUAUGCUACACGCAUGAAUCGGAGCAACGGUGAUGAAGUUAUGAUGCGAUGAACAGUGCUAGAAAUUAUGCAGAUCUGAGGACUUGGCCAUUUUGGAGUGAAUUGCAAAAAACCGCCACAUUGAAGCCUAGGGUUGCAGAAAAGACUCUUCUACGUUUUUGUGCCAGAAAACACUGAUUUCGCGCCUAAUCAUUUGCAGAAAACACCAAACCUUCUGUUGGGGCAUUUUAAGCACUAUUAUGACAGGUGGGGCCCGAUUUUGGGGACGUGGCGUCACGGCCGCGAGCUCACGCCGUCUAACGGCGUGGCGUCCGCUACUACUCCGGCGUGUGGGUAAAAACAGGUUCGAUCCAGCUCUCUUCUCACACUCUCGCCUCUGCCUCGCCCUCUCCUCACUCUGUUCUUCCUCCCCGGCGCCGCCAGACCGUCGACCGCCGUUCUGCUGCUCCCCGGUGCCAUGGUGUCGUGGAGCGACGAGACCAGUGAGGAUUCAGUCCUGAACAUCUCCUCCUGCUGCGAUGGCAUCAUCAAGGUCAGUUGGUUAGAUACCUAGAGCUAGGGUUAGGGUUAGUGAAUUGGGGAUUUUUUCACUGAGCUCGAUGUGAACCUAGCCUUCUCUUUGCUUGCUCCCGCAGCUUCCAGCUACGAUGCACGAUCCGAAUUUCAAUGGUACUGACGUAGAUGUGAAUGUGUUGUGUGAACACGGUGAGCCGGCCGAACGCUUUGUAGCAUUUGAAGGGAUGCACACGGGCAGGAGGUUUCUUGGAUGUGCUAAGAAGGUAUGAUUCACAUCCUGUGUAAAGGAAGUUGUUUGCUUAAUGCUUUGUUUAUCAAGCUCUUAAGAUUUUUUUAGCUUGGUCUUUGUUUAGCCUUUUAUGACAUGCCUUGUCAUUAGUGGAUUUUUUUAGCUUGUUCUGACCACACAUUGUUUAUUGUGGUCAGUGCUUACUCCUUUGUUUACCAAGUUGUUAAGCUUGGUUAAGUGCUUUGUCUUUGUUUAAUUUGCUUUAGCUACUGUGUUGGAGUGUGUUCUCAUUAGUGGAUGGUAGUCAUUGUUUAUUAUGGUCAGUGCUUAAUGACUUGUUUAUCAGUGGGCAUUGUUAAUUUGUCUAUUGUAUGGUAAGGAACCUGUGAGUGCUUAGUGACUUGUUAAUUUGUCUGUUUAACAGUGCACAUAUUAGAUACAUGAACCUGUUGGUUUGAUGGUCUUAGACAAUUAUUUAUUCUUUUAUUGUUUAUAAUACAGGAAGGCAUAAACUGUGGAGUAGUUCAAUGGAUUGAUUUUGAAUGGCCAGACUCAAUGGAGAAGGCAUUGGCCAAGCUAUGGGAUAUGUAUGAGGAGACUAAGUCAGCUAGGACCAACGACAAUCUAGAGAGUUCCUUUGCAAUUCACAACCUGACAGACGAGAAGAAGAAACUACAGGAGAACUAUGACAGUUUGUAUGCUGAUGUGAAUGCUCUUUUGAAUGCCCAGCAGGAGAGGGGUGUGGACACUAGUAGAAAACGGAGCUUUAAAACCGGUUUGUAAGGGCCUUUAGUGCCGGUUCCAUAACCGGCACUAAUUGGUGGGCACUAAAGCCCCCCCUUUAGUACCUGUUCGGCACGAACCGACGCUAAAGUGCCACCACGUGGCGUGAGCUCGCGCCCUGGUAUGGGGGACCUUUAGUACCGGUUGGUGUUACCAACCGGUACUAAAGGUUUUUUAUUUUAGAAUUUUUUUUGAAAAUUUUGGAAUUUUUUUUAUUAUUUUUUUUGAUUUUUAAUUUUUCUGAAUUAUUUGGUGAUUUAGUCUCUAAUCACCUCUCUUAACUGCUCAAGUGUGGAUCACUCAUUCCAAAUCAUCUAACUUCCCGACUGGUCACCCAUCCCUCUCACUACUCCAGCCCAAGCACGCUUAACUUUCAUGUUCUAUUCUCCUUCGUUUCCAAGUCUGCACUUGUUGUUUUCCUGACAAUAGUAAGAUGUCAAUCCUAUUAACCCUUAGGAGUUUAGCUUGAGCAUGAAGUCACACAUUUCACUGUUUGAGUUUGAAACUAUUAUUUUAAAAACAGUAAUUAUUUAGUAACACUAAUAUUUCUUGAAUAAGUUUAACCAUAGUUUGACCACAGUUUGACCAGAUUUGACCAAAAUUCAAAAAUUGAAAUAAUUAUUUAGUAACACUAAUAUUCUUGAAUAAUUAUGUAGUAACAUUAAUACUUCUUGAAUAAGUAGUUUGACCAGAUUUAACAAAAAAAAAUUAAAAAAAACUUAAAUUUGACCAUAUCUUUUUUUCCUUUUGGAAUUUGAGGAUUCUAAAAAAUUGCAAACAGGCCGUAGGCGGUCUCCAUCGGAUGCGGAUUUUCAUGCUGGAUUUUUUGAUAUAUUAUACGUUUUUUUCCGACAUCGUAUGCAAAAGUUAUAGUCGUUUUACAUUUUUCCUACACUUUUUGCAAAAUAUGUCCAAAUUUAAGUUUUCAAAUUUUCCUAACUAGUAGAUGUAGUAAUAUAACUACCUCUCGAAGGAUUUUAUUUUUUGAAGUUUUUAUCAUUUUCUUUUGAUCUUUUCAGAACUGAAAUGGCGGCACACAGGGGGAGGUAGAGUUUGAAAAUUGCCCUAUAGUGUCGGUUUGUGUCACAAACCGGUACUAUAGGUUAAGACUCGUUAGUGCUGGUUGGUGACACAAACCGGUACUAUAGGUUAGACCUUUAGUACCGGUUUGUGUCACAAACCGUCACUAAAGGGGCUCGUGGGGCCCUAGCCUGACGCCAGCCUGCCACCACCCCUUUAGUACCGGUUCGUGGCACGAACCGGUACUAAAGGUUCAUUACGAACCGGCACUAAUGCAUAGCCAUUUGAACCAGCACUAUUGAUCACAUUAGUGCCGGUUGUUUUACAAACCGGCACUAAUGUGCUUCACGUUUGGCCCUUUUUCUACUAGUGGGAGUUAACCAAUCAAAAGGAGCAGAAGCAAUAUCUUGAAGUGAAGAUUGCUGAGCUUGAAACUGUAGUUGGCAACUUGAAGGCAGAGUUGUCAAAGAAAGAGGAGGAGAAGAAGAAACUACAGGAGAACUAUGACAGUUUGUAUGCUGAUGUGAAUUCUCUCUUGGAUGCCCAGCAGCAGAGGGGUGUGGAGUUAAACAAUCAGAAGGAGCAGAAGGAAUAUGUUGAUGUGAAGAUUGUUGAGCUUGAGACUGUAGUGGGGAACUUGAAGGCGGAGCUGUCAAAGACAGAGGAGGAGAAGAAGAAGAUGCUGCUAAACUAUGAAACUCUGAAGAACCUGACAUGUGCUCAAGCCAAUGUGAUUAGGAACUUGAAGUUCAAUCAUUUGAAGGAGAAGGAGAGGCUCACAAAAGAGAGGCUUAAACUGCAGUAUCACAUUUCUGAGCUUCAAAAGUUUGAGGAAAAGAUAAAGUUGAAGCUUCAGGGUGUGAAGGCUAUCUUAGAUGAGUAGGGUGCCUUCUAGUAUGAUAAUCAUCUAUCAGUUUCUAGAUGAUAAUCUUCUAUCCAGUACUUUAGUAUGAACUUGUGACACAAGUACGUCAUUGAUGAGUUUGUGAUCUAUGGUGUUGGAUCCAGCAGUGUUGUAAUCAAGAUGAUAAUCAUCUAUUAAGUACUUUAGUAUCUAUUUCUGAACCUUUGUCUAUGUAUUUUGUGAGAUCAGGUGUUGGAUCCAACCUUGACGAAACUUUAUGAAUGUGAGUGCACUUUGAUUGUCAUGUGCUAAGUUAGUAAAUUCUGUUAUCUAGAUUCAUGGAUUUGACCCUAGGGUUCACCUUGAGCCCCAUCUUGUCGACAUAUCGAUGAUUUGACCCUAGGGUUCACCUUGAGCCUCAUCUUGUCGACAUAUCGAUGAUUUGACCCUUGAGUUUACCUUGAGCCUCAUCUUGUUGACAUAUCGAUGAUUUGACCCUAAGGUUCACCUUGAGCCUCAUCUUGUCGACAUAUCGAUGAUUNNNNNNNNNNNNNNNNNNNNNNNNNNNNNNNNNNNNNNNNNNNNNNNNNNNNNNNNNNNNNNNNNNNNNNNNNNNNNNNNNNNNNNNNNNNNNNNNNNNNNNNNNNNNNNNNNNNNNNNNNNNNNNNNNNNNNNNNNNNNNNNNNNNNNNNNNNNNNNNNNNNNNNNNNNNNNNNNNNNNNNNNNNNNNNNNNNNNNNNNNNNNNNNNNNNNNNNNNNNNNNNNNNNNNNNNNNNNNNNNNNNNNNNNNNNNNNNNNNNNNNNNNNNNNNNNNNNNNNNNNNNNNNNNNNNNNNNNNNNNNNNNNNNNNNNNNNNNNNNNNNNNNNNNNNNNNNNNNNNNNNNNNNNNNNNNNNNNNNNNNNNNNNNNNNNNNNNNNNNNNNNNNNNNNNNNNNNNNNNNNNNNNNNNNNNNNNNNNNNNNNNNNNNNNNNNNNNNNNNNNNNNNNNNNNNNNNNNNNNNNNNNNNNNNNNNNNNNNNNNNNNNNNNNNNNNNNNNNNNNNNNNNNNNNNNNNNNNNNNNNNNNNNNNNNNNNNNNNNNNNNNNNNNNNNNNNNNNNNNNNNNNNNNNNNNNNNNNNNNNNNNNNNNNNNNNNNNNNNNNNNNNNNNNNNNNNNNNNNNNNNNNNNNNNNNNNNNNNNNNNNNNNNNNNNNNNNNNNNNNNNNNNNNNNNNNNNNNNNNNNNNNNNNNNNNNNNNNNNNNNNNNNNNNNNNNNNNNNNNNNNNNNNNNNNNNNNNNNNNNNNNNNNNNNNNNNNNNCCUAGGGGUCACCUUGAGCCUCAUCUUGCCGAUAUAUCGAUGAUUUGACCCUAGGGUUUACCUUGAGCCUCAUCUUGUUGAUAUAUCGAUGAUUUGACCCUAGGGUGUCACCUUGAGCCUCAUCUUGUCGAUAUAUCGAUGAUUUGACCCUAGGGUUCACCUUGAGCCUCAUCUUGUCGACAUAUCAAUGAUUUGACCCUAGGUGUCACCUUGAGCCUCAUCUUGUCGACAUAUCGAUGAUUUGAUCCAACAAGCCAACUUGAACAAGCCAGAUUACAGUACCACAAGUUGUUGCCAAAAUAGAUCUUAGCAAUUACUAGUUUAGCUAGAUCACAUCAUCAUCAAGGUUCAACAUCAGUUCCCAGAAGCAUAGAAAUAGUCUUUCAGCCUGCUGGGUUGCUUUCUCUGUCUUGGUGGCAAGAAUGGUGCUGAUGUGGAUGCUGCAACUAUUGAACCUCUCCUACUUGCUAUAGCUGAAGAAGCUCUCCUGGCAGGAGUUGAGCUGGCUGCCCUUGUUGCUGCACCUGCAGUUGAAGAAGCUGCCCUUGGUGCUGGAGCUGUUGAAGAAGUUGCCCUUGGUGCUGGAGCUGUUGAAGAAGUUGCCCUUGGUGCUCCCCUUGGUGCUGCACUUGUUGAUCCCCUUGGUGCUGCACUUGUUGAUCCCCUUGGUGUUGUUUGUGCCCUGCUUCCUUGUGUGCUACCCUCCCCUAUGCUGUUAGACUGCAUAUAAUAAUUGUAGCAAGUUAAUACAUUCAAGUGUUAGAAAACAAAAUCUGGCUGAACCUGGUGCUUGUACAAACCUGAUGCUUGUUCUUUCUCAAUGCUAACCCAAGUAGCUCUAGGAACUUUGUUAAGCCAAGCCCAAGCAGCCUUGCACUCAUUUUUAAGAGCAUCCAUUGCAGCAAGAUGGUCAUCUUCAGUAUAAGAGUAACUAGCUUUAUCCAUGUACUUCUUUAAUUCUGACCCCCUAAAACCAGCAGUCUGGAAGUUUUGAUAGAUGUGUCUAAGGCAGAAUCUAUGUGGGUAGUUGGGGAAUACAUUGUUUGCAGCUUUAAGAAGGCCCUAUUUGGAGAAAUCACCAUAAUCACAACUAAGCAAUGUAUAUGACCAACAACUAAUUAAGCAAUUAUGAACUAUGCAAUUGUGAACUAUGCAAUUGUGAACUAUGCAAUUAUGAACUAAGCAAUUGUGAACUAUGCAAUUAUGAACUAAGCAGUUAUGAAGCAAUGUAUAUUAUAAAAUACAACUAAACAUGGGAAUUACCUUCUGUCUAUCAGAGAUUAUGGUGUAAUAACCAAAUCUCCCUAAUUCUCCACCAAUUGCUAUCUUCAGUUCAGAUAGAAACCAAGUCCAAUUGUCUGUGUCUUCUUUGUCCACAACUGCAAAAGCAAUGUGAUAUAUGUUAUUAUUCCCAAUCCUUCCUGUGGCAGCCAGGAUUUGUUAGCAAGUAGACAGCUUGAUGAAGCAUCCAUCCACACCUGCAUUGGCACACAACACAAGUCAAAAACAAGGCAUUCAAACAAGGCAAAGUAAAGAAAGUAAAGUAAUCACCUAUGAAUGGUCUACAUCCAUUCAGAAAUCCUUCCUUGCAAGCAUUCAAACAGAUGAACAAACCAUGGAACCUUGGAUUUUUGCUUGGAUGCUCCUUUAAGAACUUAGUAGUGACAAUGCACCUACUAUCUGGAUUUGUGUCCAAGACAGCGUGCAAGUAAUCCCUGAUUAUGGUAUACUGACCCCUCUGAUCUCCUUGCACCAUCUCAACUGCUUUGUUCUUAGCCCUGUAGGCCAUAUGAGUGCUAAUCUCAACUCCAUACUUGCUCUUCAGGUUUUGCAUUAUUGUAGUUAUUGGUGUGUUCAAGUCUGUUCUUAUUGCUUCUAACACCUGAUGUGUGACCCACUUGGUAGUCACCUUGGUGCUCUCCGCUACAGCUGGACAUGUGUGCAAAAAAAUUGCCUUUCUAAUGCAAAAUGUUCUCUCAUUUGCCAACACAGAAGCUGCAAUGAAAAAAGGGCAAUCUUCAUGUUUGCAAAUAGCUAUGAUUCUGUCAUUGCAGUUCCUAUGAAACACAUAGUUUCUGUUUUGAGCUACGUGGAAUGUGAGAAGUGCCCUUCUAAAUUGGUAAACACUUUAAAAACAAAGCUUUUUGAGAAACUGCAUCUCCGGGCUCUCUCUAUCCUCAUCAUACAAGAUUCUUGGUUUGGGUUUUUUGGCCCUACUCUUAUUGCCAAGCACAAAAGCUAGGGGUACUGCCCCAUCAUCAUCCUCCUCCUUCAAAUCACCAGGAUUUGGAUCCUCAUCAGAUGAUGGCACCCAAACAUCCUCAAAUUGUUGCUCCAAACUUGCAUGUGAUCUACUAGUUGGCCCCUUUCUUACUUUCAACUUCUUCCUCUUUUCCCCUUGUGGUACCACCCCUUCUUCAAUUUCCUCAUCAUCUCCAUGUUCCUCAUGCACUACCUCUUCUUCUAGCUCAUAAGGUUCUUCAACAUCAGUGUCACCUUCAAAGUGUAAAAAUGGGUCCUGUCUUUGCCUCCUCAUCUCAGCCAUCCUAGCCAUGAAAUCCUCAUCUUGCUCCAAGUCAGAGUCAUCUUCAGUUACUAAAACAGGAAGUUUUCUUUUAAUUGCCUCCACCCUCUCAACACUCUUCUUAUGCUUCUUAUACCUCUGUAUUUUAUUCCUCCUCUUAAGCUCCAUACUUCUUUCCAACUCCUCUUGCUCCAAAUCAACAUCUUCUGCAUUUCCUUGAUCCAUAUCUAUAUCUUUCUGCAUAAUCAGAUGCGUGCUCUGCUCUCUGGAGUAAAACUGUAUUGGAUGUGCCUCCUGCUCAUCAACUUGUGCAACUCUCCUUGUUUUUUUGGAUGGUGACCUGUACACCACACCUUCAUCACUGACCUCAUACACAGUCCUCUCUCCAACACUAUCUAUAGGGACCUGUUGCUCACAAACAUGACCUAUGUUUAAAUCUCCAGGUCUGGGCUCACUACCCCUAACUACUGUCAGAUUAACUAUGGCCUGAUCUAUGUUGGCAAUGUGGUCUCGCAUCUCAUCAACCUUGUCAUCAUCACAGAUCUCUUCUAAACCAGCUACUCCCAGGCCAGCAUCCCUAACAAAGUACAUGUAGUCAUCCUCUCCAUAGCCUGCUGUCUCUAUUAGUGCUAUUAGAUUCAGAAAUGUUAUGUCUGAAACACCAUGGUCCUUUCCAAAUUGUCCCUGUCAUGAAAGUGGAGCCUAACUUCCCACACAUCAUCACACAAACUACAAAGCAAAGAAGUGCAUAUUCAGUUAACUGAAAUAUUACAAAUUACUAGGUGAAACUGACACAUAUUUAGUUAACUGAAAUUUUUUGAACACUAAAAAAAUUCAGUUAAGUUCAUACAGUGAAGCAAAUCCAUUUAACUUCAUACACUACCCUAAUCCAGUUAACUUCAUACGCUAAUAGAAUUCAGUUAACUACUGACACUAAACAAUAUUCAGUUAAUGUCAUACAGUGAAGCAAAUCCAUUUAACUUCAUACACUACCCUAAUCCAGUUAACUUCAGACGCUUCAUACACAGGAGCAAAUUUUGGGCCUUUACAAACUAUUGGCACUAAACAAUAUUCAGUCAACUGAAAAACUUGUGUACACUGAGAAAAUUCAGUUAACUUCAUACACAGGAGCAAAUUCAUCUAACUGAUAGGAUACAUAUCAGAGGUUAGACUACAAACAAUAUUGACCUACAGUUCAUUCAAAUCGAAGACUAACUAUUGAACUAUGAGAAAUUGAUCCCUAACCCUAACCCUAGAAAUUGAUCCCUAACCCGGAAGGAGGGGGAGAACUUACUCAACGCCGCCAAAUGCAGAAGCCCAUUGAUGGCUACCCGUCGGAGUAGCAUGCACAACACGGGCAAAAGCGCCGGCAGUGCGGUACUCAAGCGGCGGCAAUGGUGCUCUCCUCUUCGGGGGGUUUGAGCUGCCGCACACCUCCUCCACUUUGUUCGAUUCGUCGCCGCGAAGCAACCCUCCGCUGGAGCCUCCAUCCACUCCACCGCCGUCGUCAGGGCUCGCCAUCGCCAUGGAGCACGGGGAGAAAGAGAGACAGAGGAGAGGAGUGGUGAAAGGGGGAAAAUGAAGUGGAUAAGGGACCUGUGCCGUUUUAACCGAGACGGCGCGUCCGUUCCAACUGUAGCACCAUUAGACGGCGUGAGCUCGCGGCCGUGACGCCACGUCCCCAAAAUCGGGCCCCACCUAUCAUAAUAGUGCUUAAAAUGCCCCAACAGAAGGUUUGGUGUUUUCUGCAAAUGAUUAGGCGCGAAAUCAGUGUUUGCUGGCACAAAAACGUAGAAGAGUGUUUUCUGCAACCCUAGGCUUCAAUGUGGUGGUUUUCUGCAAUUCACUCGCCAUUUUGAGAAUAAAAACAGGAUGAGCGUUGGAUAUCUAUUCUUCGCACGGGCGGGGAAUAGGAGAGGCUCACCCUGGGCUUCGGCCCAGACACGGGGAGGAGGCAGGCGGGCCGAUGGAUCAGGGCCUCAGCGAGGUCGCGGCCUGCGAGGCCCAUGUGGAGGGUCAAUGGGGGCGCGCUCGUCUCCCUCGAUCCUGAUCGGAAACCCGGGAGGCAAGGGUGGCGGCGCCCGAUGGCGAUGCCGGCGAGGGACGGCGGAGACCAGCCAGAUCCAGGCGCGGGGAGUGGAGGCCGAGGCUACGGACCCGUUCCCGAGGACAGCGGGGCUCGAUGACGCCGGCGUCGAAGAUCGGGAGCUCGGCUCCAUGGAUUUUCAUGGUGGCGAUGGUUGGUGCAGUAGAUGCGAAGGCGCGAGGAGCGGAGGCCGGCGAGGUGGACGGACUCCGACGAGGCACGGGUGGCCGGCGGGAGCUUGAGCGGUGACGGCGGAGCGCUCGGGCUCCCAGCGCGCGGCGGCGAACCCGGUCGGGCUCGCGCGGGCCCUGGAUGGGCUCCGCGGGCCGCGGCGCGGUGGGGAAGCCGGGUGGACACGUGGCGGUGGAUGAGUGGGUGCGGGAGGCGGCGGAGCUGAGGUGGCGGCCUGCCAUUGGUCCACGCGACGUGGAGGGGAGCGGUGGACAUGUCCGGCCGGUGGUGGGAAAGUGUUCGGCGGCGCGAGGGAAAAAAUUAGGGUUUCAUCUGCGCGAGAAUUUCGGAGGAGAGCGCGUAUUUAUAGGUAGAGGGAGCUAGGAGAGUCCAAAUAAGGUGCGGUUUUCGGCCACGCGAUCGUGAUCGAACGACCGAGAGGAAGGAGGGGGUUUAGGUGGGUUUUUGGGCCACUUUGGAGGGGUGUUGGGCUGCAACACACACGAGGCCUUUUCGGUCCCUCGGUUAACCGUUGGAGUAUCGAACGAGGUCCAAAUGGCACGAAACUUGACAGGCGGUCUACCGGUAGUAAACCAAGGCCGCAUGACAAGUAUCGGUCCAAUCCAAAAACGUUUAACACCCACACAUGAAAAGAGGUAGAAAGGGACACCGGGUGACAUAGGAGCGCUGGAUUGCAAAAGGGACAACGGGGAAAUGCUCGGAUGCAUGAGACGAACAUGUAUGCAAAUGAAAUGCUCGGAUGCAUGAGACGAAGGGUUUUUUCUCUCGAUGUGGGCCCCACAAUUUUGGGGGCCCUGUGCAAUCGCUCACCUCGCUCACCCUCAUCGACGGGCCUGGUCGUAGUGCUUAGGUGAAGCCCUGCGCCGGUAACUUCAUCAUCACCGUUGCCACGUCAUCGUGCUGACGAAACUAUCCCUCGUCCUAAACUAGACCAAGAGCUCGAGGGACGUCAUCGUGUUGAACGUGUGCUGAACACGGAGGUGCCGUACGUUCGGUGCUUGGAUUGGUUGGAUCGUGAAGAUGUUCGACUACAUCAACCGCGUUACUAAACGCUUCCGCUUUUGGUCAAUAAUUUUUGAUCUCUCUCUCUCUCGUGUUCUUGAUUUGGCGCGAUCUUGAUGUAUCGCGAGCUUUGCUAUUAUAGUUGGAUCUUAUGUUUCUUCUCUCCCACUACUCUCUUGUAAUGGAUUGAGUUUCCCCUUGAAGUUAUCUUAUCGGAUUGAGUCUUUAAAGAUUUGAGAACACUUGAUGUAUGUCUUGCCGUGCGUAUCUGUGGUGACAAUGGGAUAUCAUGUGAUUCACUUGAUGUAUGUUUUGAUGAUCAACUUGCGGAUUCCGCCCAUGAACCUAUGCAUAGGGGUUGGCACACAUUUUCAUCGUGAUUCUCUGGUAGAAACUUUGGGGCACUCUUUGAGGUUCUAUGUGUUGGUUGAAUAGAUGAAUCUGAGAUUGUGUGACGCAUAUAGUAUAAUCAUACCCACGGAUACUUGAGGUGACAUUGGAGUAUCUAGGUGACAUUAGGUUUUUGAUUGAUUUGUGUCUUAAGGUGUUAUUCUAGUAUGAACUCUAGGGCUGUUUGUGACACCUAUAAGAAUAGCGCAACAGAUUGAUUGGAAAGAAUAACUUUGAUGUGGUUUCGUAUCCUACCAUAAUCUCUUCGUUCGUUCUCCGCUAUUAAUGACUUUGGAGUGACUCUUUGUUGCAUGUUGCGGGAUAGUUAUGUGAUCCAAUUAUGAUAUUAUUGUUGAGGGAACUUGCACUAGCGAAAGUAUGGACCCUAGGCCUUGUUUCAACGCAUUGCAAUACCGUUUACGCUCACUUUUAUCAUUAGUUACCUUGCUGUUUUUAUAAUUUCAGAUUACAAAAACAUUUAUCUACCAUCCAUAUACCACUUGUAUCACCAUCUCUUCGCCGAACUAGUGCACCUGUAUAAUUUACCAUUGUAUUGGGUGUGUUGGGGACACAAGAGACUCUUUGUUAUUUGGUUGCAGGGUUGAUUGAGAGAGACCAUCUUCAUCCUACGCCUCCUACGGAUUGAUAAACCUUAGAUCAUCCACUUGAGGGAAAUUUGCUACUGUCCUACAAACCUCUGCACUUGGAGGCCCAACAACGUCUAUAAGAAUACGGUUGUGUAGUAGACAUCAGGUACGUGGACACACUCUCCCCUCUCGUUGCUAUGCAUCUCCUAGUUAGAUCUUGUGUUAUCGUAGGAUUUUUUUUUGUAUUACUACGUUCCCCAACACUAGACCCACCCGUUAGCUUAGCAUAUGAUCAUUCAGUUUAUUGCUACUACUUUCUUAAUGUCAAAUACAUAUUCCUAUGACCAUGAGAUCAUGCAACUCCCGAAUAACAGAGGAAUACCUUGUGUGCUAUCAAACGUCACAACGUAACUGGGUGAUCAUAAAGAUGUUCUACAUGUAUCUCCAAAGGUGUCUGUUGAGUUGACAUGGAUCGAGAUUGAGAUUUGUCACUCCGUGCAUCGGACAGGUAUCUCUGGGCCCUCUCGGUAAUACACAUCACAAGAAGCUUGCUAGCAAAUUGACUAAGGAGUUAGUUACUAGAUGAUAUAUUACGGAACAAGUAAAGAGACUUGCCGGUAACAUGAUAGAACUAGGUAUAGAGAUACCGACGAUUGAAUCUCAGGCAAGUAACAUACCGACAGACAAAGGGAACAACGUACGUUGUCAUAAAGGUUCGAUCGAUAAAUGUCUUCAUAGAAUAUGUAGGAACCAAUAUGGGCAUCCAGGUUCCGCUAUUGGUUAUUGACCGGAGAGGUGUCUCGGUCAUGACUACAUAAUUCCCGAACCCGCAGGGUCGCACGCUUAACGUUCGUUGACGCUAGAGUAGUAUUGUGAUAUUUGAUGAGUGGUAACCAAAUGUUGUUCGGAGUCCCGGGUUAGAUCACGGACGUCACGAGGAGUCUCGAAAUGAUCGACAGGUAAAGAUUUAUAUAUGGGAAGUCAUAUUUUGGGUUUUGAAAAAAGGUGCAGUUUUCUCGGUAUUGUAUCGGGAAGCUUCCAAAAGGUUCCGGAAGAUUCCGGAGGGGUCUGAAAGUCCACAAGUGGGUCGACCACGACCCAAGGGCUAGCAUGGGCUGCGGGGAGGCGCCCUUGCUUUAUUGGGCUAGGCGCACCAAGUCCUUAAAAGCCCAUGUGGCUAGGGAAGACAAAAAAGGAAGGAGUCAUCGAGCCUCCGCGUUCGGCACUAGAUUGGUUGGAUCGUGAUCGGAUCGCGAAGAGUACGACUACAUCAACCGCGUGAUAAACGCUUCCGCUUAACGGUCUACGAGGGUACGUAGACACACUCUCCCCUCUCGUAGCUAUGCAUCUCCAUGGAUAGAUCUUGCGUGAGCAUAGAUUUUUUUUUUGUUUUCCAUGCAACGUUUCCCAACUGAUACGUCUCCAACCCCUGCUAAGGAUGUUAGCGAGGGUUGCCUUGAUUGAGAAAAUCAUUUGCAGAAACACCACCAUACAUCAAUAUCAGCAUACAACAACAACACGGUCAUACAUCAUGUGGAAGUGAAAUUACCUUCAGUAGUAAGAGAUCAGAGGGAGGGGGCACAAGAGAUGGAGCCCAUCGUCUAGAGAUGAAGAUGGACGGAGAAGGAUCGAUUUAUCUAGAGGUGGUUGAAAUAGCAAGUCCUGGGUUAGGUGUAGGUUGAGUUGUUGACGGCUGGAUACCGAGUCAAGGAUGGCGGAGCUUGGGACCCGACCGGGAGGGGGGGUCGUACACGGACUAGCGGGUGUGGUGGCGGCUGAGGGACUGUGAGGCUCGAGGAUCAAUGAUGUCUUAGGAGCUCGGGUGUGGCAAUGUAGCUUGGGGACUAUGUCAAAGGAUAAUGCACAAUCCACUCCAUUUUCAUCUCACAAAGUCACAUGAAUCACGCUAAUCGUUAAAAAGAUAACAAAAGUAACAUUAAACACAAAGUUCAACAAAUAAUAGUAACAUCUCAUGCGCUGUAAGAGUGAAAAAAAGACAAAGGACCAGAGUAAUGAAAGUAGGCAAAAAACAAACAAAUGAACAGACUAAUGAAAAUAGGCUCAUUAAUAACAAGGGUUAACAAAAAAUCCACACACAAAUGUGUCAUAUACAUGUUCACCCAGCUCUUUUUAAACAUACCAUUGACAUUUUUUAGAUGCUAUAUAUAGAAACAUUUCACGCACCCAAGCAAAUCAACUUCUUUAUUACUCGCAUGAUUCAUGAUUGUUUUCCCAAUGUGAAACAACUUAUGACGACAUUGACAAUGGCCACAAUUGUUAUCCUUACCCAUCCUUAUUUUUUCACUCCACAGACUGUACAACGCAUAUACCUUCCAUUUCUUAAACUUCAAGUUUCUAAUCAAAAUUUGCCAAAUUUGAACAUUUUAGUCUAUGGAGUGAUGAAACUGAAUAUGGCCAAUACCCGAUGCUAAAUUGUUGAUCCACACAUGAUGAAUGGGCUUACUACCAAAAAAAUGUGAUUAGCUACAACAACAAAAUAAUGUUAUACAUAUAAGCAGAUUCGUCUCGGUGAAAAAUCAAUUGGCUGCAAGAUAAGAGUGGAAAUUUUUGUACAAAUGAUGCACAAAGACAAUCAUCAAGUGGUAAAAGAAAAUCCCUGCUCUCUGAUUGGCCGAUUAGACCCUCACACGGAUCGUGCCCCCAAACUGAUCUCGACCGCCCGCACCCUGCAGAUCCAACGGCUGGCGCACCGCAUCACGCGGAUCGCUCCCCCCGCCAGCGGCGCUCCCUCCUCCGGAUAAAACCCGCGCCCACGCCAGCGUUCCAACACACAAGCUCAGAGCAUUCCGAUCCAGCGCCGCCGCCGCCAACACCACACCUCGAGAGCCCUCGUCGCCGGAGAAGUAGCAGCAAGCAAGAUGGCCGGAAGGAAGGGCGGCGACAGGAAGAAGGCGGUGACCCGCUCCGUGAAGGCCGGGCUCCAGUUCCCGGUCGGCCGCAUCGGGCGCUACCUCAAGAAGGGCCGCUACGCCCAGCGCGUCGGCUCCGGCGCCCCCGUCUACCUCGCCGCCGUCCUCGAGUACCUCGCCGCCGAGGUACGCACAGAUGUCCUCCCUCCUCGAGGCUGUUCUGCUCUGUUCUUGCACUGUUCGACGGAUGACUGACGGAUCUUUCCUGUCCCCGAGCAUCAGUUCUGCUCUGUUCUUCUUGUGUUCGACGGAAAACUUACAGAUUUCGUUUUUGAAUCUCAGGUCCUGGAGCUUGCCGGCAACGCGGCCAAGGACAACAAGAAGACCCGCAUCAUCCCGCGCCACCUGCUGCUCGCCGUCCGCAACGACCAGGAGCUCGGCAGGCUGCUUGCCGGCGUCACCAUCGCCCACGGCGGCGUCAUCCCCAACAUCAACUCCCGUGCUGCUGCCCAAGAAGUCCCCCGCCGCGGCCGAGAAGGAGGCCAAGUCGCCCAAGAAGAAGACCUCCACCAAGUCCCCCAAGAAGAAGGUCGCCGCCAAGGAGUAGAAUUCCCCAUAGCAUAGCCAUUGUUGCUUAGAUCCAUUUCUCAUGGACAAGAUGAGCAGUCUUUUGGUUAGUUAGAUGAGUAGUGGUUCUGCCCUUAGAUUCGCUGAGAAAGGGUGGCAUUAUGUCUGUGAUUUCUGUAGGAAUGGCUAAAUAUGCAAUCGCUCAGAUCUUAAUUCUCUUGUUCUAUCUGUGGGUGAAAUUGAUCCUGUUAAUCCUUGCUUCCUGUGCUGUUUUAUCCUAGUACUAAAUUCUCACUUAUAUCGGCUGAAAAAUCCCCCAAUUCUUUGCUCUCUGAAUUAUGGUGCUCAAUUGCAAACACUGAUUGUAAAUUCCUUAUGAAGAUCAACACAAUCAUAUUACUAUUGAGCUGCAGAGAAAAAAUUCGCACCUCAUGAUCAGCUUUCUGUCAGUCAGCACCACCAUCUUAGACUUGCUCAAGCAUGUACCAACGAACCACAAAAGCCAUGCCAAGACAUUCCUGCAGUUAAUUUCGCCUUGAUCUUUCCCUCUGUAGUUGAGUUCUUUACAUGUUGUAUUCACAGGCCAAACAAAUUCUUCCGGUUGGAGUUGAGCCGGCCGUAUGCAAACUGAAGUUUGGGGAGUCAGGACUCAGGUGUAUGUAACAAACCACAAACCAGAUUUAUGAUUUAUGAGCCACUAGCCAGAUAAGGUACUAAUUUAGAUUGACCUAAAGCAGAAACAAACAUUGAGGAAUUAAGAUAGCAACCAUGCUCAUGUAAGAAAACUGAUAUAGUGAUGUUUCACUUCGUUCCAUCAAUAAAAAAAUAUUUUUCUGAAAGUAAAAUUGGUAACCACCAUGGAAAUACAACAGGUACAAAUCUCAGUAAAAAAACUUUGAAUUGAACACAUUGAUUCUCCGCUAAAUCGCUUGCAACCAAAACUAGUACCGAGUCCAUGGAAGGUCUUGUGCUAAGGAUAUAGGUUUUGUGUACGCUUCUCUUGUUUUUCAUGCUGUUUUCGAGGGUUUAUAUCGUUUUUUCCAUUAUAUUUUUCUGUUUGUUACAUUUUUCUUUUGCUGAAUUCCAUUUUAUUGUUUCAUUUUUUAUUUUUCCUCUGUUGUCUCUAUUUAUUUUUCCUAUUCGUCUUCUUUCAAAGUUUUCCCUUUUUACUUUUUCGUCGACUUUCUCUUAUUUGUUUUUGUUUUGUCUCGGAUUUUUAGUACUUUUUAUAAAUAUAUUUUUUAAAAUACAUAUUUUUAAAAAUAAAAACAUGAACCGUUCUUAAAAUGGCACAUACAUGUUUUGUAAAAACUUUAUGAGAAAACUUUUCAAAUGACCCAUCACUUUUAAAACAUAAAUAUUUUUUCAACACAUCAACACUUUUAAUAACUACAUUAAUAACUUUUAAGAAUUACAAUUGUGAACACUUCUAGAAAUUAAGAACAUUUAUUUUAAACAUGCAAGCUCUUUUUUCGAAUUACAUUAGCACUUAAAACAACUGAACAUAAAUCACAAUAACACUUUUUAAGUCUAUUUGGAUAUUUUUUAAUGUGCAAAUUUAUUUCAACAUUAGAGUAUCACUUUUUAAAAAUAUGUGAACACUUUCUUGUAACUUCAUGAACAUGUUUCAGAAUGGAGCAAACAUUUUGUUAAAUGAUACUAUAUAAAAUACAUGAAACAUUUAUCAGGUUACUUUAAUUAUAGUAAAGAAAUGCAUGACCACUAAUUUAAAAACUUGAUCUUUUAAAAUCUACAUGAACAUUUUUUUUAAACAUACAAAUAUGUUUUGAAAGCCACGAGCAUUAUCAGAUACAUUUUAUAAAAUUACAUAAAAAGUUCAUCUGUGUGAAAAAUUGGUAGCACAAAUAUUUUUAUUUUUUUAACUUAUUUAUUUUACAUUGUACUUAUAAAAGCGACAAAAAACAUAAAACCAUUGGGGGUGAAGAGACUCACUCACGCCCGGCCACUCGCAUCUGGUACUCAGUUUUUUUCUCGAUGUAUGGACUCAGGUACUCCUUUCAUUCCAUUUUCUUGUCGUAGUUUUAGUUCAAAUUUAGUGCUUACCAGUUAACUAUACCUUCGUGUUGCAUACAUGGGCUAGUCCAAAAUAGAACAUACGUUAGCGGCGCACGUGUUGAACACUAUACCACCAUUGGCGCCUGCUUGUAAUUACGAUGCUCAGUUGAACGGUGGCCCAGUAGGGAUUGCUCCUCGCUCUGCCCAAUGUAACAGCGCCAUUCGCAAAGGCUAUAUCUCUUUUACUGUUUCUCUCAAAAAUAUAUUUCUUUUUUUUUGCAAUGAAAAGGGAGUUUUAUUCCGUAUUUAUUGGGUUACAAUCAAAGAGGCAAUAAUUCCCCAAUACAUGGAGGUGUAUGACCUAGUCACACCUCGGUGGCAUGUUCCGAACGACUAUAUUGAUCUCGUCUAAGUUUCUGAGGAUGUAGCAUGUACUCACCUCUGGCGCUUGGGGUGCUCACAUCUUAGUGGGCCAGUCCAUUGAACCCAUUUUGGGGCGGUUCUCACGAUUGGGUUUUAGAACCUUCCUUGCAGUUUUUUAUUUUUGUUUUUCUGUGUAUCAAAUACAGUACAUGAAAACAUUUUUCAAAUACAUGUUAUGAAAGCAAGUUAAAUAUUUUUCAAACACAUGGUGACUAUUUUUUGAAUGGAUGAAACAUUUCUUUAAAAAUAGAUGAAGAAUUUUCGUACAAUAUAUAAUUUUUUUUCUGAAAUAUAGGUUUGAAUGUUCUUAUGCCUACAUUAAAACUUUUUGCAAAUUCAUGGGAAUUUUUCCAAUGAUAGGAAACAAAAAAUUUAAACUACGUGAUCAUUUUUAUGCAUUGUACAACCAUUUCUUAAAAUUUUCAUAAACUUAUUUCUGAAAUGUGUGAACAGCUUUUUAAAUUUCACAAUUUCUUUUGAAUGAAACGAUUUUUUAAAAGAUACACAUAUAUUUUCUCCAUUGUUCAAACGUUUUUAAAAAAUGGUAAGUACAUUUUUUUGAAACACACAAACAUUUUGAAAUUGUCACCACCAUCUUGUUGAAUAGUAUGACAUUUUAAAACAAUUAUGCAAACAAAUGUUUUAUAUUGUGUUAGCAUUUUCUAAAUGCUAGAGCAGUAUUUAAAAAUUUUCAAGUUAGUUAAUUGUUGAAUAUAUAUAGCAUCUAUUGUUGUGUUUUCAAAAUCAUAAAAAGGUAAAAAAACAAUGAAACAAAUGAAACUAACGAACCUAACACUUUUGGGUCGGCCCACCAUACGUCGUGCUUAAGGCAAGGUGUUGUUGGUCUUGUAGAAGCGAGAGAAAGCAUCACACUGCCCAAUAUAGAGCAUCUUCAACUGCUAACAAGGAUUAUAUAGCGCUUAUUGCGAGAAGUUCCGAAUAAGUAGGGUCAAUAGUUCAGCAUUUAGGUCGUAACAUUUAGCAAUAAAGGAAUCUUAGACUCAACAAGUGCUUUCCGAACCUCACCAACCAACCUGGAUUUUGAUUCUUUUUUGUUAUUCUAACCGGAUAUAAAAACCAUAAAGAUUGUUUCCAGCCGAGUACCCAUAUGACAUAAGCGCUCUUGGGUGGGGUGGGCCCUCAUUCUCCAGGUCUUUGAGUGCACGUCGUACCACGUGGUUGGUACACUAGGCGAAUAGAUACUUACUUUAAGGAUUUGGCACCUUUGCUAGAUGGAGAUUAAGUGACUUCUAUUAGCACCGGACCAUCGAGUCGAAUUUCUCGUGUCAUGUGCCUAGCCUCACCACUAGCGAAGUAGCCGACUCAUUAAACCACUUUUUGGGAUGGGAAUGCAUAGAAAGAAAAGAAAGAAACAAACCAAAUGAAUAAACGAACGAACUUACAACCGGGUCAGCCCACUAGGGAUCGAGAUAUAGCCUGUGUCCCUGACAGGACCUCCUAUUUGACCGGAGUCAACACACAGAUGGCAAUGGGGCCCCGAAACCCGCGUCCCCGUGGGUUUUACCCUAUUGGGGGACGGGGAUAGGCAUCUUUUCAUCCCCGCGGGGCUGUUGUUGGGCACAUUAUACAACCCGACACGUUUCGUGGGUUUACACACGUUUCGGUAGUCCCCGAACCCGAAACCCGGCAAUACCCGCGAAAUUACAUUAUUUUUUACCACCGUAGCCAUCUUACCCCCGAAAUCUUAGAGGCCUUGAUGUGUUCAAUAUUGGAUAAGAAACAAAUAUAAAGGUGUGUCUUUCUUUACAUAUCAUCAUAAAGUUUAUCAUUAUCUUGCUACAAUGUUUCAUAAGAUGUUCAUUACUACUUAUUUGAUUCUCAUAGAUGCUGAAAAUGAAUAAGGACAAAGCUUUUGGAGUUGUUUUCAAGACAUUCAAGAGGGAAUGCAGGUGAAGUACAGGUACUUGCAAAUUUCAUAUACUAAUCUACAUAUUGUUCUCAUGUUUAACUUUAGCUUGAGUGAAUUUUGAUCUUCCCUAGGACUUGGCAUUUUGAUUUGGCAUUGGAAGAUUUGAAGAUGGUCGUUUGGAGGCUUGGAGAUGUGAAAGAUGCCAUGAUGAUUCCAACUUUAAAGUGAUUUGUGAACUAUAAGUUCUAUUUCCGAACUUAUAUAGCCGUUGAACUAUCUACUAUUGUUUUUUGUUGAAAUUUACUCAAGUUAUGCUGCUGAAAUGUGCUUGUUUUGCUGCUGAAGUGUUAUUCCUUGUCGCCACUAUGUUUGUUUAAAUAUUUUGAUUUUAUCGUGGGUUCCCCGAAAUCCGAUGGGUUUAGGGGACGGGCUGAAAACUAGCCUCGCACACAAUGAUGGGGACGGGGAUGGGUUUACGAUUUUCUCAUGGGGAUGGGUUUGGGAAGGCAAAACCCGAUGGGUUUCGUCCCUGUUGCCAUCCAUGCGUGUGUUGAUGGGCCGACUCAUUAGCAUUAUGCGGUAGCAAGCCGAAAGCAAUAGAGUUUUCUUGAUGAUGUAUGGUAGCGAACCGAUGAACUGUAGAAAACGAGUGUAUUAUAUGUAGCGAGCCAAUUUAUCUUAGCAGUAGAUGCACUAUAUCGACCGGGAUAAUGUAGCAAGCAUUUUUAAAAUAUUGAGAAAAUGUUAUUGAAAUUGUGAACAAUCUUUGAAAACACAGACAAUUUUUAAAACGCUGAAUAAUUUUUGAAAGAUUGGAUAGUUUUCAUUUUUUUAAUGAUUUUUAGCAAUUCCAUUCAUUUUUGAAAAAACAAACAAUUUUUAAUUACAAAACUUUUAAAAGAAUAUGAACAUUUUUCUCAAAAUUUGAACAUUUUUUAAGUUCCAAUUUUUUUAACGAUAUGAUUUUUAAAAGAAAUUCUAAACAUUGUAUUUAAUAACAAGGAUGGAUUGUCAUCUAGCUACUGCCAUGUACCCAUAGUCCAAAGAAAACUACUCAUGUGAAAUUAUGGUAGUAGCAAGGUUUAUGUUGAUGGCUGCCGUGAUGAAUUCCCUCAUGGAGAGUAUGGGAAAAUGCAUAUAGAUUGGAUCAUGACGGGACAUAGAGGUGUGGCUGUGAAUUGUUUGCCUCUAUAUAAAAUCGGUGUUUUCGUGCAAUUAUAAAGGUGGAGGUGCCGAGAGGUGGUGGAGCGGAGUCCCAUGGGGCCCAUGUGGACACCCCUCGCAUCGUGGGGCCCAUAUGACUCUCCAAGCAGGGCUAGGUGCCUCUGGAAGCUUCUGGACUUGAAUCAUUUUUGGGAAUUGCCCCCCUUUUUGAGCUUGUGAAAAUUGAUUUUACUUAAAAGCCACAAAACUACACAAAACAACAUUUUGUCCUUGGACCGAAUUAAUAGGUUAGUUCGAAAAAAAUUGGUGCUAAAACUAUGGAAAAUAACGUAAUUAUAUUAUGAAACAAGCGAAAAUUGUGCACACAUCUAAGACAUAUGAAAAGCACUCGAGUGUAAAUACCAAGAAUUCGCGACAAAAUCAAGGAACCUCGGGAUGGCUGUGAGUACAUAUGGACUGAAUUCGUUUGUGAACUAGCACAUAACAUAACACAUGGCGUGUGUUUGUAUGGUUAUACAACCCCAUGGCUCUACAUAAAGCGGAAGUAUAUACACACAUGGUUAUGCUAAUUCAAGGGCCGACACAACCAAGGAACAAUAUUAACUUGUAUCUCCAGCUAUUGAAGGAUGAUGUACACAUCAUGGGCUGCUGGAGGGGUCAAUACCUGGGAUGCCAAUGAAGGGGAUCAUUUCCCUACAAGAGUUGUGCUGAUCACAAUGGUGCAACGCUAUCUUGGUUAUGUAUAUGUCUCCUGCAGGUAUGCCAUGGGCACUGCAAAUGUGUUACGUGUAUGGAUGAUACAACUUUUGACGAGACAUCAAAAGCCAGCUCUUGCAAAAUUGUGUUUAUGGGGCGUUGAAAGUGGCUUCAGAAGGAUGUAGUGGAUAACUCGCAAAGAUCUGUUCGACAGUAAAACUCAAGACCGAUUAAAGUCACGUACAAGAAGCGAAGAAAAAAAGCCGCCAUAUGUUGAACGACAGAACUAGUGCCCUAAGUCAGGAUAGAAGCAAAAGGCCCCAUAGAAGUCAUUGUUAACAAUAUGAAAAAGGGAGUCUGCUUUUUGGGGCUUGUCGUAUUGGAUAGUUCCCGAUACACCUCGUUGUCUUGAUGUCAUGCAGCUCACAAAGAAUGUCUAUGAGAGUUUGCUUGGCACAUAGUUUGACAUGUCGAAAAAAGAAAAAGUUAGGUUGAAGGCAAGAUAAGACUUGGAAGACCUUGGUAUUAGGGCUGAGUUGCACGCACAUCAUGAGUAGAGGAAACAACCACGUGCAAUUUUUUUCUUCCAAAAUUCAAGGAUGACAACUCCCUCUGUUGGGGAACGUAUCAGAAUUUUAAAAUUUUCUACGCAUCACCAAGAUCAAUCUAUGUAGUCAUCUAGCAACAAGGGAGAGAGGAGUGCAUCUACAUACCCUUAUAGAUCGCGUGCGGAAGUGUUCAAAAGAACGGGGUUGAUGGAGUCGUACUCGACGUGAUCCAAAUCACCGAUGACCUAGCGCCGAACGGACGGCACCUCCGCGUUCAACACACGUACGGUUGGGAAGACGUCUCGUCCAACUUGAUCCAGCAAGGGGGAAGGAGAGGUUGAUGAAGAUCCAGCAGCACGACGGUGUGGUGGUGGAAGCAACGGUGAUCUCGGCAGGGCUUCGUCAAGCACAGGGAGAGGGAGGAGUGUCACGGGAGGGAGAGGGAGAGGCCAGGGGCUAGGGUGCGGCUGCCCUCCCUCCCCCCCACUAUUUAUAGGACCCCUAGGGGGGCGCCGGCCCUAGGAGAUGCCAUCUCCAAGGGGGGGUGGCGGUCAAGGGGGUGGCUUGCCCCCCAAGGCAAGUGGGGUGCCCCCCACCCCUAGGGUUUCCAACCCUAGGCGCAGGGGGAGGCCCAUGGGGGGCGCACCAGCCCACUAGGGGAUGGUUCCCCUCCCACUUCAGCCCAUGGGGCCCUCCGGGAUAGGUGGCCCCACCCGGUGGACCCCCGGGACCCUUCCGGUGGUCCCGGUACAAUACCAAUUACCCCUGAAACUUUCCCGAUGGCCGAAACUUGACUUCCUAUAUAUAAAUUUUCACCUCCGGACCAUUCCGGAACUCCUCGUGACGUCUGGGAUCUCAUCCGGGACUCCGAACAACUUUCGGGUUACCGUAUACUAAUAUCUCAACAACCCUAGCAUCACCAAACCUUAAGUGUGUAGACCCUACGGGUUCGGGAGACACGCAUACAUGACCGAGACGACUCUCCGGUCAAUAACCAACAACGGAAUCUGGAUACCCAUGUUGGCUCCCACAUGCUUCUCGAUGAUCUCAUCGGAUGAACCACGAUGUCGAGGAUUCAAUCAAUCCGUAUACAAUUCCCUUUGUCAAUCGGUACGUUACUUGCCCGAGACUCGAUCGUCGGUAUCCCAAUACCUCGUUCAAUCUCGUUACCGGCAAGUCACUUUACUCGUACCGUAAUGCAUGAUCCCGUGAUCAACCACUUGGUCACAUUGAGCUCAUUAUGAUGAUGCAUUAUUGAGUGGGCCCAGAGAUACCUCUCCGUCAUACGGAGUGACAAAUCCCAGUCUCGAUUCGUGCCAACUCAACAGACACUUUCGGAGAUACCUGUAGUGUACCUUUAUAGUCACCCAGUUACGUUGUGACGUUUGGCACACCGAAAGCACUCCUCUGGUAUCCGGGAGUUGCACGGUCUCAUGGUCUAAGGAAAUGAUACUUGACAUUCGGAAAAGCUACAGCAAACGAACUACACGAUCUUUGAGCUAUGCUUAGGAUUGGGUCUUGUCCAUCACAUCAUUCUCCUAAUGAUGUGAUCCCGUUAUCAAUGACAUCCAAUGUCCAUAGUCAGGAAACCAUGACUAUCUUUUGAUCAACGAGCUAGUCAACUAGAGGCUCACUAGGGACGUGUUGUGGUCUAUGUAUUCACACAUGUAUUACAAUUUCCGGAUAACACAAUUAUAGCAUGAAUAAUAGACAAUUAUCAUGAACAAAGAAAUAUAAUAAUAACCAUUUUAUUAUUGCCUCUAGGGCAUAUUUCCAACAGUCUCCCACUUGCACUAGAGUCAUUAGUCUAGUUACAUUGUGAUGAAUCGAACACCCAUGCAGUUCUGGUGUUGAUCAUGUUUUGCUCUAGGGAGAGGUUUAGUCAACGGAUCUGCCACAUUCAGGUCCGUAUGUACUUUACAAAUCUCUAUGUCUCCAUUUUGAACACUUUCACGAAUGGAGUUGAAGCGACGCUUGAUAUGCCUGGUAUUCCUGUGAAACCUGGGCUCCUUGGCAAGGGCAAUAGCUCCAGUGUUGUCACAGAAGAGAGUCAUCGGGCCUGACGCAUUGGGUAUGACUCCUAGGUCGGUAAUGAACUCCUUCACCCAGAUUGCCUCUUGUGCUGCCUCCGAGGCUGCCAUGUACUCCGCUUCACAUGUAGAUCCCGCCACAAUGCUUUGCUUGCAACUGCACCAGCUUACUGCCCCACCAUUCAAAAUAUACACUUAUCCGGUUUGUGACUUAGAGUCAUCCAGAUCUGUGUCGAAGCUAGCAUCGACGUAACCCUUUACGACGAGCUCUUCGUCACCUCCAUAAAUGAGAAACAUAUCCUUAGUCCUUUUCAGGUACUUCAGGAUAUUCUUGACCGCUGUCAAGUGUUCCAUGCCGGGAUUACUUUGGUACCUUCCUACCAAACUUACGGCAAGGUUUACAUCAGGUCUGGUACACAGCAUAGCAUACAUGAUAGACCCUAUGACCGAGGCAUAGGGGACGACACUCAUCUUUUCUCUAUCUUCUGCCGUGGUCGGGCAUUGAGCCGUGCUCAAUCUCGUACCUUGCAAUACACGCAAGAAUCCCUUCUUUGACUGAUCCAUUUUGAACUUCUUCAAUAUCUUGUCAAGGUACGUACUCUGUGAAAGACCAAUGAGGCGUCUCGAUCUAUCUCUAUAGAUCUUGAUGCCUAAUAUAUAAGCAGCUUCUCCAAGAUCCUUCAUUGAAAAACACUUGUUCAAGUAGGCCUUUAUGCUUUCCAAGAAUUCUAUAUCAUUUCCCAUCAACAGUAUGUCAUCCACAUACAAUAUGAGAAAUGCUACAGAGCUCCCACUCACUUUCUUGUAAAUGCAGCCUUCUCCAUAAGUCUGCGUAAACCCAAACGCUUUGAUCAUCUCAUCAAAACGAAUGUUCCAACUCCGAGAUGCUUGCACCAGCCCAUAAAUCGAGCGUUGGAGCUUGCACACCUUGUCAGCAUUCUUAGGAUUGACAAAACCUUCCGGCUGCAUCAUAUACAAUUCUUCCUUAAGGAAACCAUUAAGGAAUGUCGUUUUGACGUCCAUUUGUCAUAUCUCAUAAUUAUAGAAUACGGCAAUUGCUAACAUGAUUCGGACGGACUUCAGCUUCGCUACGGGUGAGAAAGUCUCAUCGUAGUCAACCCCUUGAACUUGUCGAUAACCCUUAGCGACAAGCCGAGCUUUAUAGAUGGUUACGUUACCAUCCGCGUCUGUCUUCUUCUUAAAGAUCCAUUUAUUUUCUAUGGCUCGCCGAUCAUCGGGCAAGUCAGUCAAAGUCCAUACUUCGUUUUCAUACAUGGAUCCUAUCUCGGAUUUCAUGGCUUCCAGCCAUUUGACGGAAUCCGAGCCCGCCAUCGCUUCUUCAUAGUUCGAAGGUUCACCGUUGUCUAACAACAUGAUUUCCAAGACAUGGUUGCCAUACCACUCUCGUGCGGAACGUGUCCUCAUGGACCUACAAAGUUCAGUAGCAACUUGAUCUGAAGUUUCAUGAUCAUCAUCAUCAACUUCCUCUCUAGUUGGUGCAGGCACCUCAGGGAUAUUUUCUUGAGCUGCGCCACUUACCGGUUCAAGAGGUAAUACUUCAUCAAGUUCUACUUUCCUCCCACUUAUUUCUUUUGAGAGAAACUCUUUCUCUAGAAAGGACCCAUUCUUGGCAACAAAGAUCUUGUCUUCGGAUCUGAGGUACAAGCUAUACCCAAUAGUUUCUUUAGGGUAUCCUAUAAAGACGCAUUUUUCCGAUUUGGGUUCGAGCUUUUCAGGUUGAAGUUUCUUGACAUAAGCAUCGCAUCCCCAAACUUUUAGAAACAACAGCUUAGGUUUCUUCCCAAACCAUAAUUCAUACGGUGUCGUCUCAACGGAUUUCGACGGAGCCCUAUUUAAAGUGAAUGCGGCAGUCUCUAAAGCAUAGCCCCAAAAUGACAGCAGUAGAUCGGUAAGAGACAUCAUAGAUUGCACCAUAUCCAAUAGAGUGCGAUUACGACGUUCGGACACACCAUUACACUGAGGUGUUCCAGGCAGCGUGAGUUGUGAAACUAUUCCACAUUUUCUUAAGUGUGUGCCAAAUUCGUGACUCAAGUAUUCUCCCCCACGAUCUGAUCGCAAGAACUUGAUUUUCCUGUCACGUUGAUUCUCAACCUCGCUCUGAAAUUCCUUGAACUUUUUAAAGGUCUCAGACUUGUGUUUCAUUAAGUAGACAUACCCAUAUCUACUCAAGUCAUCAGUGAGGGUGAGAACAUAAUGAUAGCCACCGCGAACCUCAACACUCAUUGGACCGCACACAUCAGUAUGUAUGAUUUCUAAUAAGUUGGUUGCUUGCUCCAUUGUUCCUGAGAACGGAGUCUUGGUCAUUUUACCCAUGAGGCAUGGUUCGCACGUGUCAAAUGAUUCAUAAUCAAGAGACUCCAAAAGUCCAUCUGCAUGGAGCUUCUUCAUGCGUUUGACACCUAUGUGACCAAGACGGCAGUGCCACAAGUAUGUGGGACUAUCAUUAUCAACCUUACAUCUUUUGGCAUUCACACUAUAAAUAUGUGUAACAUUACGCUCGAGAUUCAUUAAGAAUAAACCAUUCAUCAACGGAGCAUGACCAUAAAACAUAUCUCUCAUAUAAAUAGAACACUCAUUAUUCUCGGAUUUAAAUGAGUAGCCAUCUCGAAUUAAACGAGAUCCUGAUACAAUGUUCAUGCUCAAACUUGGCACUAAAUAACAAUUAUUGAGGUUCAAAACUAAUCCCGUAGGUAAAUGUAGAGGUAGCGUGCCGACGGCGAUCACAUCGACCUUGGAACCAUUCCCGGCGCGCAUCGUCACCUUGUCCUUCGCCAGUCUCCGCUUAUCCCGCAGCUCCUGCUUUGAGUUACAAAUGUGAGCAACCGCACCGGUAUCAAAUACCCAAGAGCUACUACGAGUACUGGUAAGGUAUACAUCAAUUACAUGUAUAUCACAUAUAUCUUUAGUGUUGCCGGCCUUCUUGUCCGCUAAGUAUUUGGGGCAGUUCCGCUUCAAGUGACCACUUCCCUUGCAAUAAAAACACUCAGUCUCAGGCUUGGGUCCAUUCUUUGACUUCUUCCUGGCAGCUGCUUACCGGGCGUGGCAACUCCCUUGCCGUCCUUCUUGAAGUUCUUCUUACCCUUACCUUUCUUGAACUUAGUGGUUUUAUUCACCAUCAACACUUGAUGUUCCUUUUUGAUUUCCACCUCUGCUGAUUUCAGCAUUGAAUAUACCUCAGGAAUGGUCUUUUCCAUCCCCUGCAUAUUGAAGUUCAUCACGAAGCUCUUGUAGCUUGGUGGAAGCGACUAAAGGAUUCUGUCAAUGACCGCGUCAUCCGGGAGAUUAACUCCUAGCCGAGUCAAGCGGUUAUGCAACCCAGACAUUUUGAGUAUGUGCUCACUGAUAGAACUAUUUUCCUCCAUCUUACAACUGAAGAACUUGUCGGAGACUUCAUAUCUCUCGACCCGGGCAUGAGCUUGGAAAACCAUUUUCAGCUCUUCGAACAUCUCAUAUGCUCCGUGUCUCUCAAAACGCUUUUGGAGCCCCGGUUCUAAGCUCUAAAGCAUGCCGCACUAAACGAGGGAGUAAUCAUCAGCAUAUGACUGCCAAGCGUUCAUAACGUCUUGGUUCUCUGGGAUGGGUGCGUCACCUAGCGGUGCUUCUAGGACAUAAUCUUUCUUGGCAGCUAUGAGGAUGAUCCUCAGGUUCCGGACCCAGUCCGUAUAGUUGUUGCCAUCAUCUUUCAGCUUGGUUUUCUCUAAGAACGCGUUGAAGUUGAGGACAACGUGGGUCAUUUGAUCUACAAGACAUAUUAUAAAGAUUUUAGACUAAGUUCAUGAUAAUUAAGUUCAUCUAAUCAAAUUACUCAAUGAACUCCCACUCAGAUAGACAUCCCUCCAGUCAUUUAAGUGAAACAUGAUCCGAGUUAACUAGGCCGUGUCCGAUCAUCAUGUGAGACGGACUAGUCAACAUCGAUGAACAUCUUCAUGUUGAUCGUACCUUCUAUACGACUCAUGCUCGACCUUUCGGUCUUCUGUGUUCCGAGGCCAUGUCUGUACAUGCUAGGCUCGUCAAGUCAACCUAAGUGUAUUGCGUGUGUAAAUCUGGCUUACACCCGUUGUAUUCGAACGUUAGAAUCUAUCACACCCGGUCAUCACGUGGUGCUUCGAAACAGUGAACCUUCGCAACGGUGCACAGUUAGGGGGAACACUUUCUUGAAAUUAUUAUGAGGGAUCAUCUUAUUUAAGCUACCGUCGUUCUAAGCAAAUAAGAUGUAAAAUAUGAUAAACAUCACAUGCAAUCAAAUAGUGACAUGAUAUGGCCAAUAUCAUUUGCUCCUUUUGAUCUCCAUCUUCGGGGCUCCAUGAUCAUCGUUGUCACCGGCAUGACACCAUGAUCUCCAUCAUAGUGUCUUCUUGAAGUUGUCUCGUCAUCUAUUACUUCUACUACUAUGGCUAACGCUUUAGCAAUAAAGUAAAGUAAUUACAUGAUGUUUAUGUUGACACGCAGGUCAUAAAUAAAUAAAGACAACUCCUAUGGCUCCUGCUGGUUGUCAUACUCAUCGACAUGCAAGUCGUGAUUCCUAUUACAAGAACAUGAUCAAUCUCAUACAUCACAUAUAUCAUUCAUCACAUCCUUUUGGCCAUAUCACAUCACAUGGCACAUGCUGCAAAAACAAGUUAGACAUCCUCUAAUUGUUGUUGCAAGUUUUUACGUGGCUGCUAUAGGUUUCUAGCAAAAACGUUUCUUACCUACGCCAAAACCACAACGUGAUAUGCCAAUUUCUAUUUACCCUUCAUAAGGACCCUUUUCAUCGAAUCUGAUCCGACUAAAGUGGGAGAGACAGACACCCGCCAGCCAUCUUAUGCAACUAGUGCAUGUCAAUCGGUGGAACCAGUCUCACGUAAGCGUACGUGUAAGGUCGGUCUGGGCCGCUUCAUCCCACGAUGCCCCCGAAUCAAGAUAAGACUAGUAACGGCAAGCAAAUUGACAAUAUCCACGCCCACAACUGCUUUGUGUUCUACUCGUGCAUAGAAACUACGCAUAGACCUAGCUCAUGAUGCCACUGUUGGGGAAUGUAGCAGAAUUUUAAAAUUUUCUACGCAUCACCAAGAUCAAUCUAUGGAGUCAUCUAACAACGAGGGAGAAAGGAGUGCAUCUACAUACCCUUGUAGAUCGCGUGCGGAAGCGUUCAAGAGAACGGGGUUGAUGGAGAAGUACUCGAUGUGAUCCAAAUCACCGAUGACCUAGCGCCGAACGGACGGCACCUCCGCGUUCAACACACGUACGGUUGGGAAGACGUCUCGUCCAACUUGAUCCAGCAAGGGGGAAGGAGAGGUUGAUGAAGAUCCAGCAGCACGAUGGUGUGGUGGUGGAAGCAACGGUGAUCUCGGCAGGGCUUCGCCAAGCACAGGGAGAGGGAGGAGUGUCACGGGAGGGAGAGGGAGAGGCCAGGGGCUAGGGUGCGGCUGCCCUCCCUCCCCCCCACUAUUUAUAGGACCCCUAGGGGGGUGCCGGCCCUAGGAGAUGCCAUCUCCAAGGGAGGGCGGCGGCCAAGGGGGUGGCUUGCCCCCCAAGGCAAGUGGGGCGCCCCCCACCCCUAGGGUUUCCAACCCUAGGCGCAGGGGGAGGCCCAUGGGGGGGGCGCACCAGCCCACUAGGGGCUGGUUCCCCUCCCACUUCAGCCCAUGGGGCCCUCCGGGAUAGGUGGCCCCACCCGGUGGACCCCCGGGACCCUUCCGGUGGUCCCGGUAUAAUACCGAUUACCCCCGAAACUUUCCCGAUGGCCUAAACUUGACUUCCUAUAUAUAAAUCUUCACCUCCGGACCAUUCCGGAACUCCUCGUGACGUCCGGGAUCUCAUCCGGGACUCCAAACAACUUUCGGGUUACUGUAUACUAAUAUCUCAACAACCCUAGCGUCACCGAACCUUAAGUGUGUAGACCCUACGGGUUCGGGAGACACGCAGACAUGACCGAGAAGACUCUCUGGUCAAUAACCAACAGCGGGAUCUGGAUACCCAUGUUGGCUCGCACAUGCUCCUCGAUGAUCUCAUCGGAUGAACCACGAUGUCGAGGAUUCAAUCAAUCCGUAUACAAUUCCCUUUGUCAAUCGGUACGUUACUUGCCCGAGACUCGAUCGUCGGUAUCCCAAUACCUCGUUCAAUCUCGUUACCGGCAAGUCACUUUACUCAUACCGUAAUGCAUGAUCCCGUGAUCAACCACUUGGUCACAUUGAGCUCAUUAUGAUGAUGCAUUAUCGAGUGGGCCCAGAGAUACCUCUCUGUCAUACGGAGUGACAAAUCCCAGUCUCGAUUCGUGCCAACCGAACAGACACUUUCGGAGAUACAUGUAGUGUACCUUUAUAGUCACCCAGUUACGUUGUGAUGUUUGGCACACCCAAAGCACUCAUCCGGUAUCCGGGAGUUGCACAAUCUCAUGGUCUAAGGAAAUGAUACUUGACAUUCGGAAAAGCUACAUCAAACGAACUACACGAUCUUUGAGCUAUGCUUAGGAUUGGGUCUUGUCCAUCACAUCAUUCUCCUAAUGAUGUGAUCCCGUUAUCAAUGACAUCCAAUGUCCAUAGUCAGAAAACCAUGACUAUCUUUUGAUCAGCGAGCUAGUCAACUAAAGGCUCACUAGGGACGUGUUGUGGUCUAUGUAUUCACACAUGUAUUACGAUUUCCGGAUAACACAAUUAUAGCAUGAAUAAUGGACAAUGAUCAUGAAAAAAGAAAUAUAAUAAUAACCAUUUUAUUAUUGCCUCUAGGGCAUAUUUCCAACACCCUCCCCCUCCCCCACACACAUUCGCUUUACUCUAGAUGAGAAGGAGCCCAAUCAAGUCUUCAACUGUCUUCAAGGUAUCAAAGUUGGUUCCACUUACUUAGGGAGUAUAUGCAUAUAUGUGCGGUUAAUGGACAAAUGUUCAACGGGACGAAGUCUCAUGAUUGUUGUGAUCAUGUCACAAAUACUUCCGUUUGCUAUUAGAGGCAUAACAGAUAAGCGCGUCCGCAAAACACUCCUUGUCCUUUGUAAUUUCUUCGAUAUUAUCUCUCAAAAGUCGAUCAACUUAGAAGUGCAAGGCUACAGGAGGAAAACAUUAUUAUAUUAUGUGAGCUUGAGAACUACUUCCCCCCGCACUCUUUGAUGUUAUGGUUAUAAUCCCCAAGUGCAAAAACUAUUGCAACACUUCCCAAAGUGGAGGUGGUACAUAUGAAGUGUCAAUAUCACAGAUGAGCUAAAGGUAGGAAUCAUAUUCUCUCAAGUUCUAUAUGACACUGACAUAAUCCUGCAUAUAUUAAAUGUUGUUUUACGUGGAAUUUCUACUAAAAGAUACCUCCUUUGUUCCUAAAUAUAAUUCUUUUUAGAGAUUUCAAUGUGGACUACAUACAGAGCAAAAUGAGUGAAUCUACACUCUUAAAUAUGUCUAUAUACAUCCAUAUGUAUUCUUUGUUAAAAUAUAUAUAAAAAGACAUAUAUUUAGAAACAAAGGGAGUAGUUUGCAAGUUUUUGAGAGGGCGAAUGUGGGGUAGUGGUGGAAGGUGUUGCAAAAUUGUUGCUCACCAAUUGUCUAUGAUACCGGAUCGAUAAUCAUACAUUUUCCAGUCUCAUACGCAGGAGAGGCAUAUGCUAACAUGCAGUGACAUCCAUUGACAUCAUAUUCUUAUUGAUAAACCUUACAAAGCAUUGUACGAAGAAUUCAUUAAGUUAAAGCCCAACCAUAAGAUCUAUGGGUCCCGUGUAUCCCAUAUGCAUGAACUCUUAUACUCAUGUGAAAGUGAUAGCAUUGCUUUGUCAAUGACAAAAAUAUAUUAAUUGUAGAAUUCGGAGGUAACAUUUGUCGCUCGACUUGUUUUUUUUUUUUGGUGUAAGUCAAAAUGUUUAAGCCUUUACCCUAAAAUUUGUAGAUAGCAUUUUGGUGUGACAAUGAACACAACUUUUUUUUUUACAUUUGCAAAAUACAUUUUGUGUGCGCAUGAGCGUAUGCUGACUAGAGCCAAAUUGGAUUUCUGUGAAAAAAACAUGCAUAUAUAUGGCGCAGAAAGUGAAUCAAGUGCUAAAACAAAAUCUCUGCGCUCUGAUUGGUCGGUAGGACCGUCCCACGGAUCGCGCCCACCCUACUAAUCUCCACCGUCCACUACGCCAAGAUCCAACGGUGGGCGCAGCAUGUCACGCGGAUCGCUCCCUCCUCUGCUUCCCAAUAAAACCCGCGGCCACGCCGCCGUUCCAACACACAAACUCAGAGCAUUCCCAUCCAGCGCAACCGCCGCCAACACCACUCCUCGAGAGUCCUCGCCGCCGGAGAAGCAGCAAGCAAGAUGGCCGGAAGGAAGGGCGGCGACAGGAAGAAGGCGGUGACCAGGUCCGUCAAGGCCGGGCUCCAGUUCCCGGUCGGCCGCAUCGGGCGCUACCUCAAGAAGGGCCGCUACGCGCAGCGCGUCGGCUCCGGCGCCCCCGUCUACCUCGCCGCCGUCCUCGAGUACCUCGCCGCCGAGGUAUGCGCCGAUCUAUCCUCUCCUAGAGCCUCUGAUCUUCCCUCCUCUUGUCCCGAUUGACUGAUUUCGUUGGCUUUUGAAUGCGCAGGUCCUGGAGCUCGCCGGCAACGCGGCCAAGGACAACAAGAAGACCCGCAUCAUCCCGCGCCACCUGCUGCUCGCUGUCCGCAACGAUCAGGAGCUCGGCAAGCUGCUCGCCGGCGUCACCAUCGCCCACGGCGGUGUGAUCCCCAACAUCAACUCCGUGCUGCUCCCCAAGAAGUCCCCUGCCGCCGCCGAGAAGGAGGCCAAGUCGCCCAAGAAGAAGACGGCCGCCAAGUCCCCCAAGAAGAAGACGGCCGCCACGAAGGAGUAGCCGUCGUCCCCAUAGCCUAGCCAUUGUUGCUUAGAUCCAUUUCUCAUGGACUAAGAUGGGAUCCUGUAUGUAGUGCCUGCUAGUCUGUAGUGCCCGUCAGAUUCGUCGAGCAAGGGUGACAUUGUACCUGUGAUUUCUGUGAGAAUGGCGAAAGAUCCAAUCAUUUCAGUGUGUUGUUCUAUCUAUGGCUGCAAUGAUUUCAAUCCCUUGUUCUACAUAUGGCUGCAAUUGAUCUUGCGAAUGCUUGCUUCUUGCCUAUGCGUCUGAUGAUCUGAAAUUUUCCUAGGAUUCAGUUCACUUCAAGCUUAUUCCUAUCAAGCUGCAGGAAACUGAAUCUAUGAAGAACUGCACCUAGGAUUCUCAAUCAUACUCCACCUCUCCCUUCGUGGCAGCUUAUAAAUUGAGCUUCAGAAUUCCUGCAGUAAAACAUUUCAGUUUAGAGCUUGACCAUGCCGAAACAUUUUGCAGAAAUGUAACCUUGAUCUUUCUCUCUGUAGUUGAGCUGGUGACAUGUUGCUUUGUUCAUGAGCCAAAAGAAUUCUUAAAGUUGGAGUUGAGCCGACUACAUGCGAACUGAAGUUUGGAUAGUUGUUUGAUGCAGGUAACAAACCACAGACCUGACAACAUCUUGGCUGCUACUAGAUGCAAACUAUAAUAACUAGCCAGAUGAGGUGCUGAUUUUGUAAUCAGAUAAAGCUGAAACAGAUACUAUUGAGGAAUUUAGAAUUAGUCAGGCCCUUGGAAUAGAAUUAACACUUGACGAUUCCCAAUCAUCCUCCACCUCUGUCUGCGGCGCAGCCUAUAGAUCGGUGCUGGCUCUAAAUUGGACAAGUAAUAAGCAAGAUUCUUCAGAAGUACUGCAGACAAACAUGGCAAAUUAGAGCUUGAUCAUGCCGAAACAUUUUGCAGACAAUUGAUCCUUGAUCUUUCCCUUUGUAGUUGAGCUGGUUACAUGUUACUUUGUUGGACAAAAUAAUAAUUCCAGUUGGAGUCGAGCCGGCUACAUGCGAACUGAAGUUUGGAUAGUUUGAUGUAGGUAAAAAAACACAUAACGUUUUGGCUGCUAUAGAUGCAAACUACAAUAACUCGCCAGAUGAGGAGCUGAUCUUGUAAUCAGCUAAAGCAGAAACAGAUAUUGACAAAUUUAGAUACUAGGAUCAGUCAGGCCCCUUAAAAUGGUCCAGUAGAAAAAUGUUCUUCACCGGAGUGCACAAGAUUUCCUGGGUAAAUAAGCAAGUUAAUGUUGCAUGGUGGGAACAAUAGUAAGAAAGAAUUUCAGUAAAACUGAUGAAUAGGGAAAAAAUAGGUUAAAUGCAGAGUGGGUAUUCCGUAUAUCCAUCUGUUAAUUUUUUUUUACCAAAAAUAGGCCCAGUGGUGGGUUAACUUUUCUCCAUUCUGCUUUCCCCGUUGAAAUUUUAAAUUUGUUGUGGAAAACAGGCAUAUGGUAAUUUUGAAGUUCGGCAGAUGAUUGUUUAGAUAUUUUCCGCUUUAGGAAAACAAGCUAGGAAAAGCAAUUUAGAUGUUUCAUUCUAGCUAAAAGUUUUUUAAAUGAGUUGAAGACUUUUCAAUAUUUCCGCAUAUACUGACAGUCCUUCUCGUUUGAUUCUGGUUUGAUUUGUGGUAUGAUUGUGAAUCUGGUUUGAUUUAUGGUAUGAUUGAAUGUGCUCAUACCACUGCUCGUCUUCUGUUUUGUUAAAUUUAUGACUUGUGUCCGACUUCUUCUAUUUUGUGGUAUGUGUGGACAAGUUUGCAGACGCACUUGUAUGAGUAUGAGUGCUCGUCAGUCCUUCUAAUAACUUGGUCAUGUGUGGUCUCUAGCGAUAUGAGCUACGCUGCGACCGAGGGCUGUUGUAUCACUAGUCAACCGAUGGUGUUACGGCCCAGGGGUACCUCACCUUGUCGGUUACCGGUCCAAGUAGGACGGCCCGAGGCCCCUAGGGCGGUACCGCUUGGGCCAUCUUGUCAGCCCAUUGGCCCUCUAGGAGAAAUUUUUUUGAAGCCUUUUCGUUCAAGAGAAAGAAGUCGGAUCCGUGGAGGACUCCUCUCCACCGACGUUGCCAACUAGGACUCUUAAAACCCUAGGGCCCCCGAUAUCUUAUAUAAGCUAGGUUUGGGCUAGUCAACUAAACAUCUUAGACAUUACAAUCCUUCGGUAUUACAUGUACUUUGUAUACCCCGGUCAAAAUAUACACAAAGUAGGAGUAGAGGUUUUACAUCAAUCAUGAGGGCCUGAACCUUGGUAACUCGCUUCUUCUUUCUCCUCUAGCCUAAUCGCCAUGCCAGGAUACCCUACUGGGGGAUAUACCGGAAUCAUCUCCGACACCAUAAAAGGACCACAUCAGCCGGAAAACAACACCACAUCAACACUGAUACCACAGUACCAUUAGAGGGACCAACUUACUGUUAAGUAGUACACAUCCCAUAAGAAGCAGGCUUACCAGAACCCAAAGAACAAGCUACCUAAGCGAUAAGGUAGGAGAUAAGGAUACUCUCAGGUAGCAUAGAGGUGGGUGGCUGCUCCGGAUCCAGGCAGAGGCAUGGUGGGGCGCAGCGUGGUCCAGUUCUGGGCCUGGCAAGCAGGCGCAUGCAUGCAAGACUGGGCGCACCGAGAAGGUGCACGUGGUCCAGAUCGCAUGGUGCACGACGAGCUCGGGCAGGCCGGAGUAGUAGGGUGUGACCCGAAGGUUUUUGUGGCUCGAGAUCCGCGUGGUGCUUGCUCCUAGUGGCGUGUUGCUCGUGAGUGUGCACUUUGCAGCACGAUGGAGGAGCUUGAUGCAAGAUGCUAAGCGAGUGGUUUGAUGCGCAUAUGGCUUGUUAGGGGGGUUGCCCGAGUCCUGGGGCUUGGAGGGUGAUGAAGGCGAAAGAUGUAUUCUCACGAUGGCGCCUUCGAGCCCCUUUUCCUUGUUGGAGGUGUCAAGGUGGAAGUCCUCACUCCCCCCUCCCCCCGACAAGCUACAGUGGAAAACCUAGAUUUGCUUUACUGGGCGACGACAGUGUUGUUAGCUUUGCUUGGUGUGGCGCGCAUGCCCUCUUGAUGGCAUCGUUUCAGAGAUGGCGGUCGGUGGGACCUGUGGCUGGUGGAGUUGGCCGGUGACGGCUACUGUGUUUUCGCCCGUGUGGCGUGCUUACUGAAUUGGGUGGUGGGUAGUAGGAGCAUCCUUCACAUGUGGCGUGCGUCGGGUGAGGCACAUCAGCCAACCUCAUGGGAUGAAAACUGCAUGUGUUCGAUUUAACAGACAUAUCAGUCCUCUCUAAUGUCGUUGUGAUUCGUGAAGAAUCUUGUGAUAAGCCCAGACUAAUGCAAUGGCUUUCAGCAUGCAGUCUGGUAGCGGCGAAGGCGCUGGAGCCAGUUUUCCUCAAAUAUAAACCGAGCGGCCCUUUCUUCAUUCUUCUUUCUCUAGCACAUGCUUAUGCGGUGCAUUGCUUUAUUUGGGUGUUCAUGUAACACCCGUUUCUAAUCAAUGUUUCUUUUUUUCGGGGUUCUAAUCAAUGGUUUUAUUUUUUUUUAACUCUCUUUUCAUGCUCUGCAACGUGCUGUAUGUACACGGGAGUCCACACAUCCAUCGAUCCGCUCCGCUCUAGCUCGCGUACGUUCUCGCCACGUCAUCGAUCCGCGCCCAAGCGCAUCGGGUCCGUCCGUCCCAAGCAUCAUCGAGCGGCUGGAACCACUCCACGCCAUCGAUCCGAGGCACCAUCCUCUCCGCCAACCGCAGCCCACCUCCCUCCUCCUCCCCCCGCUCCCUACAUAACCCCGCCGCCCCAUCCGUCUCUUCACAUCUCAGCAUCAGCAGCCCCCCUCACAUCCCACCCAACAAGCCCCACCUCCCCACGCGCUCCAGCCAGCAGCACCCAUGGCACCCAAGGCGGCGGAGAAGAAGCCGGUGGCCACGGCAGAGAAGACGACGGCGGGGAAGAAGCCCAAGGCGGAGAAGCGGGCGCCGGCGUCCAAGGAGGCCGGCGGCGAGGGGAAGACGAGGGGCCGGAAGAAGGGCAGCAAGGCCAAGAAGGGCGUGGAGACCUACAAGAUCUACAUCUUCAAGGUGCUCAAGCAGGUGCACCCCGACAUCGGCAUCUCCUCCAAGGCCAUGUCCAUCAUGAACUCCUUCAUCAACGACAUCUUCGAGAAGCUGGCCGGCGAGUCCGCCAAGCUCGCCCGCUACAACAAGAAGCCCACCAUCACGUCCCGGGAGAUCCAGACCUCAGUGCGCCUCGUCCUCCCCGGCGAGCUCGCCAAGCAUGCCGUCUCCGAGGGCACCAAGGCCGUCACCAAGUUCACCUCAUCCUAAGCUGGCCUCGUCGUCGUUUCAUGACGAGUUGAGGGCGGCAGGCGUCGUGUGUGUAGUUAGCAGUAGUACGAUGUUACAAUCUUUGUAAGAAUUGUUCUGCUUGCUUGUGGCCUUGAAGGAAUAGUGAUGUUGCUGUUUGAAUCAAUGUUCGUCUGUGCUUGCGUGUCUCUUCAGAGUUCAGACUAACUCUUCUUGAUGCCAUUUGUUUAUGUCAGCAAGUUUCUACUGUGAUGGUUUAUCUAGUAAUUUUAAUUUGCUGUCAUUUUAUCUAUUGUGAUUGUUUCUAAGUUUCUAGAUAGAAACCUUUGAUUUUAAUUCUACAAUCUUUGAAGUUUGAAAUUAUGUACUACCAGUUAAAUCCAUGAUUUUCCUUCCUCUUUUGGCGCUAUGUAACUAACCUAUAUACUGUUGCUGCCAUUUGAGUAAAACUGAAGUUGGUGAGGCUUGUUAAUUUCUGACAGAACAUUCCAAGUUUUUUCCUCAGUGGACUUGUCAUCCAUAUGGCAAGAGGCCAAGAACAGCCUGACCGCCAGUGCUCAGAAAGUCACAAUGCAUUAGAUUCGGAUUAGCUUCUUGAGAUAAAUUAGAGGCUUUUUGCAAAAAAAGAAGCAAUAAAUUAGAGAAAGCGCACCCAUGUUUUUUAGAGUCAAGGGACAAGCUAGAUGUAACCAUCAUCUUUUUAGGAUGGCAUACCUGAGUUUUUUUUCUCUGUAUAUGUUUAUACUACAGUAGCUAAUUUUCCUUUGAUCUACUACUACACUUGGUAAUUUCUGAUCACGAAGCCACCAAUUUUGUCAAGGUGCAUUUUUUCUAUCGAUUCAUUUCUCUAUGUUUAUGUACAUUUGUAUGGAUAUAUGAAUUCUAAGUUAAGUGCAUUGGCAAGAACCAUUCACCACUCAUUUCCAGCCAUGGCGUUUCCACAAUUCGAUGGGGAAAACCCACGGUUGUGGAAAGGGAUGUGCGAGCAAUACUUUGCCAUGUACGGGGUUGACCAAUCCUUUUGGUAGCCCAUGGCUACGCUGAACUUCUCCACGACCACGGCCAUUUGGCUGCAGUCAGUUCAGCGCAAGGUCGCCGGCCUUAACUGGGAGGGGUUAUGCGAGUUUCUUUGCAGCAAGUUCGGGCGCGACCAACACCAACAACUGAUUAGGCGAUUUUACCACACUAGGCAAACUGGCUCCGUGGCGGAGUAUAUCAAGCAAUUUGAUGCUUUAAUGAACCAUCUGCUAUCUUACUCUGAAGCUAUUCACCCCCUGUAUUUUUUGACGAGGUUUGUGGAGGGUCUGCGUGAUGACAUUCAGGCGGUCGUGCUGAUCCAGCGACCCGUCGACCAGGAGGCGGUCGGCUCCCUGGCCCUUCUACAAGAGGAGCUUGCGGAGGGCUUCCGGCGGGAUCGCCCGCGCCGCUCUGACGCACCGACAACAAGGGCCGCCAUCCGAACGGCCCCUCUGCCGCUGCCGGCCGCUCCUCCUCGGGGUGGUGGGGUAGCUGGUGCGGAGGACCGGCACGCUCUGGAGGCAGCGCGGCCCGCACAAGACGCAGACAAGGUUGCUGCCCUAUGCGCCUACUGGUGCGCUAAGGGACUCUGUUUCACCUGUGGCGAACGCUGGGGGCGUGACCACCACUGCCCAGCCAAUGUUCCCCUCCAUGUCAUUGAGGAAUUACUUCAGAUGCUGGAAACAGAAGACGGGUGCACCCUGCCAACCGAGGAACAACAAGAAGAUGCCAACUGCGCAGCCAUUUCGUGCCAUGCUUUGGAGGGCACGGCAUCCCCAAAGGCUCUGCAACUCCAAGGGUGGCUAGGCGACACCAAGGUGCUCCUGCUCGUUGACUCGGGCAGCUCGUCUUCCUUCAUCAGGCACGACUUGGUCAGAGGAGAACUCCGGGCGGUCCCUCUAGCGCGCCGUCUCAGGGUGCGCGUAGCCGAUGGGGGAGAGCUAGCUUGUACUCAGGAAGUACCGGACUGCCAAUGGUGGAGCCAUGGACAGGAAUUUCGCUGCAAUCUGAAGGUGCUUCCAUUGCACAGCUAUGAUAUUAUCCUCGGGAUGGAUUGGUUAGAAAGUCACAGCCCAAUGCAAGUUGACUGGGAGAAGAAGUACAUCGAGUUCCAAUACCAUGGGGGCACGAUCCGACUGCAAGGCUUGCCUAGCAGCGACACCACAUGCUCCACAGUGUCGGCUAUGCAACUCCAGGCGCUGUGCAAAGAGAAUGCCAGUUUGCUCGUCCUCCAGCUAUGCCAAGUGGUUCCACAACAGCCUUCACCUAUGCUGCCCCAAGUUGCCGAGUUGCUCAGCCGCUACAAAGAAGUCUUUGAUGAACCAACAGGGUUACCCCCAAAACGGGCUUGCGACCACCGCAUACCCCUGCUGCCAGGUGCUCAAUCGUUUGCCAUCCGUCCAUACCGCUACUCUCCAGCCCUCAAGACAGAAAUCGAGCGCCAAGUGGCUGACCUUCUGAAGAAAGGGAUCAUACAAGUCAGUUAGAGCCCUUUCUCCUCUCCUGUGGUCCUGGUGCGCAAGAAGGACUUGACUUGGCGACUGUGUGUCGAUUACAGGCGCCUCAACGCUCUGACUUGCAAGACUACUUUUCCUAUCCCAGCGAUUGACGAACUUCUGGAUGAGCUCGCAGGCGCGCGCUGGUUCUCUAAAUUAGAUCUCCGCUCGGGGUACCACCAGAUCCGGUUGGCUGAAGGCGAAGCACCAAAGACAGCAUUCCAAACACACAGCAGCCACUACGAGUACAAGGUGGUAUCCUUCGGACUCGCCUACGCACCGGCCACCUUCCAGGGAGCAAUGAACGUCACCCUGUCUCCUGUAUCCCGCAAGUGCGUGCUUGUCUUCUUCGACGACAUUUUGGUGUUCAGUAUUACCUUGGAGGAUCACUUGAGAGACUUGGAAGAGGUGCUCGGGCUGUUGAAGAAGGACCAGUGGCAGGUGAAUGAAUCCAAGUGCUUAUUCGCGCAACAGCAACUAUCUUACCUGGGCCACCGCAUCAGCGCAGAAGGGGUCGCAACCGAGGAGAGCAAAAUCGCUAAAUUCCGCGACUGGCCAGUGCCCGAAUCAGUGAAGGAACUCAGGGGCUUCCUGGGUCUAGCAGGUUACUAUAGGAAGUUUGUCUGUCACUUCGGGAUGAUCUGCAAACCCCUGACUCAGCUGCUGCGCAAGGGGGCACUCUUUGUUUGGACUGAUGAGAGCCAAAAGGCAUUUACAGCUCUCAAGGAAGCCCUCAUUUCGGCUCCGGUACUGGCCCUGCCCAACUUCACCAAAACAUUCGUGGUCGAAACUGACGCGUGUGAUAGAGGCAUUGGGGCGGUGCUGCAGCAGGACAACCACCCCAUCGCUUUCCUCAGCAAAGCCCUCGGGCCAAAGGCGGCAGGCCUCUCCACCUACGAGAAGGAAUGUAUGGCAAUUCUGCAUGCGGUUGACCAAUGGCGCCACUACUUGCAAAUGGCUGAAUUUGUGAUCAAAAUAGACCAAAAAAGUUUGGUGCACCUGGAAGAGCAACGCUUGUCGACGGUCUGGCAACACAAGGCAUUCACCAAAUUGCUAGGCCUGCAAUACAGAAUCUGCUACAAAAAAGGAGAGGAUAACAAGGCAGCCGAUGUCCUGUCUCGUCGCCACCACGACCCGCAGGAGGCCGCACUUGCCAUCACUGAAUGCAAGCCUGCUUGGUUGACAGAGGUGCAACAAGGGUACGUCGAGGACGCCCGAUGCCAGAAACUUCUCGCUAGCCUAGCCACGACACCGCAACAAGGAGCUUUCAGCUUGCAACGGGGUUUACUACGCUACAAGGGCAGACUGUGGCUAGGGCAAAACCGUGCGCUGCAAGCCAAGGUUACUUCAGCCUUGCAUGAUGCAGCAGCAGGGGGGCACUCGGGCUUCCCGGUCACCUUGGCGCGCGUCAAGCAGCACUUCGCCUGGCCGGGGAUGCGCCGCACCAUCAGGGAGUUCGUCAGCACCUGCUCCACGUGCCAGCAAGCUAAACCUGACAGGUCUCGCUACCCAGGGCUCCUGCAACCCCUACCAAUACCAAAUCAGCCGUGGGAGAUGGCAACUAUGGAUUUCAUCGACGGUCUGCCCCCGUCUGGCCGGCACAACUGCAUCAUGGUGGUCGUGGACAAACUAACCAAGUAUGCCCAUUUUGUGCCGCUCGUGCACCCUUUCACCGCCCAGACAGUAGCCCAGCAGUUCAUGGAUCACAUCUACAAGCACCACGGUAUGCCCAGGUACAUUGUCUCUGACCGUGACCCGCUCUUUACCAGUCGCUUCUGGCAGCACCUUUUCAAACUCACCGGUACGGAGCUCCUCAUGAGCACGGCGCGCCACCCUCAAACUGACAGGCAAACGGAACGUGUCAACCAGUGCCUGGAAACAUUCUUGCGCUGCUACUCGCAGGCAUCCCUUCAGCAGUGGUCCAAGUGGUUGUCACUCGCAGAGUUCUGGUAUAACACGAGCACGCACUCAAGCCUGGGCAAGUCGCUGUUCGCGGUGCUCUAUGGGAGAGAGCCUCGCGCCCUGGGGUUAGCCACCGCAGAUGACUGCCAACCACUCGACGUCCGAGCAUGGCUCGAGGAGCGGCAACUGAUGCUGGCUUUGGCGAAGCAGCACUUGCACAGAGCACAACAGCGGAUGAAAGAACAAGCAGACAAGAAGCGUUCCGACCGCUCCUUCCAACCAGGAGACCAAGUGUACCUGAAAGGCUGAAACUGCAACCUUAUGUGCAAACCUCCGUCGCUCGGCGGGCGUGCCACAAGCUGUCGUUCAAAUUCUUUGGCCCCUUCCAGAUUCUGGCCAAGAUUGGAUCCGUGGCUUACCGCCUGCAGCUCCCAAAAGGAUCAGCAGUCCAUCCAGUCUUCCAUGUGUCGCAACUCAAGGCGGCUCACCUCCGUCCUGAAGGUUCGGUCAGCGCUCUGCCGACUAAUGUGUCUGCGUUUCAGGUACCGCUCGAAGUGAUCGACUACAGGUGGCGCAAGGCCCCCAACAAGAUGGUUCGUCAGGGCAAGAUUUGCUGGUCUGGCACACCCGUGGAGGACACCACUUGGGAAGACCUGGAAGAUCUCCACCGCCGUUUCCCGCGCGCUCCAGCUUGGGUCCCGCUGCGCAUCCUCAGCCUCCGCGACAAGAAAACCGGGCGCUCGACCGUGCGCCAGGGGACAAGCCCUUUUUCAAGACAAGGGGAAUGUCAGCGACGCCCAGGAGACGGCCCCUGACAAGAUCACCUCAAGCGACACCGAGCCACCACAGGAGGUCGAGCCCAACAGGCCCAGGCGCGAGCGGAAGCCCAACAGCAAAUUCAUCGGGCCCGCGUGGGCAAGUGGCCCACGGAAGUGAAGACUCACCUGCAUAUAAUCCCCUCCUCCCCCGCGAGCUAGGGUAUCCAGAGGAUCAAGAACUUGGCGGCGGCGGCGGCUCUCUACUACCUUCCUCCUCCUUUCCUUAGAUCUGGCUCGAUGAGCAUGUAAUCAAACCGAAUUCCUGUGAUUUGAGAGUGAGGACACUAGUAGUUCCUAUCAAUUUGGCUGUUUUAAUUGGGUCCUGUUUGAAUCGUUUUCAUUUCCAAUUUUCUUGAUCUUUAGCAAAUGAUCCCUUCCCCUCCUAAUGCAAAAGCAGAGCUCCUGCUGUCAAAGUCAAAAUAGAUGCAAAGGCCACAAAUGCAGAUGAACGCAUUUUUCAACCAAAAAAUAGAAGUCGGAAUGAGAGAAAUGAUUAGAGGGGACUGAAGCUCGACAAACAGAAAAGGUGGAGCGGGAAAAAAUGAUUUGAUUGUCUGAAGGAACAACUUGUAGCGCUAAAGAUGCAGUUGAGGUACAAGAGAAACAAUACAAUUGGAGGUAUACCCUUAGCUAAAUCCAGUAGUACAAAACAACCAAGGCUCCAUGGACAUGAGGCGAAAACAAUCUGGUACAACAACAUAUGCCUAGUUUUUUUUUUCCGAUAAAGGGUGUUUUUUUAUUCAUAAUGUAGCAUGGAGGGAUACAAUGAUAAUUUAUACACACCUGGUCUCUACAUAAUUAGGAUGCACAUAACCAACAAAAAGACGCACUAACCGACCACACCGGCAAAAAGCAAGGUCAAAUAACACCAGAGCCAUGCCUAUUCGGAGGAAAAAACCCCAAGCAAUAAAAAUAACAAUUGACAAUAUAUAGCAGUGACCAUCGGCACCAACCAUUCAUCGGCAACACAAGGACUAUGAACAACAUAUGCCUAGGUACAAACCGUGACGUGGGUUUUCCAUUAGUAAGAAAGAGUGAAAACUGGUAAACUAAAAUGAACUUCAUAGCGGCCUUGGCCAUGGAUAUUUCUUACGUUGGAGCUGGUAAAUCUGGCAGGCGAUGACUAUACAGAACUUUUUGACAAAGCUUGCCACCAAAGGGAACUAGGGGUCUACGGGCAUCUCCAUGGGAAUCGUUGGUACAAGUACAAAUACAGUUUGGUGUUCCUGGUCACUUUUUCAGCAAGAUCUUGCAAGAGAGUCCGCCAUUUGGACCCUUCUGGUUCAGGAUCAUGAGACCCGAACUACAAACAUAAUCUCUGUUCUCGACAAUAGAACGAUAACCCAUCACCAAUUUACUGACUUGGCAAAUUGGCAGUCCAUCCAAAACGGCAGCCUGAAACAUGUCUUUGAGCAUCAUUUGCUUAGCUUGGUAGAUUCUGCAAGGCGUCCAAGCUUCUGCCUAUUCUUUCUUCUAUCCAGGCAAGUCUCCUCUCAAGUUUUAGCACACUGGCAUGAAUAACCCUAAUAUCAACCUCCGCAAGCUUGGAAAAUGAGUGUACCAACAUGUAAUAAUCAGCGUGUCCAACACAAACAAGAUUACCGGUUACUGUUUUCUUUCUAUAGUGAAGAUAGUCAUCUGAUCUCGGACACUUCCUUCGCGGCAUAUAACAAAAUCCAUGGUCUUCCAUUUCUGAUUUGAUACUUAGCAUCCCUGAUGAUAAUGAAGAAAAGCACCGUCCACAAAAGUUCCAUCCCGACCUCGUUUAUUACUCGAGUUGUGGUUCGCAUUUCCUCCAUGUGUGCUUUUGGAUUCUCAUCCUGCAGUGCAACAGAUUUAGCCAUCAAGUCAAUAACAACACCCCCAAAAGAGAUGUAGCAAAUCCUCAAGGUACUACAUUGUACAAAUUUUAAGCUCAGAUAUGCUGCGAAUAAAUAGAGAUUUUUUAGAUUAACAAUUGUUUUUUCAUUUAUCUUUUAAUUUUAUAAUUUGGUUGUUUCUCAAAAAGAAAACCAGUUGUGUUUGGUUUCUAUAAUCAUUUAUGUUCUUUCAUGCUGAUUUUGUUCCUGAAAUAACAUUCAUAGAUAGAAGGUUGUUAAUGGUUUGUACCCAGGGUUCAGAAAUGGUACAUCCGUAGAGAUUAGAAGUUCAAAAUAAAUACAGUAUGUGGUUAGAGUGAAAUAGAAAACCCUUUCUGAAUGGCAACUUUAUUGUUCUUAAUCUUUUAAAUUUACAAUAUGGCAGCUCCUAAAAUAAAAUAAAAUAUCAUUCAAACCAAUUGUGUUUGAUUUCUAAGAUCUUUUGUGUGUUUUUGUUCUGAUUUUGUUCCUGAAACAGCAUCCAUACAUAGAACCUUGUUAAUGGUUUGCACUAAAGGUCCAGAUCGAAAGGCACUAGGCACUAGGCGGGCGUUUUGUGAGAAUUCAUGAUGAAUAUUAUUAAAUACAGGAUGAAUAAUCCCAAUAAAGUAGUACACGAAAAACAUUUUUAGUACUCCCUCCGUCCGGAAAAGUUUGUCCCAAUCUUGUUUCUCAAAUGGAUGUAUCUAGCACUAACUUGGUACUAGAUACAUCCAUCUGAGGGACAAGCUUUUUUGGACGGAGGGAGUACAUAGUCUUUUUUCAAAACACGUGGAUUAUUGUUAGUGAAAUAUAAGUAUUUUUUACACACUAUAAACAUUUUUAAAUGAAAUCUUGUCAUUUUCAAUAAAAUGUAAAACAUUCUUGAUAUACAUCAAAUAUUUUUUGAACCAAUAAACGUUUCCAUUAAAUGAUUCUUUAAUACACAAAGAACAUCUUUUAAAUAAUUGGCUAAUAUUUUUAAUACAUAAUAAACAAAUUAAUACAUGUUUAAUGUUUUUAUAAUACGCAUACACAUUUUUAAUACUCCCUCCAUUCGAAAAUGUAGUGCGUACAUAUUUUUUGAAAAGUCAAACUUUACAAACGUUGACCAAAUUUAUAGAGAAAAAUAUUAAUAUCUAGAAUACCAAAUAUAUUAAAUACUCCCACUGUCCAAAAACAACUACCGCUCAAACGAAUGUAUCUAACACUAAAAUACAUCUUGAUACAUCCGUUUGAGUGACAAUUAUAAGACGGAGGUAGUAUGAGACUAUAUCUUAUGAUGAGUAUAAUGAUAUAUAGUUUUGGCAAUCUAGAUGUAAAUGUUUUUCUUUAAAAAUAUAGGUCUAAAUUGGUGAGGUUUGACUUCUCAAAAAAUUUAUAUGCAGUACAUUAUGGAACGGAGGGGGUACAUGACAAAACAUAUCUCGAAACACGGGGACCAUUUUGUAGAAAGUGAUUUCGUAAAUGGUAUGAGAAAAGGAAAAAGAAAUAAACAGAAAAAACAGGAGAAAGGAAACCCCAAAAGGGAAACAAUAAAUGUAUAAAAAUAAAAACUAAUAGAAAAGUAAAUAUGAAAGAAAAAUUAAGGUGAAAGAAACUGGAAAACAAGAAAAAAAGUGGGAAACCAGAGUUAAACAGAAAAAUAUGGACAUAAACCACCUGUCCCAUAGAAAACAAGAGGCAAAACCAGGGAGGCAAACCACCAUACCUUGCCCGAGCCACGGCCCAUGUCGAGAUUGCUAGAGGCGAGUACAUGGUAUAUCUAGCAAUAAGCGAGAUAUUCUUCGCAAAAACAAACAACCAAAUGGGAACCGCUGCCAAUACAUAACAGAGCGGCUCCAGGCCACUUUAUGCAUUAAAGCCACGAUGAGCUUGGCGUACUUUCACUAUGAUGCUGCCUUCGUUGCAUCUGAAUUCUAAAUGCCAUCUUGUUUCCCGAUUGAUGAAGUCCACUCUCCGAACCAACUCCCAUCGUUGUCCUUUAAGAGAAUCUCAAAUGGACCCCGAAGACAGGGAGGGGGGAGGGGGUACUGAACGGUUUUUACUAGGCAUGAUCCCCACAAUAAUGCAACCUCAACCCUUCUUAAUAGCGUGACUUUCCUUAGAUUUAAAUAAACCAGAAAAUACUUCGAGUCCUUCGACAAACCGACACAUUUCCGGGGAGGGUGAGGGGUGAACCAUCUCCUUCCUUUUCAUCAAGGAACCAAUGUCGUCAAAUAAAUUUGAUAAAGGUCGUUAGUCCUACUAAACAUAUUAUCAUCACAACAAAAUACAAUUGGCGUCUAUAUGCACUCUCAAAAUUGUUUACUUUCCUUUUUUUAGUUAAAUGCACACAACUAAUUAAGAAAUAUAUUAAGAUAAAUACAUGUACGCAUUGAUGGGUUUUGUGUACUAAUAAUAACUACUUGAUUGGUUUUGUGUCAACGAACUCAUAGUUUUUUCAGUGAACAAAUAUAAAUCGCUUUGGCGGCUCAGCGUUCUUAUGGGCCGACCCAGGUGAGCGCCAUUGCAUAGUAGCGUCUGGUUGUGCCUGGGUGAGCUAUAUCUCUUAGUGCGAGACAAAUCGGUGUGUGUUCGGUGAGUGGGCCGACUAAGUGGAUUUCAGAACCCUCCAUGGGAGGCCUGGAUUAGUUUUAGGAACCUUCUGGUUGGUUUUCUGUCAAUUUUUUCUCCUUUUUGUAUGUUUUUUCUCUACUGGUUUUCAUCGGUUUUCUUUCUUUUUAUAUAUUUUUGUUUUCUUUGUUUUUCCCUUUUCCAAAUAUAUGCCAACUUUUGGUUAAUGUACAUUGAACAAUUUCGCUACAUAGGUUGAACAUUCUUCACAUACUCCUUGAUUUUUCUAAAUCUGCGUUAAAUAUUUUUUCUGUUUCACUUUUUCUGUUUUUCUCCUUUUUGUUUUUAGGUAUUUAUUUUUUAUUUUCAAAUAAAAAACUAAAUACUUGAUUUUUUAUCAAAGGUGUCUUGCAUUUUUUCCUCAAUAUAAACAAGGUUAUAUAUCAUAUCAACAAUUAUAUUUAGAUGGUAUGCAUACACCAAAGAAUUAAUCCAAAGAAGAAAAUCUCGAGAUAGAAUGAAACUUCUAAACUAUUCUCUAUCUUUUCUUUUCUUGAACGGGGAUCUAUAAACUACUAUCUGUUCUUCAAAACGAACAAAAAUUUCAAGGGGAAAAACAAAGGAAGAAAAUGAAACGUGAGAAGCAGAGAAAUGGUAAUACGAUGGGGGGCUUGGACUGGGUUGGCCUGCUACGUGUCGGGUGCAGCUGCAAGUCCAAUACACAUAGACUGAAGGCCCAAUGCCCACAAAAAAUCAUACUAAAUCGAGACGAUGGGGGUAAGAGGGGAGCUAUGCCUCUUAAGAUACAGUCAUAUGUAGAAGGCAUGUCUAAGGUUCAGUUUGCAAUUAGUGAAUUAUAAUGUCAUUUGCUUAUUUUAUAAUUAGGUAUGAAAAAUUAGACACAAAAGUAGGCAAAAACAGGUCAAAUAAACACGAAAAUAUGGACAAAAAAGGGUGGGGCAAACAAGAAUAUGAGAAUACACCAUGAUUCAAGCGCAUCAUAAAGUACCAAGUUAUAUAUUUCCGACAGUACUAGUAGAAGAAAAUUCACAAAAUAUUGAAGAAAUCUAAUUAGCAACAAAUGUCCUCUAGUUUGCUUUUUUCUUAAAGAAUAAGAUGAGAGGUUAGAAGUUCAAGUGCAUUGGGAUGCUUAGUUGUGUACUGACAAUAACAAUUUUGAUUUUUAGAGCAGAGUUACAGUUGGCGCAAAAUGUAAAAGAGAAAGGAGCAAGAGGGGUACUUAGGGCAUCUCCAGCCGCGCCCCCAGGAAGGCCUCCCCAGGUGUUUUUCUUGCGCCGAAGCCGAAAAAUCGGCCCAGUCGCGUCCCCAGGAGCCCGAUUUUCACCGGCCUGGGCCGAAAACAGCGCCGGCGGACCUAGGCCAAACCCGGUGCGCUGAGGGGCGCCCGAGGGCGCCGGGCGAACUUUUUUGGCGCGAAAAAGCCGCGGGCCCGCCGCGUCAGCGACACGGCUCUCUUCUCGCCCCUUCGUCGGCCUCAUCGCCUCGUUUCCCACGGAGAAUCAAUGCCAAAGCUACCGCGCUGCCGCGCCGGUCAGCCUGCACCAUUGAUGCCUCACGGGCGGCGCAGUGAAGGCCGGACGACGCGCGUCCCUCGCCCUCCCUCGCCCGCCACGCGUAACACGGCGGCCACGCGUACGGGCGGCGUCUCGGCCUAUAUAAGACGCGCAACAGCGUGCUCGGCGACCACACUCUCUCGCCGUCGUCGUUCCUCCCUUUCUUCUCUUUCGCCGUCGUUUCUCCCUCUCCUCUCUCUCGCCGUCUCCACUCAUGGCCGAGCGCUUCCCUGGUGACGGCGCGGCGGCGAACGGCUUCGGCCGCCGCCAUCUCCAUGAAGACGAGGCUCGCCUCCUUUACGAGGCCGGGUACCCGGUCCCGCCAGACAUGCGGGUGCCCGGCGUGUGGAGGAUCAGCGCCGGCGGCGCGCCGGUGCCACCACCACCCACCGGGGCGGCGCGGCGUGCGGAGAUCGCACGCAUCCGCGCGUCCCUACCGCGGCCGGCGAGGGAGGGGCCACGGUACGUCCCCGAUAGCCCGCUCUGGGAGUCCUACUUCCGCCGCCGUCACGCCGAGCAGCUCGAGGCCACCAACGGCGUCGAGCCCUCCGGCAGGCUCAACUCCAACGGCCGGCGCCGAUGGUGGGGCGUGCCCGGGCGCACGUUGGAGGCCGUCCUCGAGUACAUCAAGGGCGGCAACACGCCGUCCCUCGAGUACCCCGAUCCCCCGUCCUUCUCACGCCGCCGGGGAAGUUCCUGGACCUCGAGGCGCAUGGAGACCGGGGGGUCCUCCUCGUCGUCCGGUGGCUCGCCCUGCCUCCGCCCCGUCAAGCCAGAGCCCCAGGACACGCCGGUCAGUGCCCGCAUGCGCAGCUCCGGCAUCCGCAUCGGCGGCGCCAACGCCUCCCCACCCACCGGCCGCUUCGUCCUCGUCAAGCCCAAGCCGGAGCGCGGCCUCCCCGUGGAGUACGAGGAGAUAGCCCGGCGCGGCAUCUCCGACGAGGACGCCCUGCGCUGGGCGCGGGACGACUACCUCCGCGACGAGAUGGUCCGGCAGCGCCGGGCCCUGGAGGAGAUCGCCGCCCGCAAGCGUGGGCACGAGGACGAGCACGGCGUCGUGGUCCUCGACAGCGACGACGACGACGACGACGCCCUCGGACCGUCCAACCCGCCGUGCCAACCGGGGGAGGGAUGCAGCAAGGGCGACGGAGGCGCAGGCGGCGACGACGACGACGACGGCGGCGGCGACUACACGCGGUUCUACCGCCUCCUCGGCAUGUAAACCGCGUGGGCGGGCAGCGAGGCGGGCGGCGAGGGGGACGGCGGGGGUAGCUCGCCGAAGUUUUUUUUUAUAAAAUAUGUUUAAGUUUGAACGAACUCGCCGAUGUUUGCUUAAAUUUCAGUCGUGUUUGUGUCGUAUUUGAAUUUUUUUUAAAAAACGUGGGGCGCCGCGACUGGGGGGCAUCACGCCUCCAGUGCGCGGUUUAGCGCCGACACGCCCUCGGGGGCGAUUUUUAGGCGUCCUGAGAGGCCGAACGGCUGAAGAUGCCCUUAUUACCUGUUAUUGUCUCCACAGUGGUGACUUGGUUUUCUGAAAAUGUUUUUUUAUUGAUACAGGAAGGGCAGCAUCGACUUGGUUAUUUAUCCAGCAAUACUUGCCAUCCCGUGACAAGCAUUCUUCUACAGGAGUAUCUUGAUUUCUCAGUCCAAAACUAAUGCUGGUACAAAACUAAUGUUGGUACUCAGGAGUAUCUUAUUUGCCUAAUUGCACAUUACUCAGAGCCGCCAGUUUUGCCUAAAUGAUUUCUCAGUACGUACCUGUUUCUCAGGUUCAUUAUCCCGAGUUUAGUUCGGUUGCCAUGGUUGUCAUUUGCCUUGGCAUGUUUGUCUGAAAGCAACUUACUAGUACUCCCUUCAUUUUAAAAUAUAAUGCGUCCAUACUUUUUGAGAUUCAACUUUGACCAUAAAUUUAACCAAUAAGAUCAACUGCGGCGGGAGAAAAAUUUAUAUAAUUGAAAACUUCCUUUGAAUACGAAAUCACUGAUAUAAUAUUUGCUCCCGCCGCAAUCGGUCUUAGUAGUUAAAUUUACGGUCAAAGUUGAAGCACGAGGAUAGAGGAAGCACUACAUUAUGGAAUGGAGGGAGUAUCUCAUUUAGUAGUACUCCCUCUGUAAACUAAUACUCCCUCCAUUCCUAAAUAUAAGUCUUUGAAGAGAUUUCACUAUGGACUACAUACGGAGCAAUAUGAAUGAAUCAUACUCUAAAACGCUUUUAUAUACAUCUAUACGUGGUCCAUAGUGAACUCUCUACAAAGACUUAUAUUUAGAAACGAAAAGAGUAUAAGAGAAACACUCUUAUAUUACUUUACAGAGCGAGUACUUCUGAAAGCAACUUAGUGCUCUUUUAUUUAGUACUGUGAUAAAAGAUACAAGGUGUUAAUAACCAAAAGCUGACAGUCUCUGAAGCAAAGGCAGGUAACCAAACAUGCACAAAAUGGAUCGCAAGCAAAGGCAGAUAAACAAGAGAACAUGAUUGAAAGGAUUGCAUCUUUAGCCAUUCCGGACAUAAAUUAGAGAUAAAAUACAGCCCUCAGUGGCCCGUUCAUCAAACCAAUGAAAAAGUCACUACAGACUAGGCAAUUACAUACAUGAUCCAAUCAACCGAACCUCAUCUUUCUCUCCCUGCUAUGGAUCUAAGCAAUGUCAUGAUAGUAGUCUAUGGUGGCUGCUACUCCUUGGCAGCGACCUUCUUCUUGGGGGACUUGGUGGUGGUCUUCUUCUUGGGCGACUUGGCCUCCUUCUCUGCGGUGGCGGGGGACUUCUUGGGGAGAAGCACGGAGUUGAUGUUGGGGAUCACGCCGCCGUGGGCGAUGGUCACGCCGGCGAGCAGCCUGCCGAGUUCCUGGUCGUUGCGGACGGCGAGCAGCAGGUGGCGCGGGAUGAUGCGGGUCUUCUUGUUGUCCUUGGCCGCGUUGCCGGCGAGCUCCAAGACCUGCGAUUCAUAAAGGAAAUCGGUCAGUUAUCAGUCGAGCACGACGAGAACAGAGUAACGAAGGCUCCAGGAGGGGAGAGAUCGGUGCAUACCUCGGCGGCGAGGUACUCGAGGACGGCGGCGAGGUAGACGGGGGCGCCGGAGCCGACGCGCUGCGCGUAGCGGCCCUUCUUGAGGUAGCGCCCGAUGCGGCCGACGGGGAACUGGAGCCCGGCCUUGACGGACCUGGUCACCGCCUUCUUCCUGUCGCCGCCCUUCCUUCCGGCCAUCUUGCUUGCUACUUCUCCGGCGAGCUGGAAACUACUCGAGAUGCGUGGGCGGCGGUGCGGGAUCGGAAUGCGCUCUGCUCUGCGUUUGUGGGUUGGGACGCCAGCGAGGACGCGGCUUUUAUUGGGGAGAUGAAGCUUCGUGGGGACGGCGGCAGGGGGGAGCGAUCCGCGUGACGCAGUGUGCCUGCCGUUGGAUCUGUGGGGAGUGGGCGGUGGGGAUUGGUUUGGGGGUGCGAUCCGCGAGAGGGUCUUAUCGGCCAAUCACAGCGCAGGGAUUUGCAUCACGAAGGGAUUUUGCUUUAAUUAACACCUGGUUUUCCUUUUGUGCAUCAUUUAGGCUUUUUUUUCCAUUUUAUCUUGCAUCUAAUUGGUUUUUCAGAUGUAGUGGUAUUUGCUUAUACAUGUAUGUAUGUUUUGCUAUUACCUAACGUUUCGGUUUGGAUGCAUGUACUAAGGCCCCAAAUUGGAUUUGGUAUUCCCCAAAUUGCAAUCUGGUUGUUUGGGAUGCACACGAAAUAGUUGUCCGAAAUGGAACGAAUACAUGCAUGAAAUCGCUCACACAUGCCCGAGCCCUCCCACAUUUUUGAGCUCUUCGGCUUCGAUUUGGCUGGGAAUCACCCAUCGUGCAAAGGGUAAUGAUUUUUCCCUUCUUUUCCCCAUCGACAACGGCACCCAUAACCUCCCCUCGCCGGCCAUCCUCCUCCUCCUCCGGGACCUGAAUCCCCGACGCCACAGCUCGUUCCCCUCCUCCCAUGCCCCCCGUCUCCUCCUCACGUGGCCUCCACGGCCUGGCCCUAGCCGUCUGUCGCCGCUUCUCCUCCAAUAUUAGAACUACGAAAGGUACAUGAUGUUGAUGAAAGUAAUUAUCCUCACAAUUUGUGCCCACGCAAAUUGGCAACGAUAGAACGGAUCCGACAAAAUAGAAAGAGGAAAAAGAGCUCCAAGAAUAACCUUAAGAAAAUUUCUUGGGUAGAGCGUAAGGAUGGGCCUUACUAUCCCAAGAAUCUCCAUCCUCUCCACUAAGGUAAAAUAAUUCAAUUUCACUAGCUUAUUCUAACAAAGUUGUGUUGGCUGCAGGUUUUUGUGAAGGGUACCGAUGAAGCUAUGUACCUAGGGUAGGGUCAUGGACCUGUCCUAACUGCCCUACCCAAGGACAUCCCUAGAAGAAAUCACCUUUCAAUCGCCUUGGAGGUGUUCCACUCGACAGACUCGAAGACACUCGACCACGAAGCAACCACUCGACCAAGACCCAACCACUCGAUGGCCAGGAGACCUAAAGUCACUCCGCACGCUAACGGUCGGUCAUUGAGUAGGUUUUAUGGUCAUCAUAGCACUUUAUUAGAGGCGUUACCAGUAACGCCCGACCUUAAUGUACUUAAAUCCCUGCAUAACUGAGGGCCGAAGGGGCCUGGCGAACUCUAUAUAAGCCACCCCCUUCCUCAGUGUAAAGGGUUCGCACCCCUGUAAUUCAUACACACAUAAUCCAGUCGACCGCCUCCGGGCUCCGAGACGCAGGGCUAUUACUUCCUCCGAGAAGGGCCUGAACUCGUAAACCUCGCGUGCUUACAACUACUCCAUAGCUAGGAUCUUGCCUCUCCAUUCCUACCCCCCCUACUUUACUGUCAGACUUAGAACCACGACAGUUGGCGCCCACCAUGGGGCAGGUGUCUUAGCGACUUGUUGGAGAAGUUGUGAUUUUUUCCGAUCCCUUUGAUCAUGGUUUCGGGCGGAGUUUUGGUGGAGGGCCGCGAGAUCCGUCUCGGCGCGCUCACGUUCAUCGCUGACGACUCCGCUUGGCUUCAGGAGGCUCCACUCGACGUCGACGCGCUCCCCGUCCGCGGGGCGACGCACUUCCGCGCGUGCGUCCGCGGCGUCCUCCUGCGGCAGCCGUCGACCCAGUAUCGGUCGGCUCCUAUGGCGUCCUCCCUCCCUGUCUCCCGCCGGCGCAAGCGCUCCGGUCGGUCAAGGCUUCAGCGGUGGGUGAGGCAUGCGGUGGCCCGCCAGUCGGCCACCCCUCAAGUCGCGGCGAUCGAGCCCGACGAAUCCCUCUACGGCCUGUUCGACUGGCUCCGCAGAGACUGCAUCCGAGUGCGAUAACAGUGAUCCAGCAGCGGAGGUUCUGAUGGUUGAUGGACCACGCAGUCCUCCUGGCUUUCCCCGCAUAGACGGAAGCGAAGGCAGAGGCGACCCGUCGCAUGCCCAUGAGGAGUAUCUACCAGAGCCUCUCACUUCGCUGCAAAGAGAAGAACUUCGCCGCCGAAACAUGGAUGCGCUGCACACUCCUAUCGUUGGAGAAACCCCCGAGGCCCGUGCCUUGGAGGACGCGCGCCUGGCCAACUUGGCUGAGUGCACUCGACUGGAGAACCUCCAGCGAGCACUCGACGAGCGUGCACGACAACGGGUCCCAGAAUCCAUUCGCCGUCAGCUCUUUCCGCCCCCGUAGGUAUAUCGAACUCCGAUUCAGAAUUUAGCAGUAGCAGCCCAUAUAGCAGAGUCGAUUCAGCCUUCCCAGUCAGAGGCUGGCAGAGGCUUGCUGCAGAUCAGAGUGUUACUCCGGGCAGCAGGAGACCAGAAUUCCGUUGUUUCACAGUCGCGGAACAGGAUCCACAGCAAAUCCGUUGUUGCAGAUACAGUCCAGUCGGCUCACAACCCAAGAUCGCCCCCGAGGCAUGAGGGACGUGGAGACCGGCGUGAUCAGUACAGGAACCGUGAGCAGUAUGAUCACCUAUUCGAUCGUGACGAUCGACGUCGAGUGCCCACCCUCCCCCGAGGAGUGGGUCGUAUGUGCCUCGACAGCAAGAUGACAGGCGCCCUCACAGUGUUGGGCGAAGAAUUCCAGUCGAUCCCAGGGAACCAGGCUUUGAUGCGAGAUCCAUUCUCGUUCAAGGUUUGGUCGACAGGAAUAGAGCUCACCGAGAAGGUCAUGACAGAGAUGCACCUACCAGCAGCAGAGUGCAUGUUUCAGGGCCAGAGUGCUUUAGCAGAGCCAUCAGGGCCGCAGUGAUUUCUCCCAACUUCAGGUUGGCGACUGGAGUUAGUAAGUUCGCCGGAGAGUCCAAGCCUGAUACUUGGCUUGAAGACUACCGAGUGGCUGUUCAGAUUAGCGGCGGCAAUGAUGAAGUGGCCAUGAAGCACUUACCUCUCAUGUUGAAAGGCUCGGCCAGAGCGUGGCUGAAUCAGUUAGCACCCAGCAGCAUUUACACUUGGGAAGAUCUUGCCCGAGUGUUUUUCACAACAUUUGAAGGAACGUGCAAGCGACCAGCAGGGCUAACAGAAUUGCGGUCUUGCGUGCAGAAGUCAAAUGAAACUUUGAGGGAUUACAUCCAGAGAUGGAUCAUGUUGCAUCACACGGUAGAGAAUGUGUCUGAUCACCAAGCAGUCUGUGCCUUCAAGGAAGGCGUCAAGUACAGAGAACUGAAUCUGAAAUUUGGUCGAACCAGAGACAUGUCUUUGACUCGGAUGAUGGAGAUUGCCACCAAGUAUGCUAAUGGUGAAGAUGAGGAUCGACUCCGGAGUGGUAAGCUCAAGUUAGUCGCCCAAGAAACCGGAGGAGGAAAUUCCAGUCGGAAACAGUAGCGGAAAGCCAAGCCAGCUGCUCCUGGGGAAGCCUUGGUUGUAACUCAAAAAAAGUUUAAGGGGAAACCCAAAGGGCCUUGGAACCCCAAGAAAGUUAAAGACCAAGAUGGAAAUGAUGUGUUGGAUUUGUCAUGUCACAUCCACACAAAGAAAGAUGAAGAGGGUAAACUCAUUUACCCGAAACAUACCACUCGACAGUGUCGGCUCUUGAUCCAGCAAUUCCAGGGCAAACAUCCCAAAGAUAAGGAAAAGGAGUCGGACAAAGUUGAGGACAAGGAGGAUAGUGAUGAUGGAUACCCCUAGGUCAAUUCCACCCUGAUGAUUUUUGCUGAUGUUGAAAGCAAAAGUCGACUGAAAGUUAUCAACCGUGAGGUGAAUAUGGUUGCUCCGGCGACACCCAGUUAUUUGAAGUGGUCUCAGACUGCCAUCACAUUCGACCAGUCCGAUCACCCAACGCACAUUGCCACCCCUGGGAGGCAAGCUUUGGUGGUCGACCCAGUUGUCGAAGGCACUCGACUGAUGAAAGUCUUUAUGGAUGGUGGCAGUGGUUUGAACAUACUGUAUGCAGAGACGUUGAAAGGGAUGGGCAUUCCGAUGUCCAGACUCAGUACUAGCAACAUGAGUUUCCAUGGAGUCAUUCCUGGGAAGAAGGCUGAGUCACUCGGCCAAAUUGCUCUUGAUGUGUUUUCCGGUGAUUCCAAGAAUUACCGCAAAGAAAAGUUGACGUUCGAAGUUGUAGAUUUCCAGAGUGCUUACCACGCUAUUUUGGGCAGGCCAGCUUAUGCAUGUUUCAUGGCUCGACCAUGUUAUGUGUACCUCAAAUUAAAGAUGCUUGGUCCCAAAGGUGUGAUCACUGUUACGGGCAAUCGGAAGAAGGCAGAAGAGUGUUUUCAGAAAGGCUCAAAGAUCGUUGAUGCUCAGAUGGCAGUGGUAGAGCUGCAGGAGUACCAGAAGACUGCAGACCCGAGUGAUUUGUUGCGAGCUAAGAAGCCUGCUACGGAAUCAACGUUUCAGUCGGUGAGACAAAGCCGAUUCACAUUCACCCGACCGAUCCCAACGCUGCUCCGACCCAUAUCUCAACAACACUCGACUCCAAAUAGGAAGAAGCGCUCAUCCAGUUCCUCCGUGAGAACUGGGACAUCUUCACAUGGAAGCCUUCUGACAUGCCAGGUGUUCCCAGGGGGCUGGCUGAGCACCGCCUAUGAGUCGACCCAAAAAUUAAACCUGUCACAGAGCAUCUUCGACGGUCCGCCGUCCAGAAGAGAAAGGCCAUUGGCGAAGAGGUGGCUCGGCUCUUAGCAGCAGAGUUUAUCCGAUAGAUUUACCACUCCGAGUGGCUCGCCAAUGUUGUCAUGGUCCCCAAAAAGGACAAGUCACUUCGCAUGUGCAUUGACUUUAAACAUAUCAAUCGGGCCUGCCCGAAAGAUCAUUUUCCUCUCCCCCGCAUCGACCAGAUAGUCGACUUGACCGCGGGAUGUGAGCGCCUGUCUUUUUUAGACGCUUAUUCCGGGUACCAUCAGAUCCAUCUGUAUGGACCCGACGAGAUCAAAAUAGCUUUCAUCACUCCAUUCGAAUGCUUCUGUUAUGUUACCAUGCCAUUCGGCCUCAAGAAUGCCGGAGCCACGUUCAUGAGGAUGAUUCAGAAGUGUUUGCUCACUCAAAUCAGUUGGAAUGUGGAAGCAUACAUGGAUGAUAUUGUGGUCAAGUCACGGAAGAGUUCCGACCUGCUGACUGACCUUGCUGAAACCUUUGCCAACCUCGGGAGGUAUGAUAUCAAGCUUAAUCCAUCAAAGUGCACAUUCAGAGUUCCUGGCGGAAAGUUACUCGGUUUUCUCGUUUCCAAACGGGGAAUCAACGCCAAUCCAGAAAAAGUUGGUACUAUAUUCCGAAUGAAACGUCCUGUGCGUGUGCACGAUGUCCAGAAGCUUACUGGUUGCUUGGCCGCUUUAAGUCGAUUCAUCUCUCGUCUCGGUGGAAAGGCAUUGCCUCUUUACCAACUGAUGAAGAAGUCAGACAAGUUCGAGAGGACUCCUGAAGCUGAUGCAGCGUUUGCAGAGCUCAAAGCUCUGCUCUCCACCCAGCCGGUGCUUGCUACCCCAAUCAGCAAAGAGCCUUUGCUACUUUACAUUGCAGCCACGGGACAAGUCGUCAGUACAGUACUUACGGGCGAGCGGGAAGAAGAAGGAAAGGCCUUCAAAGUUCAGCGCCCAGUAUAUUAUGUUUCUGAAGUUUUGACCCCGUCAAAGCAAAGAUACCCUCAUUAUCAGAAGCUUGUAUAUGGGAUUUAUAUGACCACAAAGAAGGUUGCUCACUACUUCUCUGAUCAUUCCAUUACAGUCGUCAGCGAUGCUCCAUUGUCAGAGAUUCUGCACAACAGAGAUGCAACUGGUCGAGUGGCAAAAUGGGCGAUUGAACUCCUUCCCCUAGAUAUCAAGUUUGAGGCAAAGAAAGCUAUCAAGUCCCAAGCAAUAGCAUAUUUUGUCGCCGAGUGGAUUGAACAACAACUGCCGACUCAAGUUCACUCGGAGCAGUGGACCAUGUUCUUCGACGGUUCCAAGAUGCUGAAUGGUUCCGGUGCUGGGGUAGUAUUGGUUUCCCCCCGAGGAGAUAAGCUUAGAUAUGUUCUCCAAACCCGCCUUGCAAUGCCGAAGACAAUCUGCGCGCCAGGCUUCAAUGACGACGAGUCCGACGCGCAGAUUGUCUUCGGCAUUGCAAGGCGGGUUCCUCCUCCAAGUACUUCAUAGAAGAUUUUGAACACCAGGAUAGUGUCCGGCUCUGCAAAAUAAGUUUCCACAUACUGCCAUAGAGAGAAUAAUAUUUACACAAAUCUAAUCUGCUGACGUAUUCCGCAGCGUGACAUCACACCACGGCCAAGCCUUUAUUCGAAUCGUUUUUAUUGUCCCACCUCAGCGCGUUUAGCGAGGCAGUUUCCUUGGCACGUCCUGUUGACGCAGAGAUCGUGUUCCCUUUAUUUACGGGAUUCUCAUCAAUACGGAUGUGGGUGACCCAAUCGUGCCCGUUGGCAUGUUUUCUCGAUUAAAGGCGAGUCCCAAACGGUUACGGGGAGGGCCCUUGGUAUUCAACCUCUUAUAAAGAGACUAAGGCCUUACUCCUUUCUUUCAAUCUCAAACGAUUUCGCCCUUCGCCUCGAGUUCCAACACCCAAGGCUCCAGAUUUCGGGCGCUUCGAAUCUUCGACAAUGUCCGGUUCCGACCUUCGAGGCCGAUGGGUGCCCUCUUCCAUCACGGAGGAGGCCGUGCUAAAGCUGAGAGAGGCCAGGUUCUUGACCGGCGAAAUCUUGCAUAGGUUGCCUGCUCAAGGGUAGGUCAUUCCCACUCCCAAGCCUAGUGAGAGCGUGGUGUUCAUAUCUCACUUCCUUCGGGGGCUAGGCUGCCCGAUGGAUCCCUUCGUGAGGGGGCUCAUGUUUUAUUAUGGGCUGGAAUUUCACGACUUAGCUCCGGAGUCCAUCCUCCACAUUUCCUCUUUCAUCGUUGUGUGUGAAGCCUUCCUCCAUGUUACUCCUCACUUCGGACUAUGGCUCAAGACCUUCAAAGUAGUGCCGAAGACGAUCGAGGGGCGGCACGCAGAGUGCGGAUGCGCUGUUAUAAGCAAGAAUGCUGAUGCUCCAUGGCCUGAGGGCUCUUUUCAAGAGGAGUCCAGCUUAUGGCAACGAGAGUGGUUCUAUAUCACCGCUCCCAGGGGCACCAAGUGGGUGGCGCCUCCUGCCUUUCGCUCGGGUCCCCCACCACAACUAGCGUCAUGGGUCAAUAAAGGAUUAGACUGGGGGUCAUCCAAGGACGUGCCCUUGUUGCAGGGCCGCAUCAGGGAUCUCUUAGAAAGAGACCUCAGCCUGGUCAAGGUGACACAGGUCAUGCUGAUCCGCCGAACCCUGACCGGCAAACGUCGCUCCCUUCGCCUAUGGGAGUUUAAUCCGGAGGGACCGCGAGCUCUCCAGCAUUUCAUGGGCGCAACGCUCGUGGAGAUGUAUAAAUUGUUCUUCGGAUCACAAGCAACGUGUCCGGACUUGACCGAGGACGCAGGUCUGAGCUGCAAUCGCCCGGAUACUCAAGUAAGUAGCCUUGUGCCCGGACUCGCUUAUCCGUAUAUUUGUCAUAAAACUUGCCCCUAAAGAGCUGUUCUUUAAGCAGGAGUGGAUAGCGAAAGCAAAGCUUAUCAGGUGUCCGGCUCCCCUCCCCGAGACCACGCAGGAUCCCGUGCUGGUCAGAAUGUUGAAGAUUGUGCCUUUGGAGGAAAGCAAGGGAGGGGACUAGGAAACUACGGCCUCCUCGAAGGAGGCUGUUCGGAGGGAAGGAAUCGAAAAUUCCUCUCCUUAGGUGAAGAAGAGGACCGCCUCUGAAGACCCGGAGACCAUGGCCUCAAAAUGGGGGAAGAAACCCUCGUCAGAGGGUCCUGCGCCGGGGGAUACCCCGGCCGAAUUAUGCCCUCAAGGGGGUCAGCCAUCCAUCGAGCCGUAAGUAUAGAGAGGUUUUUCUUUGAGAAGAAUCCUUGUUUUAUAUCUGAGAAGAGUAACCGAAAAUUUACCUUGUAGUUCGGACCUCAGCCCUUCUUGGCAGAGCUCGUCUUCGGGGGAUCUUCUUUCGGAGAUGAUGGAAAGCGGAACGCCUCCCCCUGCCGUACCGCCUAGCGAGGCGGGCGACCCCGAGGUAUCAUCGCGGAGGGUUUCUCCAAAUCCAGCAGGGGCGGAAGGUAGCCAUAUGGCCCCCCAAGGCUCUCCGCGUCCGGCCUUCGAAACAGGCCAUAGGACGAGUCCGGCACCGUUCGGUGCGCGGUCGGAGGAGCUGAAGAAUCUGCUAGGGCGAGCAUCUAUCUCGGAGGAGCACCGUGCAUUGAUGGGCACGGUGAUUGAAAGGAUUUCAUCCGCGGAAAGCGGAUUGCACGAGGCCGUUAGAAGUUUACCGACGGGUUUUGAGGUAUGCGGAAUAACACACCCUUUUUGACAGUUGUGCAUAAAUAAUAUGCGCCCUGUGUAGAUAGUAGCCCCUGAGACUCUGUGCGUUGUCAAAAAGUGACGGCGCAUAGAGGAUCAUAAUCCCAGGUCUAAAAUGCCGCCUUUGUAUGUAGGUGGCGAAGUGUCCGGCAUCCAGCCGGACUGAUGAAUUUGCCGAGCUAAAGCAGCAACUUGACGUGGCAGAUGCCGACAUCGUGCUUGUUAACAAGCGGCUGGACGAGACACAAGGUAUGUAAUCCCUCCGGUGGCACCUGGUAAGAGGAGCUUUUUAUGCCAUUUUCUUACUAUGUGUAUGCUUGAUGCAGAUGGUGCGACUGCCAUGGAGAAUCUUCGGGCGGAACUUGCCCGAGCCAAGGAGCAAGCCAGAAAAAGUGAUGCGGCUACCGGAAAGUCAAUUGAAGAGCUGAAAGCCAAACAGGUUGCUCACUGCCGAAGCAAGAAGGAAAUGGCCGAGAUGGCCGUGAAGCUGAAGAGCGCUGCUGACCGUUGCAAGCUUCUUGAAAAAGAAGACCGAGCGGGACAGACGGACUUAGAGAAGGCCAUUGCCGAUGCCAAGGAUGCUCGCUCUGCGAUGAGAGCGGCGAAGAAGGAGCUGCGUCAGGCCGGAGAAAUCGCGGCUGGAAAGCCCUUUAUGCUGCGGAGGAAGUUUUGUGAUCCUAAGCAUGCUCUGCUAGAGCGGUUAUGGAGUACGGCGGACACCUAUCUGGAUUUGGCAGCGAGUGCUGCUGAUGCGACCGAGCACUUUCGAGAUCAAGAAGAUCGCGAAGUGGAAAAGCUCUUCUGGUCGCAGUUCCGCAAUCCAGAGCAUCCACUGUCGGUGGCCGAUCGUCUGGCCGAAUGGGCCGAACUGAAUAGGUUGUCCGGACUCGCCAUGAAGUGCGUCAUGAGUCAUCUGUGACUGGAGAGAUCGGAGCCGAAAAGUUAUUUCAGCUUGGUGCAGCAGUUCCUUGGUGCGGUGCCGCGUAUUAAUGCAGUGAAGAGGUCAGCAUGCAUAGAGGGUGCACGGAUGGCUCUUGCCCGUUUCAAGACAUACUGGGCGGAGAUGGAAACCACCGCUGUUGCAUCCCGAGAUUCGGACGGAAGCCGAGUACCUGCCGAGCACUAUUUUCCAGAAGUUCUGCAAGGCGCUCAUGUAAUAGAGACGCAGUGCUCUAAGGAUGCUAUAUUCGAAUAGCAUGUGUUAUUGUAAAACAAUAUUUUGAUAAAUUGUAGAAGCUUUUUAUACUUGUGCCCUCAAGUAUUGUAACACCUCCUGUGCGGCCGUUUAAGAUAUAUAUAUAUAUAUAUAUAUAUAUAUAUAUAUAUAUAUAUAUAUAAUCUGAAAGAUGACAGUCGUUGGCUUCAGCCCCCACGCAAAUAAUGCGGGGGUGUUCGCAGAAGGCGUAUUUUCACACUUGAUCCAACGUCUUGGUCCUACAAAGGAGGUGAUAGCACAUCGAACUAGGCAAUCGGACUAUAAUGCUUUAUCACUUUCACUUAGCCAUAGGAGCUUGACAGUGAGGCUACUUAGAUAGCCCCUGGUGGCGACCGCGCUCGCCCGAAUUCGGGGCGCGUAUGUGCCUGGUCGGGAAAUGGCCCUUCGUUAAUAUGGAGGAAUCCUAUAGAUUCCGGUAAGUCAUUGAGUGGUUGACCAGUCUCACGCUAUAUCAUGACAGUCAUUUUUCGGCUUUCUCUACUAAGGUGCUCGCCUGGACGAACCGGGGCACAAUCGCAGUAGUUCUCCUGGUGCCAUCUUAGCCGAUAGAGCGGAACGUAAGGCAGCAAAACACAGGAGCCGGGCAACCCAACAUUUGACCAAAGACAUGAUUCGGAGCUGAUGCAUAUAAGGCCAAACUCGCGACGCCGAACACUCCCUAAGGUAUUCGGUCUUUAUGAGGGCGGGCAAGACAACGCCUUUAGUUAUAAGCCCCUAGUGUCCAGGUACGCGCAAAAAUUCUGACGUGGCCACAUGCCAAGACGCCAGCCUCCUCCUUGGUUAUACAAAAGAAAAAACCAGGGGAUGUGUAUCAACAAGAGACAGUAAAAAAGGUUUACGCAGGGUCUUAAUCUGAAAAGAAUCCUUGGAACGGGUCCUUGCUGCACGUCUGCGCCUGUGUCUCCAUUGUGCCUUAUCCUAGACGGGCGCAACACGGUGUUCAUCUGUAAAAGAGAGGAACUUAGUUGAAAAAAGGAGCGUGCCGAACUGAAAUAAACAAAGUAUAAAUUGAAAUGGGUAAAAUUGAGCUUGAUUUUCUCUUAUUUUAUAUGCGCUGAGCCCCUAGUGCAGGGGUAUACGGCUAUUAAGCCUUUAUUAGUUAUAUGUUUAUACCGGACUCGUCUAGACGUGUCCGUGGUCUUAACGACCUGUUUAGAUGUUUUCGCUGGUGAAGCCGUUUUAUUGUGGGGCUAUUAAGGCAGCCGCACAAUGGGGGGGGGGGCGCACUCAAUGUUUUCCCUUUAAUGAGAUGAUGCCUUGUGGACCGGGCAUCUUGAGCGUAAGAGACGCAUAAUGCGGUAUUGCGUUAAAGCGGGCGAAAGCUUCGCGUCCCAGUAGUGCUUGAUAGCUACUUGAAAAAUGGGGCGAUAUGGAAGGUUAGCCUUUCACGACGGAAGUUGUCGGGGGUGCCGAACAUAACUUCUAGCCGGAGAGAGCCCGUGCAAUGGGCAACCGGGCCUGGCGUUACUCCUUGAAAGGAAGUGUUGCCAUGGCGGACUUUUGUUGGGUCUAUCCCCAUGCGGCGGAUUGUGUCCUGAUAUAACAGGUUUAGACUAUUGCCGCCGUCCAUCAGGACAUUUGUAAAGUGGAGUCCGCCAAUUAUUGGAUCUAAUACCAAGGCAGUCCAGCCUGCGUUCCUGAUACUUCUAGAGUAAUCUAGAUGAUCGAAGGUGAUUGGUUUUAACAACUAGUGGCGAGACUCCUUUGGGAUAGGCCGUACGGCGCGUACCUCUAUGGGCGCCGCUCGUUUUGUUAUGUGAAGUAAGUUUACUGUUUUUACUUCUUAUGGGAAAUUCUUUUGUUUCCUGGUGCUCUGCUUUUGGGGUUCGUCAUCGUCUUCGCUUGGUGUGUCGAGCCCCUUGUGUUCGGCGUUGAGUUUGCCGGAUUGCUUGAAAACCCAACAAUCUCUGUGGGUAUGGUUUGCAGGCUUCCCGGGAGUACUGUGUAUUUGACAUAUCUUGUCCAAGAUUUUGUUUAAAUUGGAUAGCUCGUCCCUGUUAUCCUUGAGGGGCUUAGCUGCAGUCCAGUACUCGCCUAAGUGUUUGAAAAUCCUACCGAGUGGUGAACCAGCCUCCCACUCGGGGGCUUAGUUGCAGUCCAGUACUCGCCUAAGUGUUUGAAAAUCCUACCGAGUGGUGAACCAGCCUCCCACUCGGGGGCUUAGCUGCAGUCCCAGUACUCGCCUAAGUUUAAAAAAUCCUACCGAGUGGUGACCCAGCCUCCCACUCGGGGGCUUAGCUGCAGUCCAGUACUCGCCUAAAUGUUUNNNNNNNNNNNNNNNNNNNNNNNNNNNNNNNNNNNNNNNNNNNNNNNNNNNNNNNNNNNNNNNNNNNNNNNNNNNNNNNNNNNNNNNNNNNNNNNNNNNNNNNNNNNNNNNNNNNNNNNNNNNNNNNNNNNNNNNNNNNNNNNNNNNNNNNNNNNNNNNNNNNNNNNNNNNNNNNNNNNNNNNNNNNNNNNNNNNNNNNNNNNNNNNNNNNNNNNNNNNNNNNNNNNNNNNNNNNNNNNNNNNNNNNNNNNNNNNNNNNNNNNNNNNNNNNNNNNNNNNNNNNNNNNNNNNNNNNNNNNNNNNNNNNNNNNNNNNNNNNNNNNNNNNNNNNNNNNNNNNNNNNNNNNNNNNNNNNNNNNNNNNNNNNNNNNNNNNNNNNNNNNNNNNNNNNNNNNNNNNNNNNNNNNNNNNNNNNNNNNNNNNNNNNNNNNNNNNNNNNNNNNNNNNNNNNNNNNNNNNNNNNNNNNNNNNNNNNNNNNNNNNNNNNNNNNNNNNNNNNNNNNNNNNNNNNNNNNNNNNNNNNNNNNNNNNNNNNNNNNNNNNNNNNNNNNNNNNNNNNNNNNNNNNNNNNNNNNNNNNNNNNNNNNNNNNNNNNNNNNNNNNNNNNNNNNNNNNNNNNNNNNNNNNNNNNNNNNNNNNNNNNNNNNNNNNNNNNNNNNNNNNNNNNNNNNNNNNNNNNNNNNNNNNNNNNNNNNNNNNNNNNNNNNNNNNNNNNNNNNNNNNNNNNNNNNNNNNNNNNNNNNNNNNNNNNNNNNNNNNNNNNNNNNNNNNNNNNNNNNNNNNNNNNNNNNNNNNNNNNNNNNNNNNNNNNNNNNNNNNNNNNNNNNNNNNNNNNNNNNNNAAAAAAUCCUACCGAGUGGUGAGCAAUCCUCCCACUCGGGGGCUUAGCUGCAGUCCCAGUACUCGCCUAAGUUUAAAAAAUCCUACCGAGUGGUGAGCAAUCCUUCGACUCGGAGGCUUAGCUGCAGUCCCAGUACUCGCCUAAGUUUAAAAAUCCUACCGAGUGGUGAGCAAUCCUCCCACUCGGGGGCUUAGCUGCAGUCCCAGUACACACCUAAGUUUAAAAAUCUUACCGAGUGGUGAGCGAGCCUCCCACUCGAGAGACUUAGCUGCAGUCCAGUACUCGCCUAAGCUUUCUCCACCUCAGAGCUGCAUUCCAAGCACAAGGAGUAUUCCAAGUAAAAACAAGUUCCAGUCGAAAGGAAACACCAGCAUACUCAGAAACAAACCAAGUUCGGAUAAAUCCCAAGGUUCCAAACGGCAGAUCAAAAGUAUUCGAGCAUCAAGCCCGAAGAAGUUUAACGGUUACACCAUCACUCGGCAUUCCGAGGCAAAUUUAAAGCGAAGCAUAGAAGUUUUACUCCUCAGGUGGAGGACUAGAGGGCGCGACAAACUGGUCCAGGUCAAUCCCGUCAGCAAUUCGAGUGGCAGCAGCAAUGAAGGUCUCCAUGAAAGACUGAAAGUUGUGCUUCCUGGUAUUGGCAACUUGGAGAUCCGCCAGCUUUUCCUCUCGCGCCUCCUUGCAGUGAACACGGACCAAGGGCAGAGCGACGUUAGCGCCACACCUAGCAGAAGACUUCUUCCAUUCCUGCACUUGACCUGGAACUUCAUUCAGUCGAGUCAUCAGAGACUCAAGGUCAUUUUGAAGCGUCGUUCCAGGCCAGAGCAUCAUGUCGAUCCGUGACGCCGCAACCUUCAGUCGAGCAAGGUAGUCCACCACUCCAGCAAUACGAGACUCCAGUCGGAGCACGUUCAUAGCAGCCUCAUCCUUCACCGGAGAAUGAAUGGGGUCCAAGUUCGUCUCCACUCGACUGGUCUCCUCCUCGAAGUUCUGGCAGAAUUCUGUAAACACAAUUCAAAGAUAAGUCAGUGGCUCUACAAUGGAUUGAUGACAACAAGUCAGUCGGGUAGGAGUGAUUACCCUCAAGCAUGACAAAUAACUUCUUGGCGAGCUCACCCAAAUAAGCCUCCAGAUCGUUCUUCUUCCCCGCCAGUUCACUUGCCUUGUCAUUCAGAGCUAUCUUGUCAUUCUUCAGACGGCUGGCCUCUUUGUUGGCGGCGUCGAGAGCAGUUUUUAGUUUGGAGUUCUCCUCUUCGAGAUUACCGACUGAAGCCAGCUUUUCUUCCGCAAACCUCGUUUUGUCCAAAGCCGCCUUCUGCGCCUCGGCAAGGUCAUGGUCCUUCUUCUUGAGAGCCUCCUCCAUUUUAUCUGCAAAACAAUCAACGGGAUCAACAUCAGAAAUGGGCAGAAAAGAAAGACAGUCGUCAAGUUCUCACCAGCCAUACCUUGCGCUUCAUCCCUCGCCUUCUGCAAGUUCUCCUGGGCAAGCUUCAAGUCGAGGUUGAGCUGGAUCUGUUUGUUUUCCAAUUCAGUAUAGCGAGCCACAAGCUUGCAGGAUUUUUGCAAAGAGUCAGUCGACAGACGUCAAAGAUAGGUUGCUUCCGAAGGACUAAGAGAAAAAUCGUAACAUUUCGAAGACUACCGUCGAAUCAAAAAUAUCCGACAGUAGUCUCCGGGACUACACCUAGUGGGUGCACUCAGCGUGCCCCCACUGGUUUGACCGACUCGGCUCGACCAGUCGACAGAAAGAGACUAAGAGGUUAUGAUCUCAUCAUGAUCUGCAAAAAAAGAGGGAGGUUCUUCAGACCUUAGUCGACUGCCAGCAAUCGACCAUGGUCUCGGGGACUACACCCAGUGGGUGCACUCAGCGUGCCCCCACUGGUUCCAAGAUCCCAUUCGAAAUGGCCUGACCAGACCGAGUGAAGAAAUUCGAGUAAAGCAGCACAAUAUAAAGACUACAGUCGACUGCCAGCAGUCCACCGUAGUCUCGGGGACUACACCCAGUGGGUGCACUCAGCGUGCCCCCACUAGUCCAAAAAAUUCAAUCGACACACCCAGUGGGUGUACAGAUGCAAAGAUCUUCGGAAAAGAGAGUCUUUAGAUAACACAUCCCAACAGAACAAGCGAUGGUCAACUAACCUGGACAUUGCUUUGAAGAGCUGAACUGGCAUCAUAGGCCGCUUGGCUGGCUUCUCGGACCACCUUCACCUGCUCCAUCAUGAUCCCCGCCUGGCGUAUAGCCUCUUUAGCAGCACCCACUUGGUCCUCUGGGAUGUGGUGUGUGGCAAAAAGGGAGGGCGGAUCAGCAGUCGACGAUGAAGGCCGAACACUCGUCAGCGGCACAACGAAGGACACAGAAGUCCGAGUGGUGUUACCACCCUCCUGAACUACUGUCUCAGGCGCUGACGCAGUUUGUGGUGUCUUGCCAGUUGACUCCUUCCUAUUCUUCCUCGCCCUCAGCGGCACUUCGUCAUCAUCAUCAGGAAGAUCAAUGACAUGAGGAGGAGCUAUAAGAAAAAUCCAAAGUUAAAGACGAAAAUCCAAUCGACCAGAGGAGACCGUCAAUCGACUAAGAGUGAAACAUCAAAAACUAUACCAAGGUUGGAGGUAACAGCGUCUUCCAUUUCCUGGUCGUCGUUCUUGGCGGAGAUCUCGGAGGUAGCAGCACUGCAGAUUUCAGAAACCAGUCGGUUUAGUCAAUGAGUCGACCAAGAGUUCGUCCAUGUUCAACAAAAAAAGCAAGUUCUGCUGUUACCCGGAAAUGGUGGGAACGGUCAUCUUCAUCUUGGGCAAGGCCUUCAGUGGCUUUGACGACGCCGCUCGUGGAUGCUUUGGCGCUUUUUCAGUCGGCGCUGGGGAAGACGUCCGAGGGCGUUUUGACGACUGCCCAACAGGCACGGUCGCCCUGCCUCGUUCGCGCGCAGGGUCGUGGGUGAGCUUGGAUCGCCUUUCCGUGCGGGGAGGAUCGACUUCUUCCUCCUCCUACUCUCCACUGGAGUCGUCGUCAUCAUCCUCCUCCCCUUCACCGUCAGAUUGCCACUCUUCUCCAGUUUCGCCUCCGCUCGCUUCCCCCUCCUCGACCUGCUCUUGCGCCCCGUUGGGCAUCGAGUACAUAUCAGUAAUGGUCUGGAAGACAACAAACAAGACAAAAGUCAGUCGACUAUUUUUAAGCAAACAAAAUGAAGAAAGCAAGGUCACAGUCAAAGAUGCAGAAUCGGACCUGGUCUACUUCGUACGUCUGGUCGAGGGGAGGAAUCCUCCUGGCUCCUCGGGGGUUGUCCUUGUUCCCUGUGAUACUUGACAGCCACCCUUCCAACGUCGCAUCGUCGACCUCCUUUGGAUGAAUCCGAGUGGUGUCAUCGAGACCCGAAUACAUCCACAUCGGAUGGUCACGAGCUUGGAGUGGCUGGAUGCGCCUCCGAAGGAAGACCUCUAAUAAAUCCAUGCCAGUCACCCUGUCGCGGACAAGCUGAACCACUCGACCGACCAACACUUUGACUUGCGCCUUUUCUUCUGGUGUCACUCUCAGAGAGGAAGGUUUUUCUGCUUGGUUCAGGGAGAAAGGGGGAAGGCCCGUCGCCUGUCCUGGAGUCGCCCGGUCUUUGCAGUAGAACCAGGUCGACUGCCACCCGCGGACUGACUCGGGAAGAGUCAUAGCUGGAAAAGAACUUUUGCUUCUCAUUUGGAUCACAAGGCCCCCGCACAUCUGAAUCACUUGCGUCCUCUCAUCACUCGACUUGGCUUUCUUAACCGACUGAGAACGACAAGUGAAAAUGUGCUUGAGGAGGCCCCAAUGGGGACGGCAACCCAAGAAAUUCUCGCACAAAGAUACAAAGGCAGCAAGAUACACGAUGGAAUUUGGAGUAAAGUGAUGGAGCUGCACUCCGAAAAAGUUCAAGAAACUCCGGAAGAAAGAAUGAGGAGGCAGAGAAAAUCCGCGGUCGAUGUGAGUGGUGAAGAGGACGCACUCACCCUCGCGAGGCUGAGGUUCGAUCUCGUUCCCCGGGAGACGCGCAGAUUCAUGGGGAAUGAAUCCCCCGUCGAUCAGAUCAUCGAUGUCAUCUUGCCGAAUCGCCGAGGGCAUCCAAUCGCCCUAGAUCCAGUCCUUCGGCAGAGCGAACCUCGAAGAAGAUCCGCCCCGACCGGACUUCCUGGCCUUCGCCCGCUUCGUCGCUUUCUUCGCACGCUCCAGGGCCGUCGUCUUCUCCUUCACCAUCGCCGCGGAUGAAGCUCGAACAGGCCGUCAACGCUGAGACGAGAGCAGAGGUGGCGGAAGAAUUCGAGAAGGAAGGGGAAAUGUGAAGGCGCACUGUUCAAAAGCCCUGGCCCGGCAGCUUAUAUGGGGUCGCUUCCGAGUGACUGACCUGUAGGCCCAGGCGAUCCUGUUAAAUCCCGCAAUAGUCACGCACGCGAUACAUGGCGAAAAAGGUGGCGUGGAGAUCGAGGAGGCUCCAUUCUAUCCCAUCCGAUUACUGCGGCCUCCUUCGUCCCCGCGCUUCCCGAAAUUCGAAUCCCGCGAAAUCCGCGGGCAGCAGAACAACUCGUCAGAUGGAGGAUCCCCUCCACACAACCACUCGGGAAUCUACAAGUAAAGGAAUUCACUCGAUUAAAGAAAACUAAGAAUGGAUCAAGGUGACUGAAAAAGAAGUUGGUGACGUCACCCAGGUUCAUUGAUCCGAAACAAGGUGUACUCAUGGCACGAAGAAUGGGUCGGAAGAAUUCUCAACUCCUUCCCCACUCAAACCUCGAUCCAUUCAGGGGCUAAUGAUGAAGCUAUGUACCUAGGGUAGGGUCAUGGACCUAUCCUAACUGCCCUACCCAAGGACAUCCCUAGAAGAAAUCACCUUUCAAUCGACUUGGAGGUGUUCCACUCGACAGACUCGAAGACACUCGACCACGAAGCAACCACUCGACCAAGACCCAACCACUCGACGGCCAGGAGACCUAAAGUCACUCCGCACGCUAACGGUCGGUCAUUGAGUAGCUUUUAUGGUCAUCAUAGCACUUUAUUAGAGGCGUUACCAGUAACGCCCGACCUUAAUGUACUUAAAUCCCUGCAUAACUGAGGGCCGGAGGGGCCUGGCGAACUCUAUAUAAGCCACCCCCCUCCUCAGUGUAAAGGGUUCGCACCCCUGUAAUUCAUACACACAUAAUCCAGUCGACCGCCUCUGGGCUCCGAGACGUAGGGCUAUUACUUCCUCUGAGAAGGGCCUGAACUCGUAAACCUCGCGUGCUUACAACUACUCCAUAGCUAGGAUCUUGCCUCUCCAUUCCUACCCCCUACUUUACUGUCAGACUUAGAACCACGACAGGUACGACUGCUGGUACAAGCGUGACUACUCGUACCACACCCUAUCGUGCCUCUAUUAAAUUUUUACCAAUGCCAAGAGACUCGGUAGUGCUCGUACCAUGGGCCAAAUUCUUCUUUGAAUGGAGGCAAUGUCUUUGACGACAUGGUAAAACCUAUGUUACAAGCACGAGCACUCAUACCAUAGGCUGUCUUCCCCUUUGACCCCAAAACCUUAAAAGCAUUUUCUUUUUCCCAUGUGUUGGCACCCUAGUUAGACCAUCGGUACGAGCCUGGCCGCUCCGACUAGAGGUCGUCUUUCUCUCUAGAAAAUAAGAUAGUUUUUGCCAAAACCCAGUAUGUACACGUGUGCGAGCACCAGCGCUUGACCCACCCUGUCUUUUUCUCUGGUUCCGUGAUAACUUGCAAAUUCUCUAGAAAUUUGCUUGUUUGUUUCCUAAUCUUAUUUUCUUAUCCUUAUCUCAUGAAACUGUGUGGUUAUGCCCUAAGGGGACCACCGGCGGAUUGUUGACCCAAAUUGUCAUUUCUGGUACCGACCAUAUUCUCUUUAGGCGGUUAUGCCCUAAUAGAAGUCAUACGUCUGGUACUAAUUGGAAGGAUCGAUGCGAUCGACUAGAGGGGGCGAACUACAAGUUUUAGGCUUAUCUUCUAAUUUUAGGGAAUUCUGGAUAAUGUAGGUUCUCUAUUUGUGCAACUAUGUGAACACAACCUGUAUGGAAAAUAAGCUCAAAGCAAAGUACGAUAGGCAACAAUCUAAUUAGCAAGCCAACAAGCAAGCAAGUGAAGGGAGAGAAAUGAUUAACCACCAAUUAGCCGACGAUGCGUAUAUUAUCUCAAAGUUCACACACUUCUGGGAGUGCUAAUCUCCAUUGGAGCAGUGCCAAAACCCAAGUCUGGAAAGCCACCAUGUGGAUCACUAUAUACUACCUUUGAGUCACCCCAAGGGAUAAGCCUCGAAUCACUCGGGGUUUGUCUCGAUGGCAACCACCACACCUUUACAAACUUCUCUAUGGCACACCAGAUGCAUGGAAACUUCUGGAGGAACCUAUACCACCUAGAUUAGUGAUGGCCCGUGCUUCCCUACACACCUUCACUCCCUUAAGCUUAUGUUCUUCCUUGGCUUUAUUCAGCAAAGCAGUCAAUCCUUCAGUAUGUAACAUAAACAAAUAAGGUGACAAUUGAUCACCUUGUCUCAAGCCUCUGGUUUGUUUAAAAGUUUCUGUUUCUUUUGAGUUAAAACGUACAUGGUAUUCCACUGUACUAAUACAUUGCAUAACCAGUUUAACCCACUCUUCAGGAAAUUCCUAUUUCAGUAGAAUACCUUCCAAAUACAGCCAUUCAACUCGGUCAUAUGCCUUAUACAUGCCCAGCUUCACUACACACCAACCAUUAUGGCCAUCUCUCAUCUCCUUUAUCACAUGAAAACUUUCAUAGAUAGUCAAUCACACUCAAUUAGCUAGAGUAUAGAAGCCCUAAGGCUCCCGCUCCUAACCCUACCCUCACUCCCGCUCCAGUGUCGUGCCGCAUCGGAGCGCCCCUUCCUCCGGUCCUCUCCAACACCAUCUCCCCUACCGCCACCGCCGGGGGCUCGCGGGCAAAGCUCGUGUGCCGCAGCGGUGGGGGCGAUGCUUGUCCUCGGCAAUAUCUGGUCAGAGGCAACGGUUGAUUGCUUGUAUCUGCGUUGGUAAUUCCCCGAAGAGGAGAGAAUGAUGCAGUACAACAAAGGUAAGUAUUUCCCUCAGUUAUGAAACCAAGGUUAUUAAUCCAAUAGGAGAACCAAGCAACACUAUGUAAACAACACCUGCACACAAACAACAAAAACUUGCAACCCAACGCGUAGAGGGGUUGUCAAUCCAUCCUCGGUAUUGAGAUAGAUAAAAUUGUAUGAGAUUUGAUAAAUAUAUCUAACUAAAACACACACAGAAAAGUGCAACACGGUAUUUUUAGAUUUAAUAUGAUAGGAAAUAGAUCCGGGGUUUGUAAAUUUCACUAGAGGCUUUUCUCAAGAAAAUAGCAUACGGUGGGUAAACAAAUUACAGUUGGGCACUUGAUAGAAAAGCGAAUAAUCACGACGAUAUCCAAGGCAAUGAUCAUGUAUAUAUGCAUCACGUCCAAGAUUAGUAGACCGACUCCUGCCUGCAUCUACUACUAUUACUCCACACAUCAACCGCUAUCCAGCAUGCAUCUAGUGUAUUAAGUUCAUGGAAAAACAGAGUAAUGCAAUAAGAACGAUGGCAUUAUGUACACAAGAUCUAUUCAUGUAGGAAUAGACCCCAUCUUGUUAUCCUUAAUAGCACGAUACAUGCGUGGCAUGUCUCUUUCUGUCACUGAGAUUGAGCACCGCAAGAUCGAACCCAUCACAAAGGACCUCUUCCCAUGAUGAGAAAAAUCAAUCUAGUUGGCCAAACCAAACCAAAGUUUCGGAGAAGAAAUACGAGGCUAUAAAAUCAUGCAUAAAAGAGUUCAGAAAAGACUCAAAUAAUAUUCAUGGAUAGAACUGAUCCUAAACCCAUAAUUUAUUGGAUCCCAACAAACACACCGCAAAAAGUCAUUACAUCAAAUAGAUCUCCAAGAACAUCGAGGAGAACAUUGUAUUGACGAUCAAAAAGAGAGAAUAAACCAUCUAGCUACUACCUACGGACUCAUAGGUAUGUGGUAAACUACUCACUCAUCAUUGAAGGGGCAACAAGGAUGAUGAAGAACCCCUCCAUGAUCGUUGCCCCCUCCGGCAGAGUACCGGAGAAGGCCUUGUGGCACCCCAGCUCAGAGCAACCGGUUUACCUUGCAUUGCCAGCCCAGAGAUCUAGUCUUCUGGCAAUACACAACAACAUGGUACAUAAACAACGACUUUAUUGAUGCUAGCGGAUUACAUAAGUCUGACAUUACAUCAAGAUACGAGGCCAAGCGACACACACGGUGCUGCUAGACAGUAUGUACAUUAUUUAAUGAACAUGACGGGGCCUCGAUCACACGAACUAUGCGGUAGCGGAAGAACGACGAAGUGGCACUCCAUAGCACAGGGACACCGACGUGGACACGGCCUAGACACAAGAUGCGCUCCGAUGCAAACCGAGUUGCCUGAAAGCUGGCAUAACACGCCAGGUCAGUACAUUGAAUGUACUUGCAAGCUCACAACAAACAUAAGCACGAUGACAAACAAUAUCAGGAUAAUUAAUCAGGUUAAUUCAAUGCAAGAAAAACUAUAGAUGCAAUGCAAACCAUGCGUGCUCCGAGUCUCACGGACUCGCUUACCAGACGGUUACAUAGUAACCAAACGAUGACCAUACCGGGGUCACACCUGAAACCAUUCACUCAUGAACACCUCAAGAGUUCAUGAUUCACUAUGAACCAAUGCAUCACAACAAUUACUUAGUUUGCAAGAUUAAUUAUAAAAGUUGAUCCAUGGUGUGACUUACUCACGAGUUAUUCCCAUAACCGAGGACGCGGAUAUCGAUAGAUUAAAUACACUCUGUAGAGGUAGCGCACUUUACCCACACUAUGGAACACCUGGCCUCGUAUUCCCAUUCGGGUGGACCAAAGCAUUCCGACGAAACCCUCCCUUUGUCAUGCACUCUCCCCGGCCACUCCGACCAACUCCCACUCAGGGCUAGGUCUUGGGUGGCCCCGUGUCUACCAAAGACACCAACGGCCACUGUCGUGCCAAAACGGUCCCAAACGGGGACAAGGUACCAGAAAAACAAAAAUGAGCACAUAAGGUUAUGUCUGCCUACCAGGCCAGGGUAUGCACACCCAUAACCUUCCCUCGCGGGAGGCACCGGUGAGAGCCACAACAAAGGACCGAAUCAAGACCUUCCCACAAGGUAAAUGUGGUCACACUGAAUUAGAAACCCAAUUCAGUGGCACCAUGAUGUGAUCAACAUCAUAUUCAAUUUGAACUUAAUCAAAUUUAACUUUGAUAAAAACUUUUUAUCAUUAACAUGAUAUAAUGCCAAUAAUCAUGCAACUACUCGUCAUGCAAAGCAAACAACUCAUAGUCAUGGAUCAAACUUAACAACAUGAUUAUCUUGCAAUACGUAAGAUCAAAACUCUCUGGUUAUAACUCAUUUUUAUUAUCAAGCAAUAUUUUUAUUAGUUCAUCAUUUAAAUAAAAAGUAUCACUUAAUAAAAGAACUUUCAUUAUUUACCACAACAACAUAGCUAGUGCAAAAUCUUAUUCUACUUGACCAAACAAGUUCAUGCAUUCAACCAGUAACUAAAACAAGUAUAUCAAGCAUACUAAAGUAACUAACAAUUAACCAAAUUUAUUUAUCAAAUUUUAAAUGCAAAUAAGAACUCAUAUUUAAGUAGAAAAUCACAGUUAUUGAAAUAACACCAUCCAAAUGCUGGUGUGGCUUGCCUUAGUGUAGAGGAGGAUCACACCCCUCUUGGUUUGCUUCAAGACAAGCUUCUCCUUCUGAAAAGAAUUUAAAACCAUAAAAAUAAUUUUCAAAACACAUUCUGAAAAUCACCAGAAAUUCUAGGCAGCAAGGAAAAAUCCACCUUUUGGUGUGCUGCUAGAGCUUUCUGAAACAAAGACAAUGCAAAAAGAAUCAAAUCAUUUGGACUUAUGGUUUAGAAAUGGUGGCUCGUCAAAGUUUAGUCAAAUUUCUGAAUAAUAUUUGAAUUAAACAGAAAUCCUGGGGGGGUGACGUCGAAGGCGUAAAACAGAAAUACGCCUCCACUCGUACCGCUUCGAGCGCGAGUGGUGAGACCGACAGGUGCGUCCCAUGUGUCGGUGGGAAACGACACCUAUGGAUCACGGGAAUCCCUUUCUGCGGUUGCGGGGCGCGGGGGUCGUGAGAAGAGCGGAUCGAGCAGGCAGUACACGAUUCCUUUACCUAGGUUCGGGCCACGAAGAUGCGUAAAACCCUACUCCUGCUUUGGUGGAUUAUAUGUUUGUGUUCUUGAGCUAGCUAUGGGGCAUGAGGAGCUCCAAAAAGCCGAAUCCUCUUCCUGGUCACCUGGGGCCUCCUUUUAUAGGGAAAGGGGCUGCCACAGUGGCACACAGGAGGUGGAAAGGGUACAGUGAUGCGAGGUUAUCCCUCGCAUUACAUGACAAGGUGCAUUUAAUGCGCCUUGCUUAGGUGUCCUUGCUUUAUCGGGGGCGGGGGAGAGCCCUGUCUCGUCCGUCGCCACUCUCUCCCGCGUCGACACGUGCCCUGGCCAGCGGUGGGUCUCCACGAGGAUCUGCAUGCCGCCACGCAGGUGCCUGCCCAGCUGGUUGGGUCGACAGCUGCAUAUGAAUGGUGGUGGAGGUGUGACUGGCGCGGGUCCGAUGGUGGCCCCGCGGGUGUCCUUGGCAAGGGCCUUGCCGGGACCCCGGCAAGGGUCUUGCCACGGCGCCUGCUGUCAUCCCCGUCAAGGCUCUUGCCGGGGGCCUUGUGGUCCUUCUUGGCUGGAAUCCCGCCAAGGGUCAUCACCUUUUUAAGUGGGCAUCUGGUCUUGAAUGUCUUCACAAAGAUCUGCACGCCACCAUGGGGAUCUCUCCCGAAUCCUUGCCCCAUGGGGGCAGUGGACUCAAGGGUGACCCGCUCCGUAGGUGUGGGGCGAGCUGCCACGGCAAGGGUCUUGCCGGGUUGGCAAAAACCGCCUCCCGGCAAGGAUCUUGCCGGGAGGGGCCCGCUUCGCCCCCUUUGCUCUUUGUGGUCUUGGUCUUGGCGUCGUUCUGCUCCUCUUUGGCUUCGGCCUCACCUUGGCUUACCUCCCUUGCCUUGCUCAGUGUGGUAGUGCCUGUGGCUCAGACUGCCCGUGCACAGUUAUAGGGGUACAAAAAGUGUACCCCUCUUUUUGUACACCGACAGGAUCCCCCAGGCCUGGGCCACACGUAAGCGCAAUCGCGUCAUUGGGCUAGGCCCAAAAACGGUGCGCGGGCAGGCGGGGCGGUUUUUACCGCGGUAAGUUUCUUUGCGCGUUGCGCUCCCCACGCGUCCCGCGCGUGGCGCGGCGUGGGGAGGCGUGUGUGACGUGAGCGGUGUGCGUGGGGCUGAGCUCCGCAUGCAUGCAUCAUGUUGUAGUAAAGGAGGCGGUUCGCGCCUUCCCCAUAAACGGAGGGAGGCGUGGAGGCGCGUUCCAUUUAUUGGACGGGGCCGAGGCGUGGUCUUCGAGGCGUCCACUCCCCACGAUCACGGGGUGGGGAGAGGUCGCCUUAUCCGUCGCCUCGGUUCUGCACGCCUGCCACACGACGCUUGGGGUGGCGAACGGUGGAGGCGGGAAACCAGGCCGUCGUGGGCCGAGGCAGCGGGUCGGUCCCAGUUCCCUGCGCCUUCUGCGUCUUGAUUGGCUGAGCGGGGCGGCCGAGCCCCCACCCCGUUCCUUUAUAAGGAGCGGGAGGGGGAGGAUGGCACCCCGCAUUCUUUCAUCUCCUCCUUCCUUCAGCGUCUGCUCCCCCUCCCAUCCGCUAUGGAGAGAGGGAACCCUGGUCCUUCAACGGUGGCGGCGAGGGUCGCCGCUCGACAACGCGUCCCUCCUUCUCCCGCACCUACGGUGGCAGAGCCAGCCGCAAGGGGAAGAGGGAGGGGGCGAGGCCGUGGGCGAGGUCGAGGGCGAGGUCGAGGCGCUCGGGGAAGAGGAGGACGGGGCGGCACGCCGGCCUCGCCUCCGCCAGUGGUUCCUCUUCCCAUGGCGGUCCAUAUUGGGGACGACCCUUGCGAGUUCUUCGUCAGGGUGCGUCGGCCGCCUCGUCGUCGCCUUCGUCUCCCGACUCCAUUCGCGCGGGAGAUGGAGCUGGAUCCGCCGGAGUCUCUGCGGCUGCACAUGAGGGGUUGCGGGAUUAGCGGCACACGGGUUCGCGUUGAUUUCCCAGCCCCUCACAUGAUGUAUCUUCGUCGAGGAUGGAAGACGUUCGCUCGCAUCCACAGCCUAACGGAGGGGCUCACUCUCCAUUUCAAGCUGAUGGAGGGUGGCCUCCUCUCCAUCAAGGUCUUCGGGCUCUUCGGGACCCGUGCAAGGUGCUGUGUGGAGAGUUCUUCCGAUAGCGAAGACUCUUCCUCGGGCGGGAGUGACGAGGAGGACAGCGGCAGCGACGACGAGGGCGGUAGGCGGCAGGAUGACGGGUCCGACUAGGUGUCGAGCGUCGCUCCGUGCGGCACCGGCGUCCCCAUCAUCCGUGUCGCCGGCUCCCUGAACUUCUCGGGGUCGUCUCCUUGGGCGGCUGGUGUUGGGAGGCUACGGAAGAGAAAGAGGGCGGGCGGCAAGGCUGUCAAGUCGGAGUACGUGGGCGUGAUGCCCUCGACAGCGUGCUGAUGUCCUACUGCCUCGUCUUCGAGCCCUGCUUCCGGCGCCGCCAUCACCAUCCAGCCUUUGGACGGCCACCGAGAUGUUCUCUUGGUGUCUUCUGGCACCCGUAGCUCGCCUAGGCGCCUCUUUUGCCCUUUUCGCCUCCUUGACCUGCCUCCUGAGGAGAGGGACAAGAAAAGGAUUACGGGCACCUUAUCUCUUUUUAGUUUGUAAGCCUUCGGGCCUUAGCUGAAUUUAAAACUUGUAAUCCCAUCAUUCAUGUUUUUCAUUCCCUACAGACUGUACCUGAAUGGAAUGUUUUUAAUGAAAAAGGGAUGUUUGCCGGGCCAUUUGUUGGCGGGUAGAACCCACGACAAGGAGUAAACCCUUGAUAUCUUUAAGAUAAACAUUUCCUCGCCCGGCAACAGGCCUUGCCGUCUCUCCACCUCACUCGACCCUUCUCACGCCCUUGGCGGAGGCAGGGAUGAGGCGGGUUCAGGCUCCUCAUUUCACCCUUUUGCUGUCGCGGCUACGCUCAAACCUGGCCCCAGGAGCGAGUCCUAGGGCCUAGAGUUAGAGGAGCAUAGUAGCUUUUAGGAAGAAACGAGGUUUCACAUACCUCAGUCCAUAAGGGAAUGCAUGACAAGGGAUGAAGAACUUAUCUAAAACUGCAGCCCCCGGCAACUCUGGUUCGCCGUGGGUGAAUCUUUGUACUUGCAGCCCCCGGCAACACUGGCUUGCCGGGGUCCAGAUGCUGGUCCGUCCCUCUUCGCCCCUUUUUUAUCCUCAAGAGAUCCGACAAGGAUAUCCGAGCCCUGCGAACCAAGGGAGACAAAAGAACGGCAAAGAGACGCACACUCGACCUCUAAGCUAGGGGUUAGCCGCCGCUAAGCACUAUCAACCCUAACCAAGGACGAGACUCGAUCUAGCAUGCAUGCUAUAACUUAGGGCGCCAGCGCUUCAUUUAUGCUCAGGGUCUGCGCCUGGCUUUGUACAAAGGGUUACAUGCAUCAUCGGCAAUGCUUGUACAAAAGGUGGCUUGCUGGGAGGCCCGACAAGCCGUGCCUUAUGGGUAAAACUUGCGAAGAUGCUCGAUGUUCCAGGAGUUGCUCACCGGAACGGCAUCUUCGGUCUCCAGGCGGACUGCACCGGGCCUGGUGACUCGUAUUACCCGAUAAGAGCCUUCCCACUUCAGCGUCAACUUGUUGGAAUUCUUGGCUGAUUGAACGCGCCGAAGAACAAGGUCACCUUCCUCAAGGCUCCGGGCAUGAACCUUGCGGCUAUGGUAGCGACGCAAGGCUUGCUGGUAGCGUGCUGCUCUCACAGCCGCCCGAAGACGAUCUUCCUCAAGGGGCAGUGCGUCGUCUUGCCGCAGUUGCUCUUGCUCAAGCUCAUCAUAAGCAAGCACUCGAGGUGACCCGUAUAUGAGUUCAGUGGGGAUAACUGCUUCUGCCCCGUAUACCAGGGCAAAGGGUGUCUGGCCGGUGGCUCGAUUUGGUGUCAUCCUGAUUGACCAAAGAACCGUCGGCAACUCAUCAAUCCAGCGCCUUCCGCUCUUGUGCAGUCUGUCAAAGGUCUUGGUCCUUAAGCCUCGCAACACUUCAGCAUUUGCCCUCUUAGCUUGCCCGUUGCUCUGCGGGUGAGCGACGGAAGCGAAUCAGACUUUGCCGCCGAGAUCCUGAGUAUAUUGCAUGAAGGUGCGGCUUGUGAACUGCGUACCGUUGCCGGUGAUGAUCCGGUUGGGUACACCGUACCGGCACACUAGCCCCUUGAAGAACUUGACGGCUGACUGAGCUGUGACCUUCCUCACUGCCUCCACUUCUGGCCACUUUGUGAACUUGUCGAUGGCUACGUACAAGUACUCAAAGCCCCCGACAGCGCGGGGGAAAGGGCCCAGUAUGUCGAGCCCCCAGACCGAGAAGGGCCAGGAGAGAGGAAUGGUUUGAAGGGCUUGAGCUGGUUGAUGAAGCUUUCUUGAAUGGAACUGACAUGCCUCACACCUGGUGACGAGUGUCGUUGCAUCCUGGAGGGCGGUGGGCCAGAAGAAACCCUGCCGGAAUGCCUUGCCGGCAAGGGCUCUCGACCCAAUGUGGGAUCCACAUAUGCCUCCAUGUAUCUCUGCGAACAGCUCCAGUCCUUCCUCUCGAGGGAUGCACUUCAAUUUCACACCGUUCGGUCUCUUCCUGUAUAGGACGUCAUCGACGAACUGGUACAUGGCAGAGCAACGGGCUACUUUUUCCGCUUCUUCCUGCUCCUCAGGAAGCUCCCCUGUCUGGAGGAAUCAGACAGUAUGUUGUGCCCACGCUGGAGCCUGAGGCUCGACGGCGAGGACUAAAGGCAGUUCCUCCGCUAUAGGGGCGACCGUCUCGACGGCAAGAGCUCGGCGUCCUACCGGAGCUAGCCGUCCCGUGGCGGGUUCAGUGUCCUCAGCAACAUCCUUGCCGGCGGCUCCGGGGAGCUCGGCGGGAAAGUACUUGCCGGGUCCUGAUUUCCUUCUCUUGUUCUGUUCUGUUGAUGGAUCAACAGAUGGCUGAGUUAGCUGAAGCACAAAGGUACCUGGUUCCACAGGUAGCUUGAGGGCAACGCGCUUCGACAGGUAAUCGGCGAUAUCGUUCUCCGUUCGGGGAACGUAUUUAGCCUGGAUACCGUCGAAACGCUCUUCCAGCUUUCUCACUUCAUCGACGUAGGCCUUCAUCAACGGGCUCUGGUAAUCCUUAUUGACUUGCUUGACGACAAGCUACGAGUCGCCCCUGACGAUGAGCUUUUUGAUUCCAAGGUACAUCGCGAUCCUAAGACCGGCAAGCAGCCCUUUGUAUUCCGCCGUGUUGUUUGUUGACGCCUCCCUGGGGAAGUGCAUCUGGAUCACGUACUUGAGGUGCUCUUCAGUGGGGGCGACGAGCAGUAUGCCAGCCCCGGCACCCUGGAGGGAGAAAGCCCCAUCAAAGUACAUAAUCCAAUCGCAACUUGCCUCCUUGCCGGGGAGAGAAGUCUCUUGGGCUUCUUCGUCAGGUGUGGCGGUCCAUUCUGCAAUGAACUCUGCCAGGACUCGGCUCUGGAUCGUCGAAGUACUUUCAAACUUGAGGCCAAAGCUGGACAGCUCCAGUGCCCAUUCCACAAUCCUCCCCAUCGCAUCUGGGUUGUGCAAUAUCCGCUGCAGAGGGAGGCGAGUGACGAUAGUGAUCUCGUGUGCCUGGAAGUAGUGACGCAGCUUCCUCGAGGCCAUGAGGAGGCCGAAGAGCAGUUUCUGCACACCGGAGUACCUCGACCUAGCCCCCUGCAAGAGGGAGCUAACAAAGUAGACCGGGCGCUGCAUCACUUUCUUCUUUGGCGGCACCUCGACCAACUGUGUCACCUCCGCACUGGUGGCGUCGGGCUCUGUUGCUGCCAUUACCUCGUCGUCGACCUCCCUCUGCGCCACUAGUGCAGCGCUGACCACCUGGUUCAUUGCCGCUAAGUAGCAGCAACGGCUCCUGGGGCCUGGGCGCAACUAGUAUUGGUGCGGAGGAGAGGUACUUCUUCAGAUCUUGCAAUGCCGCUUCGGCUUCCGGUGUCCACUCCAUCGGGCCCACCUUUUUCAGGAUCUUGAAAAAGGGAAGGGCGCGCUCGACGGACUUGGAUAUGAACCUGCCCAGGGCCGCGACGCAACCAACGAGCCGGCGCACAUCCUUCAUCCACUUGGGUGCUUCAAUCUGUUCUAUAGCUUUGAUCUUGUCCGGGUUGGCCUCUAUCCCCCGCUGCGACACAAAGAACCCGAGAAGUUUGCCGGAUGGGACACCAAAGACGCACUUCUCAGGGUUCAGCUUGAGGUUGAUCUUGCGCAGAUUUGCAAAUGUCUCCCGCAAGUCUGAUAUGAGGGUGGCCCUGUCCUUGGUUUUGACCACUAUGUCAUCCAUAUAAGCCUCCAUAUUUCUAUGGAGCUGGGGCUCAAAACCAAUCUGGACCGCCCUCGCAAACGUCGAUCCAGCACUCUUCAACCCGAAAGGCAUCCGCAUGAAACAAUACGUACCACAUGGGGUGAUGAAUGCUGUUUUCUCUUCGUCUUCUUUUGUCAUGAAGAUCUGGUGGUACCCGGAGUAGGCAUCGAGGAAUGACAACAGAUCACACCCAGCCGUGGAGUCAACAAUCUGGUCGAUGCGCGGCAACGGGAAGGGGUCUUUAGGACAAGCCUUAUUGAUAUCUGUGUAAUCAAUACACAGUCUCCACUUCCCAUUUGCCUUGCGCACUACGACCGGAUUGGCCAACCACGUCGAAUGGAGCACUCCUCUUACCAAACCCGCUGCCUCCAGUUUCCGGAUUUCUUCUAUGAUAAACUCUUGUCGUUCCAAAGCUUGCUUUCUGACCUUCUGCUUGACGGGCCGCACAUGAGGACAGACAGCAAGGUGGUGCUCAAUCACCUCCCUGGGAACGCCGGGGAUGUCGGAAGCUUGCCAUGCAAACACAUCGACAUUUGCCCGCAGGAAGGUGAUGAGCGCGUCUUCCUAUUUGUCGUCAAGGGUGGAGCUUAUGGUGAAAGCUCCUCCCGUGCCGUCCUCGUUGACGGAAACCUUCUUGGUUCCCGGCGGCGUGGCCCUGGACCUCUUGCUUCCGCCGGCGGAGCUCUUUGGCACGUCCUCGACGGCAGCGCUACACUCCAAAGAGGUGCGCUUGCCGGAGUGGGUGUCCGAGGUCUCACCGGCCUUCUUCUUCUCCCCCCCCGGGGUCCCGGCAGCAGGAGCGAGUGCCCCAGCGGCGGCAGCUGCUGCGACUGCUUGCUGGUACACUUGAUCAGCGCAAAUCAGCGCAUCCUUCUUGUCGGAGGGGAUGGUGAUGACCGUCACGGGCCCUGGCAUCUUCAGGGUAUUGUAGGCGUAGUGCGACACCGCCAUGAACUUGGCCAGCGCUGGGCGGCCAAGGAUCCCGUUGUAGGGCAAGGGGAUACUGGCAACAUCAAACACAAUCCUCUCCGUCCUGAAGUUCAGGUCGGUCCCGAAAGUUACGGGCAACGUGACCUUUCCCUUGGGUUGGCUUCUCCCCGAGCUAACCCCUUGAAACGUGUCCAUUUCUUCGAGGUCUCCAUCAGGGAUCUGCAGCUUCUCGACCAUGGCAGGCGAGAUCAAGUUCAGACCGGCCCCGCCAUCUACUAACAUUUUUGUCACCUUGAGGUUGCGUAUUGUUGGUGACACCAACAAUGGCAAGCAACCGACCGCAGUAGUGCGAUCAGGGUGAUCCUCAGAGUAAAAAAUGAUAGGUGUGCUGGACCACUUCAGCGGCCUCUGGGCAUCAAAUGACGGCUCUGCUGCUGUAAUUUCUCGCGCCCACUGUUUAAGCCAGCGCCGAGAGGCAUGCAGCGAAGCGCCGCCGUCAACGCACAUGGCCUCUGUAGCUUUCUGAAACUCUUGGUCGCCGGACUCGUCGUCCUCUUCGUGAUUGUCAUCUCCUGGCUUUUUGUCACGGCCCCGAGCGGGCCUCUCUUGUUGCUUGUCCUUGCCGCGACGGCCCGCCUGGCCGUCGCGUUUCUUGCCGGAUCCUUCAGCACCGUCUUGGCCCUUCUCCUUGUCCCGCCUCUCAUAUUCAGCCCUCUGCUUCUCAGCGAGGAGCUCAACCUGCCGGCAGUCUUGGAGAGCAUGGCCUUUGGUGCGAUGGAUCUUGCAGUAUCGCUUGUCGGAGUUGCCUGGCUUCUCGGCAACCGCCAAGGCCUGGCAGGCGACACAUCCGGCAAUUUCCUUGCCGGGGUCACCUGCCUUGGUCUUCUUGGUGGAGCCGGUGUCGUCAGACCCCUUGAUAGCAAGCACAGCUUUCCCUUUGCGCUUCCUGUUGCGGCGCCGGCCUUUCUUCGCCGGGGCGGCGGUGUCUUCUUCCGAGGAGUCGGUUUCCACGCCGGCAUCUUCGCCGGGGUACUUCCUCCCCUCUUCAGCCCGGGCACAUUUGUCCGCGAGAACAUAGAGCUCCGCGAGAUCUUUCACCUUGUUCAUCACCAGCUCUUCGCGCAUCUUGCGGUUCCGAAUGUUCUGAUGGAACGCGUUGAUGAUGGCGGCGGGGUGAACAUCCGGAAUAUUGUACUGCACCCGGCUGAACCUCUGUAUGUACUUGCGGAGACUCUCGCCUCCCUUCUGGGGAAUGACGUGGAGAUCACUCGCUUGGCCAUGAGCUUGGUGACCGCCAGUGAAGGCGCCCACGAAUUCAUGGCACAAAUCCGACCAGGAGGAGAUGGAGUCCACCGGCAAGUGCAUCAACCACGACAUGGCGUUGGGUUUAAGAGCCAACGGGAAGUAAUUUGCAAGCACCUUAUCAUCACGAGCCCCGGCAGCCUGCAUCGCGAUGGUGUAGAUGCUGAGGAACUCGGAUGGGUGGGUCUUGCCGCCGUACUUCUCGCCCACGUUAGGUUUGAAAGUGCGGUGAGUGGGCCACUGGAACUGCCGCAGCUCACGGGUAAAAGCCGGGCAGCCUACCUCGUAAGGUAGGCCCCCAGGGCUCUCCGGUGCUGGGUGGUCCACAGUAGGCCCCGCUCGCCUAUCUGACUGGUGGCGCGCUCCGCGCCGGCGCUCCGCGCCGGCGCUCGAUGGUGGUCCGAGCGUCUUCAUGUUCCUGAUCCCGAAGGACCUGGCGUUGGUCCUGGUGGGUCCGCGGGUCGGACGAUGCUAUGGAGAUUUCGUCGCCCGCAACGUCGCGACGGGCAGGCGUCCGUGGCACCAGGCGAGGAGGAGGCGAGUGCACCAUGGUCGCGGUGCCACCAGCCUUCCUGCCACUGGUACGCGGGACUCCGUCAGAACGUCGACCCAGGGGCUCCGUCAGGGUCGGCUCAUCUUUGUUGGCCACCGCAACAAGGCUUCGGAUGGUGGCUCUCCAUUCGUCGAGUUUCCCUGUAGUGGGAGGAAAGUCGAGGAGCAACUGCGCGCGCGCCAGGGCUUCUGCUGGCGUCGGUGGCAGCGAAACCUGCACGGAUCGCGACGCGCUUCGACUUCUGACCAUGUCAGAAGGAGCGCUACCACGACCGCGCGGUCGCACGCCAUGCUCACCAGCGCCUCAGCGAGCGGGCAGGUCUUCUACAUCCCGGGAGUGGCGCUCGGGGCUUUUCCCGCGGCGAUGCCCGGGGUCUUCGGGGUGAUCACGCCACUCGUCGCGCGCCGCUUGAGAGGAACACGCCGUCGGCGCCGGAGAGGGAGUCCUGGAGGCCCUCGCGCCGCCAGCGGGCGGGGCAGCAGCGACCCCGGAAGGUCCCGCGCCACCUGCGGGGGGCCCGGCUCCGUCUUUGGAUUUGGCGGCGUGCGGCCCGUUACCGGGCGCAUGAACACCGCCGCCUCCCAAACUCCGGCUGCUGGGACGGUGUUGGUGUUCACGAACAGCGGCCCGGGUCCUUUCGGCGACCGGUCCGCUGCUCGCCCACGUCGGGACGGGAUGCCCGGCAUCCGACGGGCCAACCGCCACCGUCGUCUUCUUCUUGGGCGCCAUGGCGAUGAAGAAGCGUUGAACUAACUGCUAAAGCCGAUUCUCACAUCUGCGCAGCCCCUGCCUGGCGCGCCAAAGAUGUCGGUGGGAAACGACACCUAUGGGAUCACGGGAAUCUCUUUCUGCGGUUACGGGGCGCGGGGGUCGUGAGAAGAGCGGAUCGAGCAGGCAGUACACGAUUCCUUUACCCAGGUUCGGGCCGCGAAGAUGCGUAAAACCCUACUCCUGCUUUGGUGGAUUAUAUGUUUGUGUUCUUGAGCUAGCUAUGGGGCGUGAGGAGCUCCAAAAAGCCGAAUCCUCUUCCUGGUCGCCUGGGGCCUCCUUUUAUAGGGAAAGGGGCUGCCACAGUGGCACACAGGAGGUGGAAAGGGUACAGUGAUGCGAGGUUAUCCCUCGCAUUACAUGACAAGGUGCAUUUAAUGCGCCUUGCUUAGGUGUCGUUGCUUUAUCGGGGGCGGGGGAGAGCCCUGUCUCGUCCGUCGCCGCUCUCUCCCGCGUCGACACGCGCCCUGGCCAGCGGUGGGUCUCCACGAGGAUCUGCAUGCCGCCACGCAGGUGCCUGCCCAGCUGGUUGGGUCGGCAGCUGCAUGCGAACGGUGGUGGAGGUGUGACUGGUGCGGGUCCGAUGGUGGCCCCGCGGGUGUCCUUGGCAAGGGCCUUGCCGGGACCCCGGCAAGGGUCUUGCCGCGGCGCCUGCUGUCAUCCCCGGCAAGGCUCUUGCCGGGGGCCUUGUGGUCCUUCUUGGCUGGAAUCCCGCCAAGGGUCAUCACUGGCAUCUGGUCUUGAAUGUCUUCACAAAGAUCUGCACGCCACCAUGGGGAUCUCUCCCGAAUCCUUGCCCCAUGGGGGCAAUGGACUCAAGGGUGACCCGCUCCGUAGGUGUGGGGCGAGCUGCCACGGCAAGGGUCUUGCCGGGUUGGCAAAAACCGCCUCCCGACAAGGAUCUUGCCAGGAGGGGCCCGCUUCGCCCCCUUUGCUCUUUGUGGUCUUGGUCUUGGCGUCGUUCUACUCCUCUUUGGCUUCAGCCUCACCUUGGCUUACCUCCCUUGCCUUGCUCAGUGUGGUAGUGCAUGUGGCUCAGACUGCCCGUGCAUAGUUAUAGGGGUACAAAAAGUGUAGCCCUCUUUUUGUACACCGACAGGAGCCCCCGGGCAAAGGCCACACGUAAGCGCAAUCGCGUCGUUGGGCUAGGCCCAAAAACGGUGUGCGGGCAGGCAGGGCGGUUUUUACCGCGGUAAGUUGCUUGAGCUCGAGAGGCACUGGAGAGCGGCUGCUGGACUACGGAGAUCGCUAGAGUCCUCUGGUCGGGGCGAUAGCCAGAGGCCUGCCCGACCGAGCUACUGCUCGUCUACGUGUUCGUGGAGGUGGUGUGGAUUGGUGCUUGGCUAGAAAUCGAGGAGGGGCGCGCUAUAUAUAGCCGGAGCGAGGGGGGGACGUGUCGCCGCCAGAGCUCUCUGGACACGCGGCGAAUGACAACGAGAAGCUCCAAAACAAGGGGGCAAACACUCAGCAUCAAUGCAGGAGCUUGCCCAUGCUCGCGGACGAGCACAGGAGGCGGUUGAGGAAGUGGACAAGCGCACGCGUGCAUUGUGGCAUUUUGGCUGUGACGUGCCCGUGCUUGCUGCGGCGGCUCCAGCGUCGGCGAGUGCCAGGGAGCGGUCAAAUGUGAUGGGUCGGGGCUCGUGGCAUGGCGCGACAGUCGUCGGCAAGCGCUGGAACGAGCACGCGCGAAACAGAGAGGAACGCGCCACCCAGAGCGCGUCGAGACGCUGCCAGGCGCCGUGUCCUCGCGUGGUCACCAAGCUGGCAUGGUCAAAACGACGCCCAGGAGCGGCCAAACCUUGUCUACGCAUUCGACCGUGCAGUGUUUAGUCUAGGAGUGGUGAUAGCUCAUACCCAGGCCGACCAGAUUGGACUCAACUCAGCUGACAAGUUUCUGACCAGAAACUUGGUCGCCAAGUUAAGCCACCUUCUAGAAGGCCAUUAGGGCUGAUCUCCUGGGGUUUAGGGUUUCUUAGGAGGGUGUUUAAGCUCAAGAAAGAUCAAGGCCAAAAUCUCAAGGAAAAAUGCACUUGCUGUACAAAGUGCAUUUUUGGUCCAGAAGUGAAAAGAUUUUCUACAGCAAAAAUAUUACAAAAAGUGAUGCAAUAUUUUUGCAUGGGAAGGUGUGCCAAGGUUCUAAGAAUAUUCAAGAAUUAAAUCAGAUUUUUCUGAGCAAGAAAAAUUGGGGUUGCUUUGGAGCACAAGUUUCUGAGUGAAAAAUGAAUAUUUUUCUUUUAUGAAAAUAUUCAUUUGAUUAUUUUGGGGAUUUAUGAGAGGAUUAAAUUAGUAGGUCACUUGGGUGAAAGCCAAGGAUAUGCCCAAGUGACAAGUCCAUUUGAAAUGAUUCCAAAAUCCAAAUCAAGUGAGGGAAAAAACCACGGUAAAAACCAAGUCCGAAAGAAGAGAGAAGACAAGUCCGGAAAAAGAGAGAAGGCAAAAUCCAGGCUGUCACAUGCCUCUAGAUAGGAUCUAGUGGUUCUGGAACUUGCGGCGGCUGGAAAAGUGUUUCAUCGACUCCCCUAGGGUUUUUGGGAUUUUAGAGUAUUUAUAGAGGUGGAUGUCAGUAGAGAAGCUUCCCAUGGGCUCCACUACCCACCAGGGCACGCCCUGGUGCCUAGUGGGCCCCACAAGCCUCCUCCCGUGCACUUCUUUGGCUCCCUAGGUGUCUUCUGUCCAGAAAAAAUUCUCCGAAAAGUUUCAUGGCAUUUAGACUUUGUUUGGUAUUGAUAUUCUUCAAAGUAAAAACAAGCAGAAAACAACAACUCGCACUAGGCACUAUGUCAAUAGGUUAGUCCAAAAAAAAUGAUAUAGAGUUGCUAGUAAAUGAGUAUAAAACAUCCAAGAUUGAUAAUAUAAUAGCAUGAAACAAUAAAAAAUUGUAGGUACGUUGGAGACGCAUCAGCGGUCCACGCCGGCCGGACAUAUGUCAAUGGCGCAGGGCAGCGGCGGCCAGUUUCUGCAUGCAGGCGGCGGCAUACGGUGACGUGUCCAGCACCGGUGGCUUGGGUGCCCGAUCUGAUCUCAGAUGGGUUUCGGCAGGCCGCACAAGCUGUUGUCGUGUACCAUCCCUGUUCCAUCAACGACAUGCUGCCACUGGGCUCUACUUGCAACACGAGGACGUUGGGGGCUCCAGCCCUGGGCGUGGCGGUGGUGGCCACCUCAUUCGCCGAAGUUGGUUGGCCUGAGGCUGGGUGGUCGAAUCUCAAGAUCGGUCAUCUAGUCCCGGCUGCGAGUUGGGGAGACAUAGUUGCCGAUGAAAACCGAGUUGAUGGCGGCGUUUUGCUUCGUUACCUUGUUGAAGGCAUCAUCGUGUAGCUGUUGUCGACCCACUCGUGCUGCUUCAUGGAAAACCCUAAGAUUUGGUCUUCUAGAUCGGACGAUGGCGGUACUGCGGUGCCGUUACUCUCUUGGGAGCAUCAUUUGUGGAGCAGCGCUAGAAGACAGAGGCAAGAGGUGGAGCGGCUUCGUCUUGCACGGAGCUUCGGUGGAGCUGUCAAAUCAUGCCUGACCGACAGGUGCUACGCUGAGUCAUGCCUGGUUGGUAGGUGCUACGCACAAAAAAUCUUCCAGAGUCUUCACGUCUGGACGGACGAGCGUAGGGCGGUGGCACCUUGGGUGUAAGUGCAUCCAGUGCCCCUUAGUGAUUUUGGUGUAUUGAAGACUUAUAGGUUAAGGGACUAAUGUGUUUGUGAGUGCACACAGGUCUAUAAGUCUAUGAGGAGUUUGAUAUUUACAGAGAAAGUCGACCCCUAAAAAUGAAUGUCUUGAACUGAAGACUUUGGCUUUCUGAAGACUUUGAAAGUGAAGAAAUUGGUGUGACCGUGAAGACUUAAUAUUCAUGCGAGGAAUAUGAAGUGUGAAGACUUUUGUUUUCGUAGUUUCGUUUUCUCUUUCGUGAGUCAUAGGAAACACCGUACUGUUAAAGGGUGUCGAGGUAAAACUAAGGAAAAGUUCCCAAGUGAUGCUCAUCUCAAAAUCCUACACCUACCAAUCCUUUCGAGUGAAGCCAUUGGAAAUCUCAUGCAAUUCAGUCAAGUUCUUCAGUGACAGAGAUGAAGAUCUUUUGAUCUCUGAGGAGUUUGUUCUCACUGAGGAGUUAGGAAUUCGCCAGUGCAGAUUGCCUACAAGUGAGGAACAUGAUAGCCCUGAGGAAUUUGAUACUCAAACAUCCGACCGUUGCUGUGCUACGCGCCACCUGUCCCAAAAUAUCUACCCUCCUAACAGUCAUAUCAUGGAAGGGCAUUUAUGUCUUAUCAUGUCGGGCUGCUCCCUAGGCUAUAAAUAGCCGCCCCCUACAACCACUAGCUGGUUGGUUGCUCUGAGAGAAACUGACACUUGUCAUUGAGAGCAUCCCAUCCUCCAAGGACUGUGAGCGAAAAUCAUGAAGUGAGGAAAACCCAAACUCAAACACCUACAAACCCAAAGUGAUUGAGCAUCACUGAAGAGAUUGUUCCUGUGUGGAACCGACACUUGUUACCUUUGAGGACUGUGCAUCCUUCAGACGGUUAGGCAUCAUGGUCUAGAGCAUCCAAAAGGAAAUUGUGGAUCGCCGAGUGACUGAGUUUGUGAAGGUUUGGAAUCACCUGAAGACUUACCACAAAUGAUUGGGCGAGGUCUGUGUGACCUUAGCUCGAGGAGAAUACGGUGAGGACUAUGUGUCGAGGACUGUGUGUCCUCAGGUUUAAAUACCUAGCCGCUCCAACCAGACGUACGACUGCCACAGCAGUUGGAACUGGUCUACCAAAUCACUGUCUUCACCGAGCUACUGGUUCUAUUUCCUCAACCCUUUCAUUUCCUCAUUACUGUGUUGUUGUACUUGAUCGUUUCUGUUCGAAGACUUUGACUGAAGACUUUCUCAAUUUCCUCAGUCCUAAUUCUUAAGUCACCUUGUCUUCAGCCUACUUAUCCUAUGUUUACGCUACUUGUACUUUGUGCUUGUUUUCAUUUCAUCAUGAUGAUUGUGCUACUAUUCUGUUAUGCUUGCAUCUGAAUACUUAUUUCGCUACUUGUAGUUCAUGACUUAAGAAUUUCUUCACCUUGAAAUUCCUUAGUGACGAAUUUGUAAAAAUCGCCUAUUCACCCCCCCUCAAGUCAAUAUAACGCACUUUCAAUUGGUAUCAGAGCAAGGUACUCCCUUGUUCUAUGUGAUUUUGGUUUAACCGCCUGGAGUUUUAGUUAUGUUGACCACAGGAAUGAAGAGUGUGUCAUGCCCCAUCUUUGACGGUCAUGAUUAUCCCAAGUGGAAGGCCAUGAUGAAGAAGCGCCUCAUGGCGAUGAACAGCGAAUUGUGGACCGUCACUGAGAUUGGUCUUACCAAUCUAUGCAAGAUGACGGAGGCUGAUGAUAUUCGCAAGUACACCCUACUUAACCUCACGGCGAAGGACAUAAUCUGCUCCUGUCUGUCCCAAAAUCAGUUCAGGAACAUUAUGCAUCUCAGUCAUGCGAAGCUUAUCUGGGACCGACUCUUUGAGGUCUAUGAAGGUCAUCAAACUCGUCAUGAUCCCUGGUUUGAGGAUUUCAAGGAAUUGCUCAAGGCGAUGACUUUCGAUCCGGAAUCAUCAUCCUCUGCACCAUGCCUUAUGGCAAAAGGUGCCAAGGUAACUGAAUGCUACCUAUCUGAGUCCAGUGAUGAUGAAUCUGGUGAUGAAUUUUGACCCAGCUAUACCAAACUUACCUCCCUUGCCACUAAACAACAAAGAGCUUUGGAAAAGGUUCAAAAUAUGCUAGAGAAAAGCGAUGACCUGUUGGGUGAAGAAAUGGAUCACACUCAAACCUUGACUGAUAAUCUUCAAAGACUUCAGUACAAGUUUGAUAACCUUCAGAGUCAUCAUAACACUCUCUUAUCUGAUCAUGAGAAGCUUUCUUAUGAAUUUCUUCAAAGAAAGCAAGAUAUUGAGAAGCUAAGGGAGAGUUAUGAAGAUCUUCAGAAGGAACAUGAUUCAUUGCUUGCUCAACAGAGCAGUGCCUCUCAGGAAAAAUUCAUUCCACCAUGUUUGAAAUGCAUUGAACGUGAAUCUGCUAAUUCUUCACCUGAAAGUUCAAAUGCUUCUAUUGCUGCAAAUUCUUCAACUAUCUCUGCUAUCACAAACUCAUCUCGGGAUGCUACUAGUAUCACUAACAAUGCAGGGCUGAAGGAAUUGUAUGUAACAGGCAUGUACAAAAGCCUCAAAGGGCAUCAAGCUCUUUGUGAUGUGCUUAAAAAGCAGAUCCUCAACAGGAACCCUAGGAAAGAGGAUAUUGCCUUUGAAAGGAAACUCAAUGCUGAUGAGACCUACUAGAAACCUGAGCAGUAUCCCAAAACCUCAUGGGUUGCUGCAAAGGGACCUCCCGUAGAUCUAUCUACUUUAUCUGGCUUUACAUGUGAAUCUUCAUAUUCUUCUGAUGAGUCAUUUGACUGCAACUAUAAACUAUUCAAAAAUCAGAAUGGUGAAGUCUUUGCUAGAUAUGUUAGCACUAACUGCAGGAACGGUCCCCCUAUGAAGAAAAUCUGGGUUCCCAAAAGAUGCCUUGAAAAUCUUCAGGUGAAUGUCAUCAUGACACCGCCUGUGAAGAAUAGGAACCCCAGAUCAAAUUCUUCAUAUGGACCAAAGUCUUCAUAUGGAUCAAAGUCCUCAUAUGGACCAAAUUCCUCACGUGGAUUAAAUUCCUCAUAUGGAUCAAAGUCCUCAUACGAACAUCAUCGUGCUAACACUUCUGUUUCGCAGGGAAAGACUAAGGGCUAUGAAUAUGUGCAUUAUUCUUCAAAUCAUUAUGUUCAUAAGUCCUCGAAGAAUUUCUCUGCUUAUUCAUAUGUGUAACGCCCCGAGACCGAUGUGCCAGGUGUCAUUCUGUUAUUCGCUAUUGUUGCGUUGUCAUUGCUUGCGUGUCAUGCAUUGCAUAUCAUGUCAUCAUGUGCAUUUCAUUUGCAUACGUGUUCAUCUCAUGCAUUCGAGCAUUUUCCCCGUUGUCCGUUUUGCAUUCCGGCGUUCCGUUUUCCUCCGGUGGUCAUUUCUACCUUUCUUUCUUGUGUGGGGAUUAAACAUUUCUGGAUUGGACCGAGACUUGCCAAGCGGCCUUGGUUUACUACCGGUAGACCGCCUGUCAAGUUUCGUAUCAUUUGGACUUCAUUUGAUACUCCAACGGUUAACCGAGGGACCGAGAAGGCCUCGUGUGUGUUGCAGCCCAACACCCUUCCAAAGUGGCCCAAAACCCACCUAACUCUGCUCCAUCAUCUCGGUCGUUCGAUCACGAUCGCGUGGCCGCAAAACGCACCUCAUUUGGACUCUCCUAGCUCCCUCUAUGCCUAUAUAUACACACCCCUCCGAAAUUCGCGGUUCAUUCUUCCCCUAACCCUAGAUCCAACUCCCUCCGCGCCGCCGGACGUUUCUUCCCGCGCCGGACACGUCCACCCAGCCCCGCCACCGCCACGUGUCUUUGUCUGGUUCGCCGAUGCUCGGUGCCCACUUCGCCGCGCCGCCGGGCCUGGAGUGCCCGCAACCGGCCCCCGCGGCCCAUCCAACGCCGCCGCCCAAGCCCACGGGGAGACCGGAUCCGCGCCGCCCGGUCCUCCCUUGCGCCGCCGCAUGCCGUCUCGACGCCGGCCGCCCGCUGACGCCGCUCGCCGCCUUCUCCAUCCUCCCGGCCUCUCUCUCCCGCAGGUGCUCGCCGGCGACGAGGCGUCAAGCUCGUCGUCCCGAGCCGCUCCCGCCUUUUCCGCACAGGAUCCGAUGAGCCACCGACCGGAUCUAUCCAUCCCCGGCGCUCCCCGUCGCUCUCCGACCGUCGUCGUGCCCUCCCCCCUCGCCGGGAACCCGGUGCGCCGUCGCCGCCAUGGAUCGGGAACCAGUUCCCCGCUCGAAGACGUUGACCCUCCGCGUGGGCCGGUCCACCUUCCCGGCCAGCGCAGCGCCGAGUCCAGGCCCAGCUCCCCUUCGUCCGACCCAGUGCAGCGCCAUUGCCUCUGGGCCUCCUCUCGCGGAUGUGGGCCGCCGUGCGAGAUCCGGCCCAGCCCCGAUGCCCCAAGCCGGCCUGUCUCUCCCUCCGACCGGGCCAUGACCCAGGGUGAGCCGCCCCAGCGCCCCCCUCCUCUUGUUAAUUUUUUUCCCUGCUGCUGGGCUAAGCCAGAUUCGGCCCGUGAUGUUUUUUUCAGCGUCUGGACGAUUUGUCUAUUAUCCAGAGAUUGCAGUUUUGCAGUUUAGUCCCUCAUGUCCAUGCAUUUAAUAACUCACAAACCGUGCAUCGGAUUAAAAUGUUUUAUAUAUGAAACUUGCUCAGAAUUUUGUGUAGAUUAAUAAUAUCCAACUUUCAUCUAUGUUUGAAAUGUUUAAAAUUUUGUUUGCAUUAAUUUGCUCCUAUGCCAUGCUAAAAUGAUUUUAUUCAUAACUAAAUAACCGUAGCUCCGAUUUAAAUAAUCUUUAUAUGUAAAUGGGGUAGAAUUUUGCCUAGUUUAACAUGGCGCACUCAUCUUGCAUGUUAAACAACUCUAAAAUGUGGCUUAGGGCAGAACAGUACCAAACCUUAAAUUAUGCACAUGAGGAUUUUUCGGACUUGUUGUUCGUUGCUUCCGGCCUCAUUUAAACUUGCCUAGAUAGGUAGUUUUGUUGUGCUUCACCUCUUGCCAUGUUAAUCAACAUUUAAUAUUGUUGGGUACAUAAACGAGAGUGAACUAAAUAAUUGAUGAGCUCCACUUAAUUUGUAGGAUUGCUUGUGCACUUUGCCAUGCCAUGCAUACUUAAACCGGACAUGCAUCAUACUCGAUUGUGCAUCAUGUCAUGUUGAUGCGUUGGUUAUUUACUAUGUUGUGUGCUUCUUUUCCGGUGUUUUCUUCUUCGGGUUGGUUCCGGUAACGUCGAGCUUGUGAGGAUCCGUUCAACUUCGUCCGUUUGUCUUCUUCAUGGACUCGUUCUUCUUCCUUGCGGGAUUUCAGGCAAGAUGAUCAUACCCUCAAAAUCACUUCUAUCUUUGCUUGCUAGAUGCUCGCUCUUUUGCUAUGCCAAUGCUACGAUGCCUACCAUUUGCUUGUCAGCCUCCCAAUUGCCAUGUCAAACCUCUAACCCACCGUGUCCUAGCAAACCGUUGAUUGGCUAUGUUACCGCUUUGCUCAGCCCCUCUUAUAGCGUUGUUAGUUGCAGGUGAAGAUUGAAGUUUGUUCCUUGUUGGAACAUGGAGAUGUCGUUCCUUGUUGGAACAUUUGCUUACUUGUUGGGAUAUCACAAUAUAUCUUAUUUAAUUAAUGCAUCUAUAUACUUGGUAAAGGGUGGAAGGCUCGGCCUUAUGCCUGGUGUUUUGUUCCACUCUUGCCGCCCUAGUUUCCGUGAUAUCGGUGUUAUGUUCCCGGAUUUUGCGUCCCUUACGCGGUUGGGCUAUAAUGGGAACCCCUUGACAGUUCGCCUUAAGUAAAGCUUUUCCAGCAAUGCCCAACAUUGGUUAUACCAUUUGCCACCUAGCCUUUUUCCCUUGGGAGUAGCGCAUACCGAGGGUCAUCUUUAUUUUAACCCCCCGGGCCAGUGCUUGUCUAAGAGUUGGUCCGAACUAGAGUCCUUUGCAGCGCCACCUCGGGGAAACUUGAGGGCUGGUUUUAGAUGUACGGAGCGCUCAUCCGGUGUUGCCCUGAGAACGAGAUAUGUGCAGCUCCUAUCAGGAUGUCGGCGCAUCGGGCGGUGUUGCUGGUUUAGUUUUACCCUGUCGAAAUGUCUUGUUGUACCGGGAUACCGAGUCUGAUCGGAACGUCUUGGGUGGAGGUCUAUUCCUUCAUUGACCGUGAGAGCUUGUGAUGGGCUAAGUUGGGACACCCUGUAGGGAUUUGAACUUUCGAAAGCCGUGCCCGCGGUUAUGGGCAGAUGGGAAUUUGUUAACGUCCGGUUGUAGAAAACCUAAAGUUGACCUUAAUUAAAACGAAUCAACUGUUGGAAAUAUGCCCUAGAGGCAAUAAUAAAUAAGUUAUUAUUAUAUUUCCUUGUUCAUGAUAAUCGUUUAUUAUCCAUGCUAUAAUUGUAUUGAUAGGAAACUCAGAUACAUGUGUGGAUACAUAGACAACACCAUGUCCCUAGUAAGCCUCUAGUUGACUAGCUCGUUGAUCAAUAGAUGGUUACGGUUUCCUGACCAUGGACAUUGGAUGUCGUUGAUAACGGGAUCACAUCAUUGGGAGAAUGAUGUGAUGGACAAGACCCAAUCCUAAGCAUAGCACUAGAUCGUGUAGUUCGUAUGCUAAAGCUUUGCUAAUGUCAAGUAUCAUUUCCUUAGACCAUGAGAUUGUGCAACUCCCGGAUACCGUAGGAAUGCUUUGGGUGUACCAAACGUCACAACGUAACUGGGUGACUAUAAAGGUGCACUACAGGUAUCUCCGAAAGUGUCUGUUGGGUUGGCACGAAUCGAGACUGGGAUUUGUCACUCCAUGUGACGGAGAGGUUUCUCUGGGCCCACUCGGUAGGACAUCAUCAUAAUGUGCACAAUGUGAUCAAGAAGUUGAUCACGGGAUGAUGUGUUACGGAACGAGUAAAGAGACUUGCCGGUAACGAGAUUGAACAAGGUAUCGGGAUACCGACGAUCGAAUCUCGGGCAAGUAUCGUACCGAUAGACAAAGGGAAUUGUAUACGGGAUUGAUUAAGUCCUUGACAUCGUGGUUCAUCCGAUGAGAUUAUCGUGGAACAUGUGGGAGCCAACAUGGGUAUCCAGAUCCCGCUGUUGGUUAUUGACUGGAGAACGUCUCGGUCAUGUCUGCAUGUCUCCCGAACCCGUAGGGUCUACACACUUAAGGUUCGAUGACGCUAGGGUUAUAAAGGAAGUUAGUAUGUGGUUACCAAAUAUUGUUCGGAGUACCGGAUGAGAUCCCGGACGUCACGAGGAGUUCCGGAAUGGUCCGGAGGUAAAGAUUUAUAUAUGGGAAGUCCUGUUUUGGUCACCGGAAAAGUUUCGGGGUUUAUCGGUAACGUACCGGGACCACCGGGAGGGUCCCGGGGGUCCACCAAGUGGGGCCACCUGCCCCGGAGGCUUGCAUGGGCUAAGAGUGGUGAGGGACCAGCCCCUUAGUGGGCUGGUGCACCUCCCACAAGGGCCCAAGGUGCCCAAGAGGUGGAAAGGGGGCAAACCCUAAUGGGAUAUGGGCCUUAGGGCCCAUAUAGGGGCGCCUCCCCCUUCUCCCCUCCCUUGGCCGCCACCCCUUGGCCCCAUCUAGGGCUGCCGCCCCCCCUAGGGGUGGGAACCCUAGAGGGGGCGCAGCCCUCCCCUUCCCCUAUAUAUAUGAGGCCUUGGGGGCUGCCCAGAACACGCGAUUAAUCUCUCGUUGGUGCAGCCCUGCAUCUCUCUCUCCCUCCUCUUCUGUGGUGCUUGGCGAAGCCCUGCAGGAUAGCCACGCUCCUCCAUCACCACCACGCCGUUGUGCUGCUGCUGGAAGGAGUCUUCCUCAACCUCUCCCUCUCUCCUUGCUGGAUCAAGGCGUGGGAGACGUCACCGGGCUGUACGUGUGUUGAACGCGGAGGUGCCGUGCGUUCGGCACUUGGUCAUCGGUGAUUUGAAUCACGACGAGUACGACUCCAUCAACCCCGUUCACUUGAACGCUUCCGCUUAGCGAUCUACAAGGGUAUGUAGAUGCACUCUCUUUCUACUCGUUGCUAGUCUCUCCAUAGAUAGAUCUUGGUGAUACGUAGGAAAAUUUUUGAAUUUCUGCUACGUUCCCCAACAGUGGCAUCAUGAGCUAGGUCUAUUGCGUAGAUUCUAUGAACGAGUAGAACACAAAAUAGUUGUGGGCGUUGAUUUUGUUCAAUAUGCUUGCCGUUACUAGUCUUAUCUUGAUUCGGCGGCAUCGUGGAAUGAAGCGGCCCGGACCAACCUUACACGUACUCUUACGUGAGACCGGUUCCACCGACAAACAUGCACUAGUUGCAUAAGGUGGCUGGCGGGUGUCUGUCUCUCCCACUUUAGUCGGAUCGGAUUCGAUGAAAAGGGUCCUUAUGAAGGGUAAAUAGCAAUUGGCAUAUCACGUUGUGGUCUUUGCGUAGGUAAGAACCGUUCUUGCUAGAAACCCAUAGCAGCCACGUAAAACAUGCAAACAACAAUUAGAGGACGUCUAACUUGUUUUUGCAGGGUAUGCUAUGUGAUGUGAUAUGGCCAAAGGAUGUGAUGAAUGAUAUAUGUGAUGUAUGAGAUUGAUCAUGUUCUUGUAAUAGGAAUCACGACUUGCAUGUCGAUGAAUAUGACAACCGGCAGGAGCCAUAGGAGUUGUCUUUAUUUAUUUAUGACCUGCGUGUCAACAUAAACGUCAUGUAAUUACUUUACUUUAUCGCUAACCGUUAGCUGUAGUAGUAGAAGUAAUAGAUGACGUGACAACUUCAAGAAGACACGAUGAUGGAGAUCAUGACGAUGGAGAUCAUGGUGUCAUGCCGGUGACGAUGAUGAUCAUGGAGCCCCGAAGAUGGAGAUCAAAAGGAGCAAAGUGAUGAUGGCCAUAUCAUGUCACUAUUUGAUUGCAUGUGAUGUUUAUCAUGUUUAUACAUCUUAUUUGCUUAGAACGACGGUAGUAAAUAAGAUGAUCCCUCAUAAAAAUUUCAAGAAGUGUUCUCCCCUAACUAUGCACCGUUGCUACAGUUCGUCGUUUCGAAGCACCACGUGAUGAUCGGGUGUGAUAGAUCCUUACGUUCACAUACAACGGGUGUAAGACAGUUUUACACAUGCAAAACACUUAGGGUUAACUUGACGAGCCUAGCAUGUGCAUAGACAUGGCCUCGGAACACAGAAGACCGAAAGGUCGAGCAUGAGUCGUAUGGUAGAUACGAUCAACAUGAAGAUGUUCACCGAUGUUGACUAGUCCGUCUCACGUGAUGAUCGGACACGGCCUAGUUGACUCGGAUCAUGUAAUCACUCAGAUGACUAGAGGGAUGUCUAUCUGAGUGGGAGUUCAUAAGAUGAACUUAAUUAUCCUGAACAUAGUCAAAAGGAUUUUGCAAAUUAUGUCGUAGCUCACGCUAUAGUUCUACUGUUUAGAUAUGUUCCUAGAGAAAAAUUAGUUGAAAGUUGAUAGUAGCAAUUAUGCAGACGGUAAAAGGCUUAUGUCCUUAAUGCACCGCUCAGUGUGCUGAACCUCGAACGUGGUCUGUGGAUGUUGCGAACAUCUGACAUACACGUUUUGAUGACUACAUGAUAGUUCGGUAAUGUUAAAUGGUUUAGAGUUGAGGCACCAAAGACGUGUUUUGAAACGUCGCGAAACAUAUGAGAUGUUUCGAGGGCUGAAAUUGGGAUUUCAGGCUCGUGCCCAUGUCAAGAGGUAUAAGACCUCCGACGGUUCUUCUAGCCUACAUACUAAGGGAGAAAAGCUCAAUUGUUGAGCUUGUGCUCAGAUUGUCUGAAUACAACAAUCAUUUGAAUCAAGUGGGAGUUGAUCUUCCAGAUGAGAUAGUGAUGUUUCUCCGAAGUCAUUACCACCAAGCUGCUAGAGCUUCGUGAUGAACUAUGAUAUAUCAGGGACUUAAAUGAUGAUCCUUGAGAUAUUCGCGAUGUUUGACACCACGAAAGUAGAAAUCAAGAAGGAGCAUCAAUUGUUGAUGGUUAGUGAAACCACUAGUUUCAAGAAGGGCAAGGGCAAGAAGGGAUACUUCAAGAAACGGCAAUUCAGUUGCUGCUCUAGUGAAGAAACCCAAGGUUAAACCCAAACCCGAGACUAAGUGCUUCUGUAAUAAGAGGAACAGCCACUGGAGCAGAAUUACCCUAGAUACUUGGUAGAUAAGAAGGCUGGCAAGGUCGAUAGAAGUAUAUUGGAUAUACAUUAUGUUAAUGUGUACUUUACUAGUACUCCUAGUAGCACCAGGGUAUUAGAUACCGGUUCGGUUGCUAAGUGUUAGUAACUCGAAAUAAAAGCUACGGAAUAAACGGAGACUAGCUAAAGGUGAGAUAACGAUAUGUGUUGGAAGUAUUUCCAAUGUUGAUAUGAUCAAGCAUCGCACGCUCCCUCUACCAUCGAGAUUGGUGUUUGCGUUGAGUAUAGACAUGAUUGGAUUAUGUCUAUCGCAAUACGGUUAUUCAUUUGAGGAGAAUAAUGGUUACUCUGUUUAUUUGAAUAAUACCUUCAAUGGUCUUACACCUAAAAUGAAUGGUUUAUUGAAUCUCGAUCGUAGUGAUACACAUGUUCAUGCCAAAAGAUAGUAAUGAUAGUACCACCUACUUGUGGCACUGCCACGUAAGUCAUAUCGGUAUAAAACGCAUGAGGAAGCUCCAUAUUGAUGGGUCUUUGGGCUCACUCAUUCUUGAAAAGUUUGAGACAUGCGAACCAUGUCUAUUGGUGUAUAUGCAUGAAGAAACUCCAUGCAAAUGGACCGUUUGGACUCACUUGAUUUUGAAUCAGUUGAGACAUGCAAAUCAUACCACAUGGGCAAGAUGACUGAAAGCCUCGGUUUCAGUAAAAUGGAACUAGAAAGCAACUUGUUGGAAGUAAUACAUUUUGAUGUGUGCAGUCCAAUGAGUGGUGAGGCGUGUAGUGGAUAUCGUUAUGUUCUUACUUCACAGAUGAUUUGAGUAGAUGUUGAGUAUAUUUACUUGAUGAAUCACGAGUCUGAAUUAUUGAAAGGUUCAAGUAAUUUCAGGGUGAAGUUGAAAGAUCGUCGUGACAAGAGGAUAAAAGAUCUAUGAUAUGAUCAUAGAGAUGAAUAUCUGAAUUACGAGUUUGGCACAGAAUUAAGACAUUGUGGAAAUUGUUUCACAACCGAUACAGCCAGGAACACCAUAGUGUGAUGGUGUGUCCGAACAUCAUAACUGCACCCUAUUGGAUAUGAUGCAUACCAUGAUGUCUCUUAUCGAAUUACCACAAUAAUUUAUGGGUUAGGCACUAGAGACAACCACAUUCACUUUAAAUAGGGCACCACGUAAUUCCGAUGAGAUGACACCAUGGUUUAGAGAAACCUAAGCUGUCAUUUCUUAAAAGUUUGGGGCUGCGACGCUUAUGUGAAAAAGUUUCAGUCUGAUAAGCUCGAACCCAAAGCGGAUAAAUGCAUCUUCAUAGGACACCCAAAGCAGUUGGGUAUACCUCCUGUCUCAGAUCUGAAAGCAAUAAGGGAUUGUUUCUAGAAUUGGGUCCUUUCUCGAGGAAAAGUUUCUCUCGAAAGAAUUGAGUGGGAGGAUGGUGGAAACUUGAUGAGGUUAUUGAACCAUCUCUUCAACUAGUGUGUGGCAGGGCACAGGAAAUUGUUCCUGUGGCACCUACACCAAUUGAAGUGGAAGCUUAUGAUAUUGAUCAUGAGACUUCGGAUCAAGUCACUCCCAAACCUCGUGGGAUGACAAGACUGCGUACUACUUUAGAGUGGUACGUAAUCCUGUCUUGGAAGUCAUGUUGCUAGACAACAAUGAACCUACGAGCUAUGGAGAAGCGAUGGUGGGCCCGGAUUCCGAUAAAUGGCUGAAGGCCAUAUAAUCCGAGAAAGGAUCCAUGUAUGAAAACAAAGUGUAGACUUUGGAAGAACUACUUGAUGGUCGUAAGGCUGUUGAGUAUAGAUGGAUUUUAAAAGGAAGACGGACAAUGAUGGUAAAUGUCACCAUUAAGAAAGCUCGACUUGUCGUUAAGAUGUUUUCGACAAGUUCAAGGAGUUGACUACGAUGAGACUUUCUCACCUGUAGCGAUGCUAAAAGUCUGUUGGAAUUAUAUUAGCAGUUACUGCACUAUUUAUGAAAUCUUGCAGAUAGGAUGUCAAAAAACAUUGUUUCCUCGAUGAUUUAUGAGGAAAGGUUGUAUGUGAUACAACCGGAAGGUUUUGUCAAUCCUGAAAUAUGCUAAUAAGUAUGCAAAGCUCCAGCAAUCCUUCUAAGGACUGGAGUAAGCAUCUCGGAGUUGGAAUGUAUGCUUUGAUGAGAUGAUCAAAGAUUUUGGUGUAUACAAAGUUUAUGAGAAACUUGUAUUUCCAAAGAAGUGAGUGGGAGCACUAUAGAAUUUCUGAUGAAUGUAUGUUGUUGACAUAUUGUUGAUCAGAAAUGACGUAGAAUUUCUGGGAAGCAUAUAGGGUUAUUUGGAAAGUGUUUUUCAAUGGAAAGCCUGGAUUAAGCUACUUGAACAUUGAGCAUCAAGAUCUAUAAGGAUAGAUCAAAACGCUCAAUGGAACUUUCAAAUGAGCACAUACCUUAACAUGAUCUUGAAGGUGUUCAAGAUGGAUCAGUCAAAGAAGGAGUUCUUGCCUGAGUUGUAAGGUAUGAAGUUAAGACUUAAAGCUUGACCACGGCAGAAUAGAGAGAAAGGACGAAGGUCGUCCCCUAUGCUUAAGACGUAUGCUCUUCAGUAUGCUAUGCUGUGUACCGCACCUGAAGUGUGCAUUGCCAUGAGUCAGUCAAGGGGUACAAGAGUGAUCCAAGAAUGGAUCACAGGACAGCGGUCAAAGUUAUCCUUAGUAACCAGUGGACUAAGGAAUUUUUCUCGAUUAUGGAGGUGGUAAAAGAGUUCGUCGUAAAGGGUUACGUCGAUGCAAGCUUAACACCUAUCCGGAUAACUCUGAAUAGAGAUACCGGAUACGUAUAAUGGAGCAACAAUUUAGAAUAGCUCCAAGUAGAACAGUUAUUUGGAAUAGGUCCAAAUAGAACGUGGUAGCUACAUCUAGGAGAUGACAUAGAGAUUUGUAAAGCACACACGGAUCUGAAAGGUUCAGACCCGUUGACUAUAACCUCUCUCACAAGCAUAACAUGAUCAAACCCAGAACUCAUCGAGUGUUCAUCACAUGGUAAAUGUGAACUAGAUUAUUGACUCUAGUAAACUCUUUGGGUGUUACUCACAUGGUGAUGUGACCUUGAGUGUUAAUCACAUAUCGAUGUGAACUAGAUUAUUGACUCUAGUGCAAGUGGGAGACUGUUCGAAAUAUGCCCUAGAGGCAAUAAUAAAUAAGUUAUUAUUAUAUUUCCUUGUUCAUGAUAAUCGUUUAUUAUCCAUGCUAUAAUUGUAUUGAUAGGAAACUCAGAUACAUGUGUGGAUACAUAGACAACACCAUGUCCCUAGUAAGCCUCUAGUUGACUAGCUCGUUGAUCAAUAGAUGGUUACGGUUUCCUGACCAUGGACAUUGGAUGUCGUUGAUAACGGGAUCACAUCAUUGGGAGAAUGAUGUGAUGGACAAGACCCAAUCCUAAGCAUAGCACUAGAUCGUGUAGUUCGUAUGCUAAAGCUUUGCUAAUGUCAAGUAUCAUUUCCUUAGACCAUGAGAUUGUGCAACUCCCGGAUACCGUAGGAAUGCUUUGGGUGUACCAAACGUCACAAUGUAACUGGGUGACUAUAAAGGUGCACUACAGGUAUCUCCGAAAGUGUCUGUUGGGUUGGCACGAAUCGAGACUGGGAUUUGUCACUCCGUGUGACGGAGAGGUUUCUCUGGGCCCACUCGGUAGGACAUCAUCAUAAUGUGCACAAUGUGAUCAAGAAGUUGAUCACGGGAUGAUGUGUUACGGAACGAGUAAAGAGACUUGCCGGUAACGAGAUUGAACAAGGUAUCGGGAUACCGACGAUCGAAUCUCGGGCAAGUAUCGUACCGAUAGACAAAGGGAAUUGUAUACGGGAUUGAUUAAGUCCUUGACAUCGUGGUUCAUCCGAUGAGAUUAUCGUGGAACAUGUGGGAGCCAACAUGGGUAUCCAGAUCCCGCUGUUGGUUAUUGACUGGAGAACAUCUCGGUCAUGUCUGCAUGUCUCCCGAACCCGUAGGGUCUACACACUUAAGGUUCGAUGACGCUAGGGUUAUAAAGGAAGUUAGUAUGUGGUUACCAAAUAUUGUUCGGAGUCCCGGAUGAGAUCCCGGACGUCACGAGGAGUUCCGGAAUGGUCCGGAGGUAAAGAUUUAUAUAUGGGAAGUCCUGUUUUGGUCACCGGAAAAGUUUCGGGGUUUAUCGGUAACGUACCGGGACCACCGGGAGGGUCCCGGGGGUCCACCAAGUGGGGCCACCUGCCCCGGAGGCUUGCAUGGGCUAAGAGUGGUGAGGGACCAGCCCCUUAGUGGGCUGGUGCGCCUCCCACAAGGGCCCAAGGUGCCCAAGAGGUGGAAAGGGGGCAAACCCUAAUGGGAUAUGGGCCUUAGGGCCCGUAUAGGGGCGCCUCCCCCUUCUCCCCUCCCUUGGCCGCCACCCCUUGGCCCCAUCUAGGGCUGCCGCCCCCCCUAGGGGUGGGAACCCUAGAGGGGGCGCAGCCCUCCCCUUCCCCUAUAUAUAUGAGGCCUUGGGGGCUGCCCAGAACACGCGAUUAAUCUCUCGUUGGUGCAGCCCUGCAUCUCUCUCUCCCUCCUCUUCUGUGGUGCUUGGCGAAGCCCUGCAGGAUAGCCACGCUCCUCCAUCACCACCACGCCGUUGUGCUGCUGCUGGAAGGAGUCUUCCUCAACCUCUCCCUCUCUCCUUGCUGGAUCAAGGCGUGGGAGACGUCACCGGGCUGUACGUGUGUUGAACGCGGAGGUGCCGUGCGUUCGGCACUUGGUCAUCGGUGAUUUGAAUCACGACGAGUACGACUCCAUCAACCCCGUUCACUUGAACGCUUCCGCUUAGCGAUCUACAAGGGUAUGUAGAUGCACUCUCUUUCUACUCGUUGCUAGUCUCUCCAUAGAUAGAUCUUGGUGAUACGUAGGAAAUUUUUUGAAUUUCUACUACGUUCCCCAACAUCAACCGCGUGUGUAACCGUGAUGGUCUCUUUCCGGCGGAGUCCGGGAAGUGAACACGGUUGUUGGAGUUAUGCUUGACGUAGGUUGCUAUAGGAUCACUUCUUGAUCAUACUUUUAUCGACCGUGCUUUGCCUUCUCUUCUCGCUCUCAUUUGCGUAUGUUAGCCACCAUAUAUGCUAGUCGCUUGCUGCAGCUCCACCUCAUACCUUUACCUUACCCAUAAGCUUAAAUAGUCUUGAUCGCGAGGGUGCGAGAUUGUUGAGUCCCUGUGGCUCACAGAUACUUCCAAAACCAGCUUGGAGGUGCCUAUGAGACCGUGCAGAUGACGCAACCAAGCUCAGGAGGAGCUCGAUGAAGACUUUGUCCGUUGUGUUGUUUCGUUCUAGUUGAUCAGUAGUGGAGCCCAGUUGGGGUCGAUCGGGGACCUUUGUCGCAUUUGGGGUUCUUCUUUUAUUUUGGUUCCGUAGUCGGACCUUGAUUGUAUCUGUAUGAUGUAAUGCUUUAUUCAUGUAAUUGUGUGAAGUGGCGAUUGUAAGCCAACUAUGUAUCUCUUUCCCUUAUGUAUUACAUGGGUUGUGUGAAGAUUACCUCACUUGCGACAUAUGCCUUCAAUGCGAUUAUGUAUCUAAGUCGUGCCUCGACACGUGGGAGCUAUAGUCGCAUCGAGGGUGUUACAAGUUGGUAAUCAGAGCCUUCCCCGACCUUAGGAGCCCCACUGAUUGAUCGUUUUAGCGGCCGAGUUGUGUCUAGAAAAAAUGUUUUGAGUCUUCUAGGAAUUAUAUAUAUCGGAGAGUUUAGGAAUUCUUUUUACUCCCAGUCCCUUCGUCACUCUGGUAAGGCAUCCUGACAUAGAGUUUUGACUCUUCUCUUCUCAAAUUUCACUAAAAAAAAA